UUUUUUUUUCUUAAAAUAGAAACCAAACCAUGACAAUUAAUUUUCUUUAAUAUCUUGGGCCGCUUUCAUUCACAUUGAAACAAUUAUAUAGACCAUCGAGUAUAUCAAAACUUGACAAAUAGGGAAAAUUGAUAUAUGAAAUGAGAAAAUUGUAUGCAACUAAGGGCAUCUCAUAGAUAAUAAUGGUGUGACCNNNNNNNNNNNNNNNNNNNNNNNNNNNNNNNNNNNNNNNNGGGGGGGGGGAAUAAUAUCGACUUGAUCCCUUAUUAUAUAUAUGGGGUCACAUAGCUUCCUAUAUGUGGGAUGAGUAUGGUUUGGAGCAUUGUAACAAGUCCAACUUUAGGUUCAAAUUUCACUAUAAAGCAUUGGAGGAAUUGAAGACGAAGCUCAAGAAAUUGUCCCUAAAUGGGCAAAUGAUAGUUUGUGCAUUAGGAUUGUCCCAGUUGGCAUGUUGUAUGUCAUGCAAUCUAGAUUAUGGUCUACUUGAGGUAUUUAUAAUGGCAGCCGAACACUAACACUUUGAACUUGCCAUUCAGAGAGAUCACUGAUCGCCAGAAUAACAGUUAAGUUAUCUUAACGACGUAAGUUCGUUUGUGUCCAAGAAUCCUCUCAUUAUGCUUUUACUCAAACUUUGCAACAUGGUUUAGACUAAGCAAAUUGAGUUUGAUUUCAAGUUAUAAUACUAUCAUAUCACCACUAGCAAUGAAAACUAAAUCAAACUGAGAAAAAUGUUUGAACAGAAGGAGAAACCAAGUUCUUGGACGGGAUGUUGAUCAUGCUCAACUUCUUAUCAAUAUGCACUUCAGACAAAUGUUGGACUAGGAAUGAAUAUCAAGAUUCCUCUAAUCAAUCAUAGGAAUCCACGACACGAUCAUUCACAUGGAUUACCACUACUAGCUUUCCCAAUCAAGGUUAGAAUCACCCUAACUAGGCUAACUAGUUUGAACACCAAGAUGUUCUAUUACGAGAUAAGGUGUUCCCUUGACAUAAAGGAUCUCAUAAACAAUCGGAAAUGGUGUUAACUUGAUCCAUUAACACCUAAGAUACUGAUAACUACACCUAAGUUGGCCCAUUAGGUGCAAAUCAGAGCACCUGCGAAAUGCUCAAUAAAAUACCUUUAAACCCAAUUGAAACACAAAAGGUAGAAUUGAGUUAUGGCUUGGUCCACCAAUAACUUCCUUCUAUAUUAGAAUGUUAACAUAAGAAUUCAAAGACUCGGUCAAGCACAAGGAGUUCACAUAUUUGAUCUAAUUCAAAUUGUGACAAGAACUAGGUUUAAAGAACAACAAUCAAGCAAUCAUUUAUUCAAAUCCAAUUAUCCAACAAAUCGGCGACCCUGUACUUUUACGAAGAGUAUCAUAGCUCAAUUCUUAUAUAGAAUCUAAAAACUCUAUGAGAUUUAGCUGCUCAUGUCACAAGAAGAAGAGAAAAUGAAGAAAGACCUUACCAUCAUCUUGUUGAAGAGAUAAUGAAUCAAAGUCGCUCCAAUCUUCACUUUCGGUCUUCUAGUUCCAAUCCAAGCUUCGAUCUUCAAUUGAGCCUCCAUCGGUUCUUCAAUAAAACGUAUAUGGAUGAAAAGAUGAUGAUUUAUGUAGAGGAAAUUGGGGAAAAAUUUGCUGGAAAUAGUUGAAGAAGAAGUCUCUUUCUCUUUCUUCAAAUCGCUCUUUUUAUAUUGAAAUUUCCGGAACAGGGAGGUGCACAACGUGAUAACAUGCUUAGCAGUUCAAGCCUACUUCAUGGUGCCAAAAAUAUACUUUAGAUCACCAAACCACACAGUUGCUGUAAAACCCCACCCUAGGAGUUCCGGUCGAACCCCUGGUUCAACCAAGGAAUCCUACCCGGGUUCUAAAACUGAACCAACUCAACCCACAAUUAACGAGAUACAACAUAAAGUAAGCAUUACAAAGUGAACUGGAAUACUUAGAUAAACUUACCAACUAGGAUCCCGGAUCCAAAACAUAACAAGUCAAAAGGAGAUACAACAUCAAUUCUAAAAAUACAUAAAAAAAAUGAUAUCAUCUGAUAUCAAUGCCCGACCAGCUCUCUCUCCACCAUCAGCUCCAGUAUCUGUGACUGAUCAGAUAGAUACACCAAGGAAAAUAAUAUCUAACGGGGUGAGUGAUAAGCACUGAGUGGCUAAACUAGUCUUGCGAAAAAUUGAAACUGAAUUGAGAUUUUACAGCGCCUGUAGUGAGACUUUACUGAGACUUUACAGUACCGGUACUGAGACUUCACUAAGGAUAGAAGAAGAAUUCUAUAUACACACUGAAACUAAUAAUGUGACCUUGUGGUCCUGUAGGUAUCAUCAUAACGUCAGUCACCCCUAGCUAUGAGCGGACAACCUCAUGGUGGAUCAGACCAUGAACCACCUUGAAAGGCCGUGGGAGCAACACCGAAGGUUAACUGAUCACGUCCUGUCUGAACCUGAAUGAAUUCUGUUUGAUUGUGCAAUCCAUGGUGGGUGACUAAAGCAUAAACGGGAGCUAAUCUAAUAAAUCCCGAUCAUGUCCUAAUCUGAACUGUGAAUCACAUGCCACUGUUCAAUCGCCAUGAGCUUAUGCUAGAAAAAAUAUAACUAUAUGUACAAUAGAUCAAAUGCUACUGUACAAACUGAGAGUCCUGCUAUGAAAUAUAAUACAUGUACUGUAGAUCACACGCUACUGUACAAUCAUUGGAUUCCUAACCGCUUAAUUACAGUUAUACGCUUAAAGCAGAAAAGUAGUCCUAAACCCCCCACCUGAUAUGAAGAGAUGACAUCUCUGAUCCUAACUUUACAUGAUUCCUCUCGCUGCCACGAGCCCGUAGCUUCUAACCGUGCAUCGUUUGGAGUCCAAAUGAUCGAGUUAUGCCCCAUGUACUUCUUUGCAACAAUUUUUAAACUUGCUAAUCCUCUAACUGCCUCUGUUACUAUAACUAAUCCAGAACUUCCACUUGCUGACAAAACAUACCCAAUUCCAUAACUGUAAACCAUCCAUAAGUUUCGAACUACGGAAGCAAGACUUAAGAAUAACCAAUUACAAACAGCCACUUAUCUUUCUGGCUUUGCAGUUUGGUCACUAGACUCCUCACCAUGACCAUGACCAUCGGCGACCUCCAACAUUCUUGGAACGUGGUCCUACCGCCGGUGCCAUUUCCUCCUUUGUCACCGCAUCCCUCCAUCCGAUCUCUGCCGCCAGAAGACACGCCUCUAACCUUCAUCCGCCACCGCCGCUAAAUGCCACAGGCCACCGUCUCUUUAAUCCUUGAAUCCCGAUGACGCCACCUACUCGCUUCCUCCAUCGAUCGCCAAUGAUUAUCAUCGAGCUGAAUCCCUCAGUAGCUAAUCGCCAGCGAGGUUGGAAGAUAACCUUCGUGCCAUCAGCAUCAAUUUGGGAUGGGGAGAUGACCUCCUCCAUGUUUAGGAUUUAGGUUUAGGGAUUAAUGACCAACACCCUACACCUCCAUCUCUUGAAUGGUUACGGGCCCAACCCAUCCACAUGUUCAAUCUAAUGGCCCAGGCCCAAUCCCGACAUCAUAACUCACAUUUGAGCCCAAGGCCCACAACUACAUUUGCAUUCUUUUCAAAUGACAACCCACUUUCCUUCUCUUGAAUGGAUCAAGAUCUGUACUCACCGUUGGAUCUAUCUAACGGCCCAAACUCCUCAAAGCUCACAACUUUACAAACAAAAGACUUAACUCCUCAACUUAGCCAACCCGAUAAUUACCUCGAGCCUUGCAAGCAUUUAAUACUUGGUGAACUGCUGAGACAACACGUCAAAUUAAUUAAAUUAAUUCGGUUUUUUUACUCCCGACUUCUACUCUACGAGUAAAAUUUUAAUGAAACCAAAAGUUAAACUGAACCGAAAAUCGGGGUGUCACAACUCUCCCCUGCUACAAAAGGUUUCGUCCUAAAACCUAAACCUCACUCCACUUAGUGGAGGAGAAUCGGCGCAACAAAGUCCAACCCUGGCGCUUGCACACCUGUUUGGUAGAAGACGGUCCCAAUAUGUUGUCCUUCUCAAGGACUCAACCGGUCCACUCUUCUGAAUUGACCCAAGGUCAAAUUACAACCUUAUCCUAAUAGACCAAUCGUGGUCCACCCCUCAGAUUGUCUGACCAUAACUCAUCCAACUUAAGCGGAACUACGAGCUAAUUUCUUGCUCCUAUAGAACUCCUUCGAGCUCAACCCUCAGAAAUCGCUCCCGACCAAGCUGAGAUUCCCAGGCUAAGCUGGACACACUUUCCCAACUUAAACUUACCCCUCUUUCCUUAGAACAGUGUCGACCAUGCUCCAUAUAGAGCCGACUCAUCAAGCUUGCUACCCAUCAAGCACCACUAUCUGACAGCCUCCUCUAAAGCUACUAAACGACUAAGGUCAGAGCCUCACUUUCACUAUUCCAGGUUCCACUCAACUAUGAGUCAUCCCAUGAUCAACUAUGUGCAUCCUCUAGCAGUCAACAUGAGACUAAGCCUAAAAAAAGGACUACAGUUGAUCUGCAUGUCUAAUCGUGUGCUCUAUCUAGCUCACUGCAGUACUGUCCAGGUGCGUAGCCCCUCGGCACAACACGCCCAUCACCAAAAGGUCUGCCACGCCUAUGGCUAGGACACUCAUCGCUCGUGGCCAGCAUAGCACUACACUUGUGGCUUGGGUAUGGAUCAUACUCUAGCCACUGAGGUGGUGGUGGAUAUGCUGGCCACGGGGGAGGGUAGGAAGCUCUAGUGAAGUAGCUGUCCUCAUAGUAGGACAUGUGGCCAGUCUGCCAUUGCUCCAGCUAAUGGAUAUAAUUUAUUUCCUCCCUCUGGUAUUGUAUCCAUUGUCCCUUCUGAGCCUGAGUCUAGCUAAACUGCUUGACUCUCUGAACCUGGUGUGCCCAUUUGUCCCUGCUAUCAUUAGCAUACUGUUGAAAAUCCUGAUGAAGCCCCUGCUCCUCAUCCUCAGCUCCCUCGGCCCUCUACUCUAGGCGUGUCAAAACAUCCUUUAUGUCUCUGUCCAGGUGCUGGAAAUCAUUCUUGAGUCCUCUCUGAGUGUCUUGCAGAUUGCUCAUGGUCAUCUGCAAGUGCCCCAAACUGGCUGCGAGCGUCUCAACUAUCUAUGGAGGGAAGUCUUUCCUAUCAUACUCUAGGACCUCUGGUCCCUCUAGACACUGAUCAGCUAGCAAAUCUAGAACUGAAUGAGCUUGAAGCCCCCAAACAGUGAUGGCGUACUCGUGGUUAAACAACAGGUCAUCUCCAAAGGUGCCCAAAACACCAAGUUAUUGUUAGCCGCCUUCGUACAGAACUCUCGAACCUGUCAGGUCUAGGACACGCCUUAACAACCUGACUAGCGAAUCGCCGAGGUGCACCAUCACUCCAUUCUAGAGGCAAUAGUGGAGCCAUAAGGUAGUGGCACUCACUACUCCCCUAUUGCUAGACUGCCUCCUAGCAGUGAUGGAGCGCCAAAACAGCAAGUGAAGAAGCCUCAACAUCGGUUUCUUUAUCUGCUUCACCUUCAUCGCGCGAGCAGAAAAGGUGCUACCCCGCACCGAGAUGGUCUUCCAGAACUCAUUCGAGUUCGGAAUUGGGUUCUUUUAUGGAUGAAAAGAUGAUGAUUUUCGCAGAGGAAAUCGGGAAAAAAUUCGCUACAAAUUGUUGAAGAAGAAGUCCCUUUCUAUUUCCUCAAAUAGCUCCUUUUAUAUGGAAAUUUUUGAAAUAGGGAGUUGCAUGGCGUGCAGGCUUGCACGCAUGGACCCUUAACCUUGCCGAAGGCUAAUUCAAGGUUAGGGCAUGCACAGUGUGCAACGUUUUUCUGCGGCAAGGUAAUUCAAACUCAGGGUAAGCACGCAGUGCAACCCUUUCUCUUCACCAACUUUUCCAUUGUUGUCCAAUUUGAGCUCCAACUGUGCUCUAAUCCGUGUCCAUAGCCUCAUAGUCUUACAACCUAUCUCCAAAGUACCAUUGGAUAACAAAUAUUACAAGAAAACAAAUCAAACAGACUAAACCAAGUGAAAGGGUCUAGGCGAUUCAAUGUCAACACGCAAAACCACAUGGAAUUGAAGCACAAAUGAGCUAGUAUUCACUGAAAAAACAUGCAGAUAGGGUGCGUAGACACUAUAAAUCCUAACUUUAUCAAUCAUGCUACACGAUGUUUGGUACAUACUCCAGAUAAAGAUUGAUGGAGAGGCCCUUAGGGUUGAAAUUUAGUUUAAAAACUCAACCUAAUAUUCGUCAAAUAUAUUUCUCAUCAAUCAAAGCAACAAACGUUUAUCGUACUACUCACGAUGAUUCUGUUUGUGCACUCUUGUGACAAUACUAUGUCUAUUAGCAACUUCAACAAUUACAACAAUUAUAAACAAAGUUGAUCAUUUCAUCAAAAUGGCUAAUAAGCGAAAACCCAUUUCUCUAAGAUUGUCCUUAAGAGGUGGAUCAAACGGAUGUUAUUGCAUUUCCACUCCAUUUGAAAUAUAGGUGAGGUAUGAUUGGAAAAACUUUCCAACAACUUGAAAUUUGAAUUCAACACCAUUUGUAAGCUCAUAUUAUAUCUCUCAUUUCUUUCAUUUGUAAAAAAUACUAUUUCCCCCUUUUCUAUUCUAUUUUUUCUCUCCUCUUGCUAACCCACAAUCCAAAAGCAAACCAAAGAAUUAUGGCAUGGAAUCUCUCAAAUUACAAAUAAUCAGAUCUAGAGUUAUUAUUGUAGAGGACGAAGUAGAAGCGAAGGAGUGUCCGAAUUGGGGUAUGGGCAUAUGGAAAGAUGGAGCUUCAGUAAGAAUACGUUCUCCUUCUCCGUCUUUUUUUACUUCUAUUUCUAUUUGAAUUUUCUAAACGUUUUCAGCAGACGAGUCUUACUAAAAAUCAUGUUUUGAUAUAAGAGAGAUAUGUUCAUCUUUUUCUCUUAAGUAGCUAAACUAUUCAUCUUUUUCUCUUGAUUUUUUAGUUUGAUCUUCAGAUGUUGAGNNNNNNNNNNNNNNNNNNNNNNNNNNNNNNNNNNNNNNNNNNNNNNNNNNNNNNNNNNNNNNNNNNNNNNNNNNNNNNNNNNNNNNNNNNNNNNNNNNNNNNNNNNNNNNNNNNNNNNNNNNNNNNNNNNNNNNNNNNNNNNNNNNNNNNNNNNNNNNNNNNNNNNNNNNNNNGUUAGUGUGGUGUGUGACGUUGGCAGGCGCUUGAAGUCUUUGGGAUGGCGGUUGCAUUAAUCUAUUUUCUGUACAAGUUAGCGAGAAGAAAAUUACAACAGGAUUAACCAGAGACAUAAUCGAAAUUCUAUUGUCAAUCUUUUACUCUUUAUUUAUGAGAGAUAGGUUUUAUUUUUCAAAAAAAGGUAAAUUACCUUAUUUAAGAAAAUACUAAAUUGAGAGUGAUUUUAGUUUUAUUAAUAGCCUUUCACUUUUUUCAUAUUUCUAGUGGCAUUUGUUCUAAUUUAAGAGUUUUAAUUAGAUUAAUAUGUCAUUUUUUAUCCAAACUCAUGGUGAUUUCAUAUCAAAAUCACCAUGAGACCACAUGUGGUGAUUUCAAAACUCUAUCAUUUUUAAAAAUGAAACAAGGGAUUUUGUCCAAAUCACUUGAGCUCACCGAUUCUCUUUCAAAUCCCCCUCUAAAUACAAAAAUCAAACGGCCGUGCUGUUUUGUUAUCAAAUUGAUUUUGCUGUAAAAAAUUUAUUCAUAGGUUGUUUUUAACACAAUUGACUUAAUUGAUCAAUAAAUCAAACAUAAUCCUAACAAUGUUAACUUAUAAUUGAGAAUAAAAUUGAAGGAUUUUUUCCCUAACAUCUAAGGGUUUUUUUCCCUAAAUCCUUACGAGUGUUGAAACUGUUUGAACGCCGCCGUCUUCAAAGUUCCUCUUCAUCAACUCUUGUUGCCUGCCUCCAUCACCACAAAUCCAUCACCAUCUCCUCGAAAUCUACCGCCAAAAAGCCUCUUCAUUAGCUUGCAAUCCGCCGUCAUACAUUCCCUUGCUCAUCGCCUCCGACUCUCCUUCAUCUUUAAGGGUUCUCCAUUGCCGUCGCUUAUCACCCGAAUCACUCGUCGGUUUCCAUCACCCGCUCUAUAGUUCCUUCAUCAUUGUUUCGGACUCUGCCGCCAAAGGAUCACAUCACCAGCUCGCUUCCCGCUACCAAACUAUUGAGGGCCAUCAUCACCAGCUUGGUUCUCAGCCGCCAAACAUCCUCUUUGCUCGCCUACACCAUCUACAUAUAUCACCACAACCAAACACCCUCAGUGCUCACCAUUCUUUAGCUAAGCUCUGCAUAAUAGAAGCCCAGAUGCAAGGGCUAUUGCUAGUGGCGAUCGAAAGGGGCUAGACAAACCAGAAGCGGUUGUCGAAGACUAUUCCAUGUAUGUGGUGGGAGAGUUCCUCACCGAUCGCUCCUUCAAUUACGACUCUACCAUCACAACCGUAGUACAGGCAGGUUAGCCUUCGGCGGCCUUCCCAUCGGCAUAAAUCACAACGACACUGCGGAGGCUGGUCACCUUGCGCAGAGACAACGACUGACGGCCAUUGUUUUUUCCGGCACUCAUUUUCUUUCGCUCUAUUAGACUACCUUUUUAAAUUUUGUUUUUGAUUUUGGUUGCAUUGUCUUUUCGGAUGAUUUCAAGUUGUUUUUGUUUGAUUUUGGGUUUUGUCAAGUGUCUGGGUUUGCUGGUUUGGUACUAAUUUGCCAGGAGAAUAAGGAAAUAGGUCAUGUCAUCUUUUUUGUGACGAUCGCGGGUCCAUGUAUUACUGGUGUGGGUUUACAUGUCCCAACUAGACUUGUAAUGAUUUGAACUCUUUGUAAUCGCAGCGUCAGCAUUAAUAAGAUUGAUCAGACUAUUACUUUUUUCGUAAAAAAAACAAACCAGUGGAUUGCAAAUUGGAUCAACCCAUCCAAAAAAACAUGAGACGAUAUAAUGUGAUAAUUAUCAUAACAUUGACAAACUAAUAAAGUGAACAUAAAAAUGACAUAUUACACUAAUAAAGUGCACUCAUAAGCAUUCCUAUGACAUAUUUACAAACUCUUAAUGUAGACAUAAAAAUGACAUUAUCGUUUCAUAAUGUAGACAUAGUUGUGACAUAACCUUUUCAUAAGAAGGACAUAAGGAUCAUGUAAUUUAAUUGACUCGUAAAACGGACAUAUCAGUGACAUAAUCACUACAAAAAAACAAACAUAUAAGUGACAUAAUCAGUACAAAGAAUUAGAUACCUAACAAUGACAUAAAUAACACCUAACAACGGGUGUGUACGCUACUAGGAAUAUUAACCGCAGACACUAAUUUAUUGUUAGAAUAUUCAAUGCUAGGCCCAUCUAACAGCGACCCAUAAACCGUGGUUAGAAUGAAUAUCCUAACUGCAGAUAAGUGACCGCCUGUUAGAAUUUUGCCUAAGAGUAGCUGUUUGGCCGCUGCUAGAUUAUGACCCAUCGUUAAAAAAAAAAACCAACAAACACGAAAACUUCAUAUGACUACACCAAAUCAAAAAAUCAUCUGCUAUACUCAUACCUAAACUGUUCCUGGAUGAGAAACAAAUGGCAGACCUGGUGAUAUUAAGCACAUCUGUUACGAAAAAUUUACACAAAAAAUUAAAUCUAUAUAUCUUCUUCUAUACGAUCUUCUUCUUUUCUCUUUGUUCCUCAUCUUCAAAUCCUACCUUCAUCUUCAUUCAAUCUCAGUAACUUAUCCAUAAAAAAACUGAAUCAGAAAACCAGAUCUUUAUUUGAAGGAAACAAACAGAAAAUCAAAGGCAGUUAAAAGAUUGAAUCUACUACAAACCUUGUUUUAUUAUCGUUCCCACACCCAAUCGACAUGCUUUCAAUCAUCUGACCCCUAUUGAAAUCGAUAGGGCCAUAGAUGAUAAAGGAGAUUAAGAACUCAAGAAUGGAGAGAUCUUGAAAUUAGAUUGGUCCAUUACCCCGUCAGCGCGGUUCUAUCCAGAUGUCCGAUCGAAGAGAAAUAAACCAUCUAACUACUUCUACUCUACCAUUCAUCGCCAUUGCAAAGUUAUGAAGAGAGAGGAAAGGAAAGUAAUAAAAAAACUGAACUGUUAUAAAACGUCAUAGAUUUUACUGUCAAACGUCCUAUUAUUUAAAUUUCAUACGUCAAAUUACGUGAAUGCCCUUCGAAAGGCCUCUUUAAAUACACAUAACAGCGGUCGAAUCAAACACACUUCCUAGUUUUCGUAAACUUUCUACUCUCUAAAAUUAAUCCCCGAAACCACCCACCCACCUAAUUAAUACUUGAUAAUUAAAUAAUUAAUCGUUUAGUUUUUCAAAAUUAAUAAUUAAGGUUAAUUUACUAAUUAAUCGUUUAGUUAUGAUUCCGACGGCAAUGACAAGCAGAUCCCGUCGGGCGGUGAUGGCGAUGAUGAUGACGAUUGUGAUGCCUCGUUUCACCCUUUCUUGCUGGAUAGUGCACGCUCGCGGAAGAGACCUACUGAGAGAGGUGCAACCGCUCUAUUUGGUUCUGGAGCGGGUAUUAGAUCAUCUCGUGGGUCGCAGGGCUCGUCUACUAUGGGCCUUAGACGUGGGAGAGGAGCACGUUCUGCAGUGGUCCACUCUAGCAGCACCGUUGUACCAGUGUGAUGGAUGGGACGAGUUCGUUGACCGGGCGAGGGAAUACUACGAGGUCGUUGAGAGCAUGCGAGGGUUGAGUCUCAGUAUGCUUCGUAGCGGCUCGUUUUCCAUUGUACUACUAUAUUGUACUUUCAUUCAGAUAUUAUCGUAACUUGUACUUAUGUUGGGAUUGUAUUUUCGUAACGCUAACAAUAUCGUAACUAUUAGUUAUGUUGCACUAUGAUUGCGGGAAUUAUCUAGUGGACAUUCAUGUUUUUUUAACUUCUGUUAGUGGUUCAAUACAUCACUUCAUUCAUCCCAACAUUUGCAUCCUUAGUGAGUCAAGAGUUUUCAUAAAUAUAUAUUCAAUACAUAAUUCAAAUGCGUACAAAGAAACAUAGACACUGUAAGUCCCUUAAUCUGAAACAUCGAAUACAUCCUCAACUCCGAGGUUGGGGGAGUUCGGUUUAUGCACCACACGCCCCCAAGAUCGCGGAACAACUACAGUUCAUCCUUGUAUAUGUCAUGCCACAAUGCUGUGCGAGUCCCCCCCCCGCCCCUUCCCAAACCGGAUGGAAAGACGGCAUCGACCUGACCCCGUCCACCUCGGCCAACUGGAUCAAUCCUGGCCGUCGCCGUUGACUGCCGACGACGUAGUCGGGCUGUCGGCGUUGACCGCAGAAGCCGUUGUCGAGCGGUCGGCACACUGUCCAUAGUUUUAAUACCUCGGCGGCGGUACGGCGGCGGAGGGGUCCGACGGCGCCGAUGGUUUUUUAAUGUUCGUUUGAAUGAGAUGUGAAAGUUUUUUGAAUUUUCGCGUCUUACAAAGAAUUUCAUUCUACUAUUGAAGGGGCGUUCAUGUUAUUUUCAUUAUCGAACUUAAAUAUUGCGACAAAAAAAAGAUAAGUCAUGGGAGGAAAGGGGAAGAAACGUUAAAUGAAAAGAAAGAUGGACGAGAACCACAAAUAGGUGUGUUUCUUUGAAUUUCAAUCUAAUGGUUGUGACUAAAUGAGAUGCAAUCCACGUCUUCAAUUGAGAGCCAAUGAAAAAAAGUAUUUAGUUAAAUAAAAGAGUAAAUGUUGGCCAGCUGUAAUAUGCGCUUGAACAUUAAUUCUAAGAGCAGCAACACAUACAGCCGCGAUGAAAUGGAAAAGUUUAUGAGCGGGAAAACGGGCCACUGUUAGGAGUUGUUAAAAUAUUUUAAUUGCGAUUUGUGUGGCCGCUAUUAGAAUGCUGCUGUGAGGUGGGCUUCUUUUAGUGAAUGAACAUAUAAGAGAGACACAAUAAUGAUUUAACAGAUUCAUUAAAUGGAUAUAAUAAAAAAGAACUGGUCUAAUAAUAACAUAAAUGGUCAUAGCACCCAAUUAGAACCGAUAUUUCCUUUCAUUUAAGACUUUACUUAUGUGGAUUAUUUUAUAAUAUUAAAAUUUUAAUUUUUUAUAAAAUUAUAUCAAAAUUAUUUUCGUUAGAUUUGAAAGAUUAAAAUAAACAACAUUUAUGGAGUAAACAUUAUUUUUGAACAUUUUGUUAAUAAUUAGAGUGAUUGAAUUAAGAUUAGGAAGAAGGGAGAGAGGGAGAGAGAAAGUGACAUAAACUAAAAGAAAUAAAAAAAUAAAUAUUCAUUUCCCGUACAUUUUAGUUUUGAAAAGUUUUGCUGUAUAGAUACGAUUAAAUAAAAAAUUAUGUGAACAGUCAAGUUGAAAUUUAAAUUUCACAACAUGGCAAUUAUGAGAACAUAUAAUGUGCGUCGCACCCCAAAAUGUGUGACGCUUCUUAGGGUUGAUUCAACGGCUAUAUUAUAACGGUUGUUUCCCUCACCGUUAGAAUUUAGCCGUUGGAUCUCCCCUGGGAAGCGACGCGCAUCCUAUAGAGCGCCGUGCAUUGUAAGGGGGAGAUCCAACAGAUCUUUUCCCACCCUAUAUAAUCUGUGCAGUUUGGGUGAAACAACUCUCCUACCAAUUUCUAUAUUUCUACCAGUUUGGGGUGAAAGAACUCACCCCUCCUAUAAAAUGUCUUCAAGUCGUCAUUCUCACAACAUUAUGCACAAGUUACGCCGCCACAAUGAGUCAAAAGACUUGUUCAUCUAUAACAGAGAAGAAGUGAAAUGCGAUUGCGGGUUACGUGCAUCGAGAUUUAUGACGCCGAGGUUCGAGAAACCUAUUCGACGUUAUAAAAUAGUCACUAUGUAAGUACUAAUAAGUAAGGAAUCUAAAACACUAUGCAAUUAUUAUUAUUCUCUAACAUAAUACUAAACAAGUACUAAUAUUAUCUAACACUAGAUAAUUAUUAAUAUUAUCUAACUAGGAAAUUAUGAUAAUGGUACCUUCCUGAUUAUUGAAUAUAUCACCGACACGAUGUCGGUUGCAAUUUGCCCCAAAGUAGUUCUCCAUCUAUCGGCUCAGGCUCGACACACGGGGUGUUGGUCUAUAAAAGUAAUCCACCCUACAACAAAACAAAAUAUUAGUAUGCAACAAAAGUAAAAAAUUACAAAUUAAAAAAAAAAGAGAAUUACCGACUAGUUGGUUGCGGAACGUGUACUCGUUGUCGGUAUCGGAAACCUAAGGAAGGAAGGGAUGAGAAAGAGUGAGUUGGUGUGGAAUGAAGAGGAGGGGAUGGGGUAUUUAUAGAUCCGCUGGAGGCAUACUAUAGCAUGCCGCGCAUCCUAGGAUGCAACACGUGUUAUAGGGUGCCUCCAAUGGCUAUAUUGUAAUGAUCAUGUGGUAACACCUUAGGAAACUCUCAUAUCAACAAAGCACAUGAAAUAUGCAUGGGCUAUAAGUAACAAUCCGUCUCUAACUAACAACAUCCAUUUUCAAGGUGAAAUGGAGGAGUUCUUGUAAGAACUCUGAAGUUAAUCGUGCUCGGGUAGGAGCACUGUUGAAUGAGUGACCUCCUGGAAAGUCAUUGUUAUGCACCCGAAAGAAAAUUUGUGAGGACCUAGACCGUAAGUGGACAAUAUCUUGUCGAAAAGGUCGGGGUGUUACAAGUGGUAUUAGACCCUCUUCGUGUAUGGAAAACCUCAGCAAGGACGUUGAGUCCCAAGGGGGGGGGGGGGGGGUGUAAUGUAACACCUUAGGAAAAUCCCACAUCAACAAACCACGAGAGAGAUUCAUGGGCUAUAAGUAACAAUACGUCCCUAACUGACAAGACGCAUUUUCGAGGUGAAAUAGAGGAGUUCUUGUAAGAAGUCUGAUGUUAAUCAUGCGCAGUUGGGAGUACUGCAAAAUGGGUGACCUCCUAGGAAGUCACAAUUAUGCACUUAAAAGAAAAUCCGUGAGGAUGUAGACUUAAAACGGACAAUAUCUUGUAGGAAAAGGUCGGGGUGUUACACAUGUAACAACCGUUAUAAUAUAGUCGUUGGAUCAACCGUAGAACGCGUCGCGCAUCCUACGGUGCGUCGUGCGUUGUAGGGGGUCCUUAUGACCAUUUGGUGUAACUUAGGUUUCAACUUGAUGAUAUACAUAAUAUUUUAUUUAAUCGUGCCUAAAAAAACUUACUUUUAUUUUUUCGCCUACCAAUUUUAGCCACUCUUUUUACAUUCCAAACUACCCCAAUCAAUAAUAGCCAAGGAAUGAAAAUAUUUCAGAUUGUCAGUUAUAGGAUGUUCCCAUAGAAUCUGCCUCUCAGCUGAAUAGACGAGUUGUCAAUUUAUAGAUACAGCAAAAGUUGAGAGAUGUGUACAAUGGUUUUUUUGAGAGGCAUUUCCUAAUACAUGUCACAAGAGAAACAAGUAACUUGAGUAGUUAAUAUGCUUCGCAUCCUCAAUCUUGAUGACUAAAGUUAGCUACUUAUCUAGAAACGUCUAGAAAGGUCACCAACUAAAACUUCUCUAUAACUUGAUAAUAUCUCUAUAACACGAUCGUGGCGUGCAACAAGUCACGCCCGUGAUUGACAACCCAUCCACUACUCUCCUUAGUAUUCCAUAACUUGAACCAGUCAUUAAAUCAAAAAUCAGGGUGUCACACAAACACCUAAAAAAAUAAAAAACGAGAUAGUUAGGUUUACAGAAAAUCGAACAUGACAUAUCUGUAUAUACUACUAAAGACAUACUCUUCCAUCUACAAAAGUAACAAACAGAAACCAUGCCAAAUUUCCAAAAAUGCUAACAAACACAUAUCCAAACAUAAAAAGUUUUUUGAUGGAUUGUUUCUAUAAAAAGAUCCUUACUAAUUUUUAAUAUAUUGAUUAUGUUUUAUAAUAUUUAAUACUAAAUUUUUUUUUAGGAUUUUGCUCCUCAGUCAUCUAACUUACAUAAAAACCCUCAAUUUCUAACAUCUAACCUAAUUUUAACUUAACUUACUUGAUUGAGUAGGAAAUUCAAGUGCAGGAGUUUGAUGGAGGAGCACAAACGACCAACGACCGGCGGAAAGGAGAAAGAGGAAGGAUGGUUCGACACUACAACUUAUAAGGUUUAGUGUUUAGUGUUGUGAUUAGGAUUUCUAAUAGAGAUUUGUGGUUUCAAUUUAGGGGUUAUUAAUUAGGGUUCUUAGAAAUUUAGGGGUUAUUAGUGUUAGGGUUCUUAGAAUUGCUAGAGUGAUAAUAAUGCAUUGUGCAUGAGUUAUUCUAAAGAAAUUGAGCACACAUAGACUUGCAUUGGGAGGAUGUAAUUCAAGGUUGGUAUAUGUUGAAAUUUGGGGCUUUGUGUUUUGUGUUAAAUUUGGGAAAUCUUGUUUAGGUGAUUUGAAAAGGAAGUUUGUCUAAAUUCAUCCUUCAAACUUUGAUUUUCUUCUACUUAGAGGUUGGUAGUCCUUAAACCAUGUAUGGAAAUGUGUUAAUGUGGUGUGCUUAGAGAUAAGUUUGCUUUAAAAUUUAGUAUAAUGCUUUACUAAUUAACUUAUCUGUUAUAAUUGUGUAAUUGAUAUCUAAACUAGAAUUUGGUAGCUUGAUAAUGUAAUGUGCUUAGCAAUGAGUUUGCUUACAAACGUAGUAGUAUGUGGUGUGCUUGAUUAGAAAUGAGUUUUCUUUAUGCAUACAUUUUAUCUAUAGUCAUUAGUUUUUUAUUGUAUUAUAUGAAUUCAGUCAUGGCAGACGUUAUGGGAGGUAGUAGUGCCAGAGCGAAUGGAGGUAAUGAUGAUCACGAGCGUGAAACGGAGAAGGAGGCUUCAGAGUGGUAUGUGUGUUGCAUGUACGACAUGUAUACUUGCUCUCUAAACUAUUUUACAUCUAAACUAUUUUCCAUCUAAUGUAUUAUGUAUAUGUGUGUGUUUUUAAAAUGAUGUAUUGAUUGUUUCAAUGAAGAUGGUAACCCAUCUAAGGAAACGUGGACAGUUAAAGAGUGGAGAAAUGUUGGGCAGGAUGGGAGGAGGAUUUUCAUCGAGUUGGAUGUGGUUUGAGUGCCUUACAAAUGAUCGGGCCAGUACCUACGAUAGGUGCUUGAGAAGAUCAUCAAACUGGAAUGCUUCCCAUUCAGCCACGACAAUUAGCGAUAUGUGAGCAAUUUGGAAACGGCAUAUUGUAGGUAGCAACUCAUACUGGUAAAUAGAGUAUUUUGUAUCUCUUAUUUAGGAUGUAGGGUAAGUUCUAUAUCAUAAUUGGAGUAUUUUCUAUUCUUAAUAAUGGCUUGUUGUAAAUUCUAUAUCGUUGUAGCCUAAGUUCUAUUGGAGGCCCGAGGAUGAUAAAGAUAUAUGCAAAUAUAUCUCCCAAGAUCUAGGGAAGAAUUGGAGAGAGCACCAAAGGGUGGUUUGGAAAAAAAUCCGUGACCCAAAAAACCCUAGGAGUGUAGCUGAGUAUGUAGCAGCGAAACCUAAUCCCAAUUAUGAAAUCCACAAUCGGGAUAGGUUUUUGAAGUACAAGACGAUAACGAAAGGAGUGAAGAGAUCAACAACUAAUAAAAACAACAGAAAGAAACAGUCAGUUUAUCAAGCAACGGGAUCGAAGCCAUUCAACAUAACGCAACAACAGUUGGUAUGGGAGACCUCUUCCUAGAUUAGCAAGUUAAUUAGUUUCUAAAUUUUAAAGCUAAAAUUCAUGUGUACACGGUUUCAUACGACAAAAAAAAAGAGCCAAUUAGUAGGGGAGAUCUCUUCAUAGAAACUCCCAAGCCGGGUAGGAAGAAAACUUUGUAAGUAUUCCUAGACUUUGUACAAACUUUUUAUGUUCUUUCUAUAUAUAUGCAUUGUGGAAGUACAUUCUUAAUCAUGUAUGUUUCUUUCUUUGUGCAUGCAGAAACAAGUGGAAAGGAAUAUCAAUGAUCCAAUAAUUGAUAAUUCUCAUAUUGGCCAGAAUGAUGCUGUGCCACCCCAAUUUCGGGUUAGUGUCUGACUCAGGAUUUAAUUACGGUUUUUGUAAGUCUCUAUGAUUAGAUGUCAGAUAGUCCAUCAUGGGCGUGAUAGACAGUCUGUCACAGGCGUGAUCAUCAAGUAGAUCACGGUCAUGGUUAGUGAAAGUCACGUUUGUGCCUGAGAGAAGGAUCACGGUCAUGACCAUCAGUAGGCCACGGGCGUGGUGGACAGCUUAUAAAAAUAGAGUCGCAAUUCUAGAGUUCAAAAUUAUAGAAACCUAAUUUCUUUUGCAAUCACUAACGAGCGGCGAUUAGUUCCAGGCAAGGGAGGGGAACUUGUUGAUCGAUCCCAUAUCAGCAAAAGAAAGUUAGACAUCGUCAAAGAAGCUUCAGAAGGUAAUCUACCUUCUUCCUCCUUUCUCAAUCCUUUAUUUUGAAUCCUACGUAGGAAAGUCCUGACGGGUUUGGAUUUGGGGUUUUGGGAUUUCAAUCCUACGUUUGAUCUCAUCCGAUCAUACAGAUCAGGCAAUCAAACUCUAAGGAGACAUCUUUAGAUCUGACUCUUAAGAGGAAAGAUUUCGGAGGUAGGGGUUAGGAUAAUUAUGUGCGUUAGGAAUCAUUGCUUGAAUUUUCAGGACUGUACACUAGUGUACAAUCUACUAUACACAUGAUUAUGAUAUGCAGUUGAGUAUUUUAGGUUGUGCAAUAGCGUGUGAUCUACUCACAGAUAGUAGUUCAUCUUGAGCCUAAGCUCACAACAAGGAAUGUGCGUGUGAUUCACAGUUCAUGAUUCAGAUAAGAAUCAGGACUAGAUAGAUUAGCUCCCAUUAUACGUCGGUCACCCACCCCAUGGAUUUUGCGAUCCCCCAGGUUACAGUCAGACUUCAGAUAGACGUGACGAGCAAGCCUUGAGUUGCUCUCAUAGUAUUACAAGGUGAUUUCAUGGACUGAUCCACCGUGAAGUUUUCCACUCAUAGCUAGGGGUGGCUAACGUUAGGAUGAUGCCUACAGGUCCAAAUGGUCACAUUACUAUAUACUAGUUUAGUUCUUCACCUUUAGGCUUAGCUACUUAGUGUUUAUCGAUGACCCCCGUUACGUUUCUUCACACAUGACCAACCUUGGGACUUCAUGAGCCAUUGCUGCCUAUGAAGGGAGCACGGGCAGCGACACCACCUUUGAGUGACUAUGAGAGUUGCAAAGAGAGGUACCAUGGAGGACCUGAGCUAUCUCUUUCAUUGUUUUUACAGUUUCAGACAGUCUUUCAUGUUUUUCAGUUAUUUUGAAACUCUUAUUUACAGUGGUGGUUUCCAUGUUUGGGAUGUUUUUCGAGUGAUGUUUUGUUGAUGAUUUCGAGCAUUUGAUGCUCUGUUUAUAUCCGCUGUCAUUUCACUUAUGUAUUGAGGAUAUUUCAUAUUAGUUAUUAUAUGUCAAUUAUCAUGUUUAUGUGUUGAGUAAACCUAUGAGCAUUGCAUGGAUCAAACCGCAUGGUUCGAUUGGGUCGUCUCGGGGCGGACUUCAUAGAUGCUGUGGGGAGAUGCUAUAAAGGAAAAGAGAAGCCGUGACGAGUGCCCUAUGUGGGAUUUUCCAAGAAGCCUUCGGUGGUAAGUUUACUAAAACCAUAUAUGUAUGUAGUUAGAAGAAAAAUGCAGUCUAGUGAACUUGACAUGGUUUCUUAGUUGUGUUAGUGAACAUGUUAUGUGAUUGUUAGCCUAUUUGUGACGUUGGCAUGGUUUUCAUUUGCUAAUUUUGCAGUUGGAAGAGUAUGUGCUAGUAUUAUAUACAGAUAUGUCAUGUCCAAUUUUCUGUAAAAUUAAUUAUCUUGUGCUCAUUUUUAAGGUGUUUGGUUCGAGUUCAAGGAACACCAAAGUACUUUCCGUCCUAGAGUUCAAGUCGAGGACCUAGUCAUGCGACUAUUUGCAAAACUUAUGCUUUCGGGCUAUUUGCAAAACUUAAUCUAGGCUUUUUGCAUCAUUUAUCGUUGUUGAAUUUCAUCGAACACCUGUAGUGUGUUCUGCUUGGGUGAAGAAUAGCUCGAGAGAGGAGUCUUUGGUCAAGCAGAAUAGAUCCUUUUAUUCAUGGGAGCAGUCUAAGGUUAUGUGAGAAAAUUCCAAGCCAUUAUAACUUGUUUUAUUGAGAUUGCAUAUCAUUCAUUCUUUCAUACAUUGCUACAUUGCUCGCUUUUCUGGAUUGCAUAUCAUUCUUUAUAUGUUUUAAUUAGUUCUUAGUUUAUAAUUGGUUGCAUUGACAUUUAAAACAAAUAAACCUAAAUUGUUACUUGGUCUAGUUAGUAAAUUAAAGUUGAGUAAUAGAGUUAGGAAGACUCUAGGGAAAAUAUGAUUCCAUUAGUUGAUUCUAGUGGGUAUUUGGUGCAGGGUGAAAUUAGCUUAUCAAAUUUGCGUCUUUGUCGGGGAGGUUUUCAAAUUCUAGGAAAGACAUAGAUUGUUAGCUUUUUCUUCACUUUUCUUUUCAUAUAUUUACUCCCACAUCGUUUACUGGGAUUGUUUGCUUUGAAUUUCAUUAUGCAGGAUUACAACUAGGAUGGAAGUGGCAAGGUUUACGAAGCUACUACCAAACUAAUAAUGGAGGAGAGCAACAAAAAUGGAGCAACUUUGGGCAUGGACCAGAGUCAUAUUGAAUUGAGGACCAAUAUUCUCCACCUUUGUUCCAAGACUCAUCAACAACAUACUACCACCAAAGCUUCAAUGAAGACUGACCAUCCUUUCAUAAUCAAUAUGCAAGUUCUGAUUCAUAUCUACCUCCGCCUCCUGAGAAUACAUAUAAAGAUAUGCUUUUGGAGAAAUUUCUUGCACAAAUGGAUAAGAAUAAUGAAUAGAUGAAGUUUUCUGACCAUAUGGUACAACAAAGAGAGAAAUUUGUCUAUCAACAAAGUGAAGUCUCAAAGAUGACCUGUGAAUUCUUACCACGACUAAUUAAAGAAGAAUAUUCCACAAGUAGAGGUUGAUUACGAAGAUGAAUAUGAUUUGGGAGUAUCAGUUGAAGUAGUAGAUGAAGUGAAGGAAGAUUUACCUUUAUUUGAGGAUGAUCUAGUUGUUCAGGAUGGCAAGUUAGAAGAGUUUGAAAGAGAGAAAGUAUGUUUCCUUCAUAACAACCAAAAUUUCUAUGAUAGGAAGUUUAGAAAAAUUUGAAGAGGAGGAUGAUGAAGAGUUUGUGGAAGAGAUAUGAGAAGAUGUAGAGCCUCUCCAUAAUGAAAUUCAAGAUACCAUUGAGCACUCCAUCAUUUGGCGCUUCCCUCUAAUUGUGGUCCCACCAAGAGAAACUGAGAGCAUUAUUGAUUCUUGUUUGAUUAUGAAGUACUUAUGUCAGGAAAUUUACAAUAAGUGCUUCACACAUAAGAUUAGAAAGUCGUUGUCCUAGAACUAGAUCUACAUUCCCCAGAGGACUUCUCAAGCUACACCAUUGGGUCAUGGAUAGGUGUCAACACAACAUACUACCUCUUCCCUCCACAUUUAGUGGUGGUCAAGAAGAGAAUGCCACUUCAAGCCAUGAACUAGAACUUACAACCACUUCACCGGCUUCUUCAUCAAUUUUUAAGGGUGCUACUUGGCAUUCAACUGCAAUCCUUGGAGAAACUAAUGGAAUUUUAAGGAAGAUCUAAGUUGGACGGUGAUGAAUGCUUUUUACGCAUCUCAAAAUAAUCUGAUUAAUAAAUUAACCAAAGUCAAAUCUCCAUAGGGUCUCUUUAAGUAUCUUACUAAAAGUUGCAACAAGUAUCAAUCGAUCUAAUAAGACAUAUGGUUGAGGUGCCAUGAGAACCAAUCAAACAAUCAAAUUGAAAAAUGAUAACUGCUUUGAAAGUAAGGUUUGUAAGACUGCACGAAUAUGGUUUAGACAAUCAAAGAUGAAGCUGCUUAGAUUUCAAAUCCCCCAAGGCAAUUCAAAUUCACAAAUGACAGCCAAAUUUCACGAAUUAAAACAAAUAAGAUAAAUUCAAAAGAUAAUCACAAUUAUUCUCUACUCAAAUCACGCCCUUUAAGGUCCACUAAUUUGCUACCUAUCUAGUAUCCUAGUCCGCUCUUUUGAGACAAAGAUCUGAAACAUGUCUAGCGAUUAAUCGAAUAAGAAUUGCUCACACAACAGACUAGUUCAUUUGCUCCCGGAUGAGGGUUAUCGUCUAACCUAGUUGUUUUGAUUUUGACUUUCUAGAUAUACAAGCUCUCACGAGUCUAAGAAAAAUCUAAAAAAAAUUCAUUCAAGUUGAUUAGGCAAGAACAUAUCGAAAACGAAAUCAGACAUAUACAGAAAUUCAUCCAACUUGCAUAAAUCGACAAACGUCAUCAAAUCAUUCGUUCAUAAGAAUUAACCUAGGGUUCAUCUAAUCUAAGCAAGAGAAGUUUAACAGCUCAUAAUCUUGAUGGAAAAAUCAAAAUCAGAAGCAGAAGACAUUGAUUCUAGGUUUACACGAAGAAUUAUGAAAACCUUACUUCGCCAAUUUUGAGCUCCUUAAAGUUGCUUCUAAGUCGCUCUUAAAUCUCUCACUAUAGCUCUCAAUUUCAUCCGGGGAAGUAGUUUUUGAAUGAGGGGUGAAAUGCCUUUAAAUAGAAGCAAAAAUUAUUGUUCCUAUCGGCCGUCACACUAUGCACCUUAACUGGUAUGUUUUAGGCGCAUAGUGUGAAAAACUUCCAGAGAAUCCAUGCGCCCAGCCAUCACACAAUGCGCCUAAACUUAGGCGCAUAGUGUGAAAGUUUUAGGCGUAUAGUGUGACAAACUUCCAGGACUAGAGUUGUAGGAAAUUGAACAAGCCUUCCAACGCCGCCAGCCUUGCACCAAUCAGACUUCUGAGCUAGGAUAUAUGGCCAAAAUACAAAAUUGCGAUGUUUUCCAACCAAGUUAAGAUCCACACUCCUUGGCGAUAUAGAAAUGCACCCCAUUGCUUGUCUUAGAUCAUUCAUGCAUGCGGUAUCACUCCGAUUAAUGCCUCGAUGUCAUCAUGUACCUGAAAUCUAACAAAUGGACCUGGACAGGGUCCGAGAAAAUAAAUCGAGAUAAAAGCUUAAAAAGCAUAAAAUAUCCUAAACUUCUACCUAAAACAAUACAAUUAUGCAUGAAAUAUCACUUGAAAAUGAGGGUGAUAAAUGUGAAAAAUCUAGCGUCAUCAAAUAACCCCACACUUAAACUUUGCUUGUCCUCAAGGAAAAAGCUUAUAAAAGCCAUAGAACACACCUACAAUCAAAUCAAAUCAACUACUAGCAUAGCAAAGAAAAUUCAUAUUCCUCAAAGCAUCCCUAACACUUGCUUGACAAACAAGUGAACAUUUAAAAAAAAUGAAAUAGGUAGUAAAGGCUUCACAACAAAUUAUCCAACUUGCCAUACAUCAUCAUGACAUGUUAUACCACCCAUCUAGACUUACUCUCAGCGGAAUUUCAGCUCAAAUAUGAAUCCAAUAAUGAACUCACUCAAAGUGUAUAAGGAGAUUGUUUAUGCACUCAUCAUCAACUCUGAGGUGCGCUUCGAACACUUGCACAUCAUCCUACUUUUACUCAUCACAUCAAGGGACAUCAAGCACUAGUCAAGAGGUCUUUUAUUCAGGUUGUAAUGUGGAAAGAAAAAAAAGAAGAGAAGGUGAAAUGGAAAAGCUGUGAGAAAUCGGAGGGGCAAGAUGCAUGAUUCAUUAAGUCUGUGCUUGACGUUGACACUAACUCUUGAAAAGACACAAAACACACACAAACCAAAAAUAAAAGUAAAAAUGAACCAGGACAAGUGUCCAAAUCCCACACGUAACAAAAUGGAUUUAUGAUUGGAAAAGAAAGAAAAUAAAAAGCUUAAAGUAGAACGAUUAACACUUAAACAUGCGAUUUGACUCAAAUAAAAUGAAAAUACUGGCUCCGGACAUGAGCUACCUCUCAUGAAGCGCUCUUUCUUUAACGUCUUUGAGCUAUACAAAACCUGGAUGAUUAAGUUGGGGCAACCCAACUCAGAACUUAUUUAAGGCUAGCAUCGUUGGUUUUGACAUACAGCUUAUCCGAUCCACUCUGAAGUAGCCACUUCCACUUACCACCAUAAAGAAGCUCCAUUACACCAUCAUCUAUGACGCCGAUAACUUCAAACAGUCUGAACAACUCAUUCUUAUCUACUUUAUCAUCAAGGGGCUUGAUCGGCUGCUUCGUCUCUUUCAAUUUAGGCUUCCCCUUUUUGUUGGUGGACACCAUCUCUCGAUUAACCUACUUCUUUGGGAUCAAUUUCUGCUCUAAAGAUGGGUUGAUAGGUAAAGCAUAAUCAAGAGUGACAACAUGCACUUGCGCAAGGUGUUUUUCCUAUGAUUUAAACUUAGAGGAUGCAAUCAUACUCGAGGUGGAACUAGGUAUCUGAAGGAAAAUCCUCUCUUCUCCCAACCUCAAAGUCAUCCGUCCUGCCUACACAUCUAUAAUGGUACCAACAGUGGCUAAAACAGUCGACCAAGGAUGAGAGGAGUUUGAUUGUCCUCUCUGAUAUCCCUUACCACAAAAUGAACCAGAUAAUAGGUAUCAUACAGAUUCACUAGCACAUUCUCUACCAUCCCUAGAGGACACUUAAUAGACCUAUCAUCGAAUUGGACAUUCAUAUCGAUAGGCAUUAAACUAGAAAGUCCUAAGCGCUUAAACAAGGGAUAUGGAAUGAUAUUUAAAUGGCUUGAAAAGAAAUAACACUAAGAAUCAAUAAAUAUUUUCCAUUUCCAAUCCUCUCACCAAAAGCUUCUUUGAGCGACGAGUGUGUGGUGCAUAAAACACAGCUCUGUUUGCAACAUUCUUCUCAGCUUUUGGUUGCACAUAUGAACAACCAAUUAUAAGAAGAUGUACAUAAUACAAAGAAAAUCUAAAUAUUUCAUUUGCUUACUAAAACAUCAUGUCUCAACUUGUAGUCCACAAAUUGCGUUCAUAUCUGUUGAGGAAUCUACUCAGGCUUGGCUGUAAUACAAGCUGCUCUAAAAGCUUGUGCAGAGAGUGGUUUUGGGAUGUGUUUAUUUUUCAGCACCUGGUCUUUCCAUAUCCGAACUCGAUAGUCUCUCCAUUUCUUCACAAUGUCAUCCAUGAUAUACAUUUUAGCCGCUUCAAAUGUUGUAUCUGAUUCAAUUAUGAUCCGGUUCGGCAAUUAAACACAAAUUUAAGUUAGUAAAAAGUGUAAUGUAAAUGACAAAUUCAUAAAAAAACUAUUACUUACCAUAACCUUCGCUAGUGCUACUUCCUUCUGUGUCACACACAUGGCCAUCCAUCAUAGUACACGAGAAUAAUGUGUUGAUCCGUUACAAUCAUCCCACGAAACUGAAGAAAAAGACCAGCAACAUCCGUCGCGUGGGGCAAACCACCUUGAAAUGGAAUGAUGACCUUCAUUCCAACAUCAAGGGAGAGCAUCCGCGCGCUAUCAAUAAACCUCCUCUCCCUGCCAUCCUCAGGAGUAAUUACUUCAACAUCCCAAGUCUUCCAGUUUUCUGCCAUCCUAUCUGGAAAAAUAAUUAACAAGUAAUGUAUACAAUAAUAUGAUACAAAUACACAUGAAUAUGCAUUAUAUCAUUACAACAACCCAUUAUAAAAUACAAUCCUCAAACUCUGAAAUAACACCAACGCUACAUAAUGAAAAAGAACUGGAAUCAAAAGACAAAAAGUCUUGCGUUUCAAAAACCUCGACUUCAGACAUAGUACUCCCUUAUCUAUCACGUAUAUCAUAUUAAUAUCUUGGUUUCAUAUGUACUGGGAUGCACCAUCCAUUGUGUCCUUUAUCUUGGACAUAAUAUACCAUUUUGCCUCGUUUGCUUCAAUAAAUGGCUCAUUGCCUGCAUGUUCGCCAGUGUACAGAAUGUGUGAGAAGUUAAUGGAAGUUAAGCCAAACACAUCUUUCUUCGCAAAUCUAGAAUUCUGAGUGUUGGCCCAUUGACACUUGAAUAACACUACAUAAAAUUCUUCAUAGUAAUUUAGCUCCAUAAUAUCAACCAACUUGCCAUAAUAUGACAUUUCUCCUGCUACAGGUCGAUUAUCCACCGAACAUGCAUAGCAUUGGGUUCCAUAGUUUCCAAACACACCACUAUUUUGAGUCUUUUAUAACUUUUCUUGUGUAAGUGUUCGAAAUCGAUAACCAUUAACAUCAUAAGCACUAGAUUCCACAAAUUGAUUAGGAUUCUAAUCGAAUCAUUUUAACCGCUAGCCUACAGCUUAUCUCAUGAACCAAUUCCGACUAGUAUCCUUAAAUCACAAUCUAGCAGCCAAUUUAUCUAAGUAAUCUACUAGGUACUGAUAAGUCAAUCAGUUUUAAAAAUAAUUUGACUAAAAAACUAAUACUUAAAGUAGGUGAUAACUAACAAAUGGAAUAAUAGUAAUAAUAAUAUUCAUAAUAAUACCAAUAGUUCUUCCAAACAAUUUAUUGUUAGGAUUGGGGUGUAACAGACUUCACAAAGUUCUUUCCUUUUUUUUGUUCAAGUCGAGGACCCGGUCGUGCGAUAGUUUGCAAAACUUAUACUUGCGGAGUUUGAGAAGCCGAGUGGUACUCUCUCCCCCACUUUGUAGGAGAUGGCUAAAGUGUUGAAGCUUCUAGAAUUGUACCGAGAUCAUCCUGAUUUGUACCUCAGUCAUCAAGAUCAUCGAUAACUUACAGAGGAAAGCGUUAUCCAAAUAGUAGCCCACCCACUGAGAAGGAGGAGGAUGAUGAUGAUGAUGAAGACGAGUAGCCCAAUAGAUCGAUUGGUGGCUAUAUCAUGUAGGUACUGUUCAAUUGACAAACCUAUGCUAUGUUAUUAGUUUUUUCCUUUCAAAUGAUGUAGUUAUGGUUAAAUUUGGAUGAUAUAAAACUAUGUUUGUUAUUUCUACGUCUUUAUUAUCAAUUUUCCCAAACAAGAAAUCUCCACUACGUUUUAGGACUGAAUGUACUAAAAAUAUAGCUGUUGUAGUUUGUAACCACUGUUAAUUUAACCAAUAAGGGUUAAAUGCGUAUUUUAAUUUCUUAAAUAUUUUUGGGAUAUUAUAAGUGAAAGCAUCCUUCAUUCGGUGAUUAAAAACUAAACUGAAAUAACUUUACCAAUAAGGUUCGAAAUCCCAAUCAUAACACAACAAAAGGAGAUGCAACUCUAGUUCUGAAAUACAUCGAAAACAUAUAUCAUCUAGUAUCAAAACCCCGAACAGCUCUCUCCCCACCAUCAACUCGAGUACAUGUGUCUGAAAAUACACAGAUACACCAAGGAAACUAAUAUCUAAUGGGGUCUGUGAUAAGCACACGAGUGGCUAUCUAGAUUCACGUAGAACUGAGACUGAAACUCAACAAUGAUGAGAGUGAACUGAGGAUAGAACAUAGGACUCUAUCUAAACAUACAUCUAGUAAAGUGACUAUGUGGUCCCGAUAUGAAUCUACCUACCAUCAACAACCCCUAACUGUGUGUGAAUGGGCUCAUGGUGGAUCCGACCAUGAAACCUCCCUAAAAUAUCGCGUGAGUAACAUCAGUAGGCGUACUCAACAUGUCCUUCCUGAGCCUGAUUAUAACCUGGGCGGUUGCGCAAUCCAAGGGUGGGUGACUAAUGCAUCAUAAUCAUGAACUAGUAUAUAUAUGCCUAUCUUGUCCUAUCAUGAAAUGUGAAUCAAUUGCCACAGUUCGAACGCCAAGAGCUUAUGCUCAAAAUUUAAUUAAUGUAUAGUAGAUCAAACACUACUAUACAGUUCUGAGAGCCCUCGCAUCAAAUCACACUGGGAAUCCAAUCAUUAGAUUUCUGCAAUCUAUUACAGUUCUACGCUUAUAAGGAGAAAAGUAACCCUAAACCCCCACCUCUAAUUAGCUUUCCCAGUUGAGUCUGAUCUGAAGCUGCCUUCCCAGAGCUCAAGCCUCCCGUCCUGAUUUACCUAAAGAGAUCAAUCAUAGGAUUGACAUCCCAAAAUCCUGGCUGUCAAGUUUUCCUACGUGGGUUUCAAACUAUAGAAUUAAGAGAGAAAGAAGAAGAUUGAUUACCUUCCCAUGCGUCCCCUAGCCUCUCUUACCCUCUAUCCUUGAUCCUGGCUGAUCAGCUCUAUCUUCUCCUCUUUCAUCGAUCGCCUUCAUCUCCUGGGAGAGACUCGCCGCCCGUAGGUUUCUUUUUGUUUUUGAAUUCUGAGUUGCAUGUCGUGAUUUUGGCUUUUAUAAUAACUCCACCAUGCCCAUGAUGAACUUACCACAACACCUAUGACUGCUUGACAGCUACGCCCGCAACCUAGUGAUGGUCACAACUAUGAUCUCCUGAUGAUCACGCCCUUAACUGACUGCUAACUAGGGUGAUGGUCUAUCUAGCAAAUAUAUCAUGUGACAGACUGACGGUCAUGCCCGUGAUUGUCCACUUGUCUAACCACAACUCAGCUUAUUAAACCCUGAAAUUAGGUUGGGGGUUAGGAUUACUUUUCUGUUUUAAACGUAGAACUAUACUAGGUUUUCAGGUAUUCAAUGAUUGGAUCUCAUUAUGUUUCAUAGCAAGGGAUCUCAAGACUGUAUAGUAGCGUGUGAUCUACUGCACAGGUGUUGUGAUGUGAUUAGAGCGAGGACUCUAGCGCUGUACAAUAGUGUGAUCUACUGUACAUGCAGUUAUUAAAUUUUGAGCAUAAGUUCAUAGCAUUUGAACUGUUACGUGCAAUUCACAGUUCAUGUUAGGACAUGAUUAGGCUUAGCUAAAUUAGCUCCCGAUUAUGAUUUGUUGGUCACCCACCCAUGAAUUGCGCAAUCCUUUAGGUUAUAAUAAGGUUCAGACAGGACGUGUUGAAUAUGCAUAUAGAUGUUGGUCGCAUGAUAUUUAGGGUGGUUUCAUGGUCUGAUCCACCAUGAGGUUGUCCGCUCACAGCUAGGGGUGGCUGAUGUUAGGUUGGUGCCUAUAAGACCACAGGGUUUACUAGAUAUCUUCAGUUCGACAGACGCGUCAUGAACCUCAAAGCGACCAGUGCUCAUAGUAGCUCAAUAUUGAAUAAUUUGGGCAGAUGCUUCUAUUCGGUGUUAGGCGUAUGUAAGUUGUGCUUCUAACGGAGGAGUUAGCCAUGGGCUUGGAGGAAAUUACAUCAAAGGCGUGAUGGAUAGACCACUAUGAGCGUGGCUAAUAGUGGGUAACUUCUGUGACAUAGUAACGACCACAUGCAUGAUUAGUCAUUGGCCACGGGCAUAAGGGGAUGUGUACCACAUGUGUGGUCAUAUGUACACCAAAGGUGUGGUGAUGUUAGUAACGGGCGUGGUCAGAUGUAUACCACGAGCAUAACCGAGGAUACAGCACUGGCGUGGCAUGUCUGCCAGAGUGAGUGCCACAAAUACCUUCGUAAACCUCUUCGAGUAUGUGUCGGGCCCCUUUUGCGUUCACACACCGGAAAAGGGUAAUACCAUGGUUUCGUUUGUAGAGGGUGGACCAAUUGAUAUAGAAUUCUAGGGCGAGUCUCUCUUAUGUCUUUUUGAAGUUUUUGUUAUACUCCUGGUGGGUAUUCCUUGCUUUGUAUAUAAGUUUUUAUGUCAUGGUACCAAGGUUUAUCGUCCGACUCUUCUUUCACGUUAGCACGUGAGAGGGAUCAUCUUAUGUUUUAUCUGAAUUUGAGGAAUGGAGUCAAGCUUUCACAAUGCGUAUAUCGAGGAUAGGAUAGCCAGAGCAUCAACGAUAUGUUUGUGGUAAGGGAUAAUCUUUCGGAUGUGUUCCAACUUGGUGUUAUUGAAGCUUUCCAUCAUUUUCAUGAUGAGUUUAUGGUAAGGGAAAAGAUUUUCGUUUCUUGUCUCCCACUCUCCUCUUAGUUUGUAGAUGACGAGUGAAGAAUCUAUGUAUACCUUCAAGUUCUUAAUCCCCAUCUUUAUGGAUGAUCGGAUACCAAGCGAGCAUGCCUCGUACUUUUUUUUAUAAAAACAUGCCUCGUACUCAGAGACGUUGUUGGUGCAAUAAAAGGUCAAAUUAGUUGUAAUGGGGUACAUUUUCCCUUUAGGAGAUAGGAACACUACACCUAUACCGUAUCCAAAGGCAAUAGAUGCCUCGCCAAAUUUCAUAAUCCAAGGUCAUUCUUCACCCUCGAUGUCUUCGUCUUCAUCAUCAUUCAAAACAGUAUCGUCGGGGAAUUCCAAUACUAAUGGGUUUUAGUUUGAUAUAGGAUGGUCCGCCUAGGUUGUCAGCGAUCAGAUUUCCCUUGGUUUCUUUCUUUGUCGUAUACAGGAUGUCUUACUCGGUUAGUUAGACCGGCACUUUGCUAAACGACCAGUGAGAGUGGGCUUCUCAAAGAUGUGCUUCAUGGGGUCGACUUUUGAGACAAGGUAUGUGGUGUAGUACAACUUCUAGCGUCUCAACCUUUUAAUCAUUCAUGUUAAUGCUCCACAUUUCCUUUGUAGGUCCGAGUAUCGAGAUUCAUAGUCGGUGAACUUCUUGAUGGUAUAAUACAUGGUGUGUUCCUUCUUUCCUGAUAAGUCUCUUUCGGCUAGCAUAGGCCCUAGUGAGUUCUCAAACACCUUUAAGUAAAAAAGUAGCAUUCUCCCGGGUGUGGGAGGGACUAAUACCGUUGGGCUUUGGAAAGUAUUCCUUAAUAUUUUCAAAUGCCAACUGGCAAUUAUCAUUCCACUUUACUGGUUGGUUAUCUCUGAGAAGUUUGAGUAUAGGCUAGCACGUCGGGGUUAGAUGCGAGAUGAAGCAACCAAUGUAAUUUAAUCUUCCUAAGAACCCACGUGCUUAUUUCAGCGUUUGAGGCAGCGAAAUCUUGAUGAUGGAUUAUAUUGGGUCCACCUUAAUUUCUCUCUCGCUUACUAUGAAUAUGAGAAGUUUCCCUCACAUGAUCCUGAAGGUUCAUUUCUCAGGGUUCGGCCUUAGUUCUUGUUUCUUUAACCUUUUGAACAUUUUCAGGAGCACUUCUUUGUGAUCUUCAUAACUUUUGGACUUGGUGAUCAUUUCAUGACUUUAUGUAUCAUAUCAUGAAAACAGUGACAAUUCCCCUUCAAUAGGUACGUCGCCCUGAAAAUAUAGCUAAACGACCCCUAAAGUGUUGUAAAUGUUGUCUUUUCUCUAUCCUUGGGGCACAUCUUUAUCCAAUUGUAGCCGGAGAAGCCAUCAAUGAAUGACAACAUUUGGUGUCUUGCCGUAUUAUCUACUAGCAUGUCAAUGUGGGGUAGAGAAAAGUUAUCUUUUGGGCUUGCUCUAUUUAGAUCUUAAUAGUUGACACAUUUGCACCUUUCCAUUUAUUUGGGAGAUGAGUACUAUGUUAGCCACCCAUUCCAAAUAUCAAAAUACUUGGAUAAACCCGCCACAUACUGCUUCUGCACUUCCUCGUUGAUUUUGAGAAGCCACUCCAUUUUCAUGCUUCCAAGUUUUCGCUUCCCGUGUUUUCACCCCUCCAUGGUUGGCAAGCAAUGUGUAACAAUACUUUUGUCUAGACCCGGCAUAUUCUGGUAUCAUCAUGCAAAGAUCUCUUGAUAUUCUAUUAACAGCUCUAUUAGCUCCGCUAGAAAGCCUGCAGACUCCUUUCCUCUUAUUCCAAAAUCCAAUCUAUAUCUUACUGCAUCUCUUUCUCGUUCUCUUCUUCAUCCCCGAUUUCCAUUUCGCAAAUUGGGUUAUCAAAGUUAGUUUAGAUAUCAUGAUAAUAGUUAUUUCUCCUACCCGUAUCUGUUACCCAGUUAAAGUUUGCGUGGAGAAGUUAAUAAGAGGAUAAAGGAAUGCAGUUUUAACACUAAGUGAUGGAAAGAACAUGAUUUUUAUUUAGGGUGUUUUAUGUAGAACACUGAUUUUCAAGUAGAAACUCAAAUACAAACACACGAAGGGAAAUUCUUAAAUCAAAAUGCAUGAAGACUUUUAUUAUUUUAAAAUGUGCUCGUGUUUAUUACUUUCCAUGCGGCCCCGGGAGUUUGAUGGUCGUCCAGUUGUUCAGGUCUUCACCCAGUUGUAGCUGUCACAGAAGAUCCUAUUACUGAUCCUUGUCGAGAUCAAUUGUGUUGAUAUUGAAAUUAUAGAGAGCCAUCCUUGAGUCUUUUUAGGUGGAAGGAUCGCUCUUUGUCUGGUUAAUAACCCCAGCGCUAAAAAAGGUAUGGGAGAUGGGUGGGAAGGCCAUCACCCUCUUUCCUAAGCUCUGUUGGUGGGUCAUUUUUCCAUUGAUGAAUCUACCGUGAGUGGGUGUAUAUCCCAAUCCCUCUUGACCCUUAUUUUUCUUUAGUUGCACUGGUUCUUUCAAUAGAAUUCCCACUUUGAUGGGUCCAAAUGACGAGUGAGACAUUGGACCGCCAUAAGACUAACAUGGGAAAGUGAUAUUUGACCUUUCCAUAAUCAGGACCGUGCCUACUAACCCAUCUAUAGUUAGGACAGCGGCUACUAACCCAUCUAUUAUAUCCAUAGUAGUAUUAUAGUGAACAUGCACUUGACUCAAUAUUUUGAGCAGGGCCAGUCGGUGAGUCUUUGAAGAUGUUAUCAUAUCUAGCUGGGAGACUCAUGCGAGGGUUUUUUUAAGUUGUUUCAUGACUUCGUAUUCGAUGUGCUUCAUCAUACCCUUAAGAACUCAUGGGCGGUGUCGCGGAGGUCUCUCAUCCAAGAACACAUUCUGUUGGUGCUCUACCCUAUCCCGCUUGAGGAAGGGGGUUUGGCGCGCUGGCGUCACAAGGUUGUAGCACUUGGUGGAGUCGCCAUCGAUCAGAAGAACAUUUAGGGUGAAUGUAACAUCCUGCCCGUCCUUCCAAAUCAAUGUGGCUUGGGACACAAUUUUGACUUGAUCUAUGAAAUUGAGAAUUGUGGGUACGGGGUGAUGUUACGAUUUAUGGUUGUCGGGUUGACCCCAUGUUGACUGGUUUUUACUCGGUUUGACCGAUUAUUUACUCUUAUGUCGUGAUUGGUUGAUGAAAAUAAGGGAUUUAUGAAGUGUUAUCGAACGGAACAUUUAGGUCUUUUUAACAUGUCUUCUCAUGUUUUAUUAGGCUUUCAGGUAUCCGUUGGAUAGAAGACGACAAAAAUAAUCCAACGGGACCAAUCGGAGCUCAAUCGGAUGUCGGUCGAGGGAGAUACUAGCAAAAGAAAGAAAAUUACCCAGGCUGGAAUCAGGGCCACACGGCAUGUGGAGGCCAUGUGGGUGUGCUGACAAAUGAUAUUUAUGCCCAAUUUUGAGGAGAGAGGUGGCAUUCUUUGGCUUACACACAUUUUCAAUCAUCCACUACUCUCCCAAGAAUCCUAGUCCAAAAAGCACCAUCCAUCCACCAAUUAUUUGAGGCCAUUAAAGACCAUUUGGAGCUCUUGAAGAUCUAGGAUUGGAGAUCAAGCAUUGUUAGAGGUUGAAGCAAGGAUUUGCAUUCAUGAUCACCUCCUCCAUUCUUGUAGAUUAUGGUGAUUAUUGUAUUCCUUCCUCUUUGUUAGUUUCAUCAUGAGUGGCUAAGCGAUUAGAAUUGUUCGAUUAGAGUGUUUGUAAGUGCUAGGAUGAUCCCCUCAUGAUGAGGGGUUGGACAUGUUCGGAUUCUAGUUAUGAUUAUGGUUGUGCUUGGAUUAUGGAGCUAUUCAAUCUAUCUUACGCCAUGGCUUGAUUUAGGUCAAAUUAACUCUUUCCUUUGCUUAAUUGUGAAUGAAUUGAGUUAGAUUGUAAUCCAAGAUUCAAGCAAGGUGUAUGUGGAACAAGACACACCCCAAUUUAACCUUUAGUGCUUCUUUAGGGACAUUUCAUCGAACACUAGAGUGCAUUCUAUAAAUCAUCUAAGUAGUGACAAACUUGAGUGAUUGGGAUGUUUGGGGUGUCAAUUGGUGAUUAGCACCCAUUCCUAGGUGAUUGUGGUGUCCUUAAGGAUUUCUAAGUACCAACGUAUUUCAUCGAACACCUUCUGUUCACUACUAUUUUUGCUUGAUCUCUUGUGAAUUAGUAGUGGUAUUCCAUUGUAAGACUUUAUUCUGAAUUUCUUCACAUGCCUAGAGACUAAUCGUACCAUAAAUAGUGUCCAUUAUGUCUGAAGUCCUCUAAUGAGUCAAAUUUGAGUAUUUCCAACACUCGACGUCUAGCAACCUUACUCUCUUCGUUUGAUCUUUAUACUCUUUUGCAACAUUUAAUCUCUUUAAUCGCUUUGCAUACUUUGCAGUGAUUGGAUAGUAAACCUAGUUAGUAACUUAGAAAAACCCUUUUACAAACUUUCUUUGGCUUAAACCGUGAACGAAGUGUUGAGUAGAGAUUUGUGAACAGACCUCGUGGGAUACGACACUCGUGUCAGUUAGGAUUUGGGUUUCAUAGCCUCUGUUCUAUCCUAUCAAAUUUUUGACGCUGUUGCCGGGGAAUGUUCACACCUUUAAAAGACAGCAUUCACCCUCUCCAAUUUACUUCGUGCUCCCCUUGUUUUGGUAUAUCCCCCUGUCUGUGUAUUACUUUGGUUUGCUCGUUUUGGUGUGUAGGACUCUCUUGUACAUCCUCAUUGUAUACUAGACAUUUAAAUAUAAAUAGAUGUGCACCAAGGUGGCUCCUAGGGACUCCACCUCACCCUCUAUCACGCAUAGCGACUCCAUCCCGUUUUCCAUCAGUUGCAUCAUCAUCUACACUUCCAUCAAUCCUAGAAUCUUCUACACCAACAUCUUUACAGGCUUCACUAGUUGACUUGAGCUCCAAAGCAGAACUAGAGUCGUUGAGAACAUGUUCGAAAUGGCUCCACCACCACCUAGAACUCUUGAGGGAACUUCAUCAAGUGUCCUUCGUCCACGAGUCGACAACCGCCAAAAUUCCAAUACAUUCAAAUGGUGCAACAAAAUGUCUAUCAUGGCCAUGAAAAUGGAUGUCCGAGUAGCCCCCUUCGAAGCUUCUUAGAGAUUGUGGACCUCACGAAGUCCAACAAUGUCCCUCAAGAGGCCACCAACUUCGACUCUUUCUUUUCUCACUCCAAAGUUAGGUGAAUCAAUGGCUAGAUAACCAACCCAACAACACCUUGCAAACUUGGGACGAAUUGGCGAAGACUUUCUCGGAAGAGUUCUUCCCCCCUACAAGACGGAUGAGAUUAGGGGAAGGAUCUCUCACUUCCAACAAAUUAAUGGUGAGCCUUUCUUUGAAGCAUGGGAUCGAUUUCAAGACGGAUGAGAUUAGGGGAAGGAUCUCUCACUUCCAACAAAUUAAUGGUGAGCCUUUCUUUGAAGCAUGGGAUCGAUUUCAAGACGGAUGAGAUUAAGGGAAGGCUUUACCCAUGCCCUCACCAUAACUUUGGAGAGUGACAACUUGCGGAGACAUUUGCUAGAGGGCUUACUUAUGAGGAUACGAAGAUGAUCAACCAAGCGACGAAAGGAGAUUUAAGAUCAUUCCUCCUCGAGCGUUGCCUUCAAAUCUUCAGAAAGAUGACCGUGAUGACAAAGAGUUGGUCAAGGCCACAAUGUCUUAAAGACAUCAAAGCGAUGACCUGGGAUGCUUAUAUCUCCACCAACACUACUGCUCCCAAAACUCUCAAGGAUAUGCCCAAACUUUGAGAGAAGGAUGAAGAGCAACCAGGCCACUUAAUUGUAUCAAGGAUGGAUACAAUGGAUGCUCUGCUUUUUCCUUAGCUCAAGCAAUUGCCAAGCCUCAAGAAGUACAAGCACUUCUUCCCAAGCCGACAAUCAAGCCUCCUAUCGCACAAAUCUUUGUAUCCAAGAGUUGUGGCAGUGAAGGGCAUGAUGCUUCGACUUGCUAAUCUUUUGCUCCCAACUUUGCACUGAAAGAGGAUUGCAUUGAAGAAGUGGACUAUGUACAAGGAAGCUACCACAGAGGCAACCAAAGUGGAUCAACCACAGAAGGCGAACAAGAAAGAGAUCAACCACAGACAACAAGAAGAUGAUGCGGUGGUGAUGUUGAUGUCUGGUAGAACCUUCCAAUUAUGUAUUAUUCAAUUCAGUUGUUGAUGGUCAUCCGAGUAGUAUUUUUACUGAGCAAACAUACUGGGCAUUGGAGCUGGCUAUUGGCUAAUGUAGACGCAAGAAACAUUCUCUAAACCCUCAGCAAGUAAUGUAGACGUAGUCCCUUUCUCCAGUAUUUCUCUGUGUUUCAAUGAUGUAAGAAGUUAAAACUCUUAACAUUUUAAUACACCAGCCGCGUAAGAUAUUAUUUUCUAGUUAACCAAAGUCUGUAUAGAAUAUUACCUUAUAUUGAUAAGGAAACAUCCUAAAUUCUUACUAUUUAUUAAAUGAUUAAAAUACCUCAAUCAGAGAACUUUAAAAUAAAGAAAAUAAAAUAAUAAAAUAAAAAUCUUUAAAACAAGAGGAACUUAAGAAGAAUCUCGAACACUAAUUCUUACGAUUCACUCUCCUAUAAUAACUUUCAAAUAUCUUGGUGGGUGGUUCGGGGUCAGUCUUUCGUGCUCUAAUCUUAACAAUCAAUAAUUAUUAAAAGCGUUAGCCAACAUAUUAUACAAUUUCAUCUAAUCAUUUAGAGCUAUUUUCAUCUCUAGAACUAUUCCACCGUUAUUAAGGUUCUCUAACUUCUACUAACUUCUACUAACUUCAUACAUUUAGGAUAUCAUGAUCUGAAAUCAUUUACUAACUCAAAACUAACUAGUCUUAAUAUCCAUUUGACGGACUACUCUAAUGGCCCAAUAUUUAAUCGUAGGAGUCCCUAGUGGCCCAAUUAUAAGUAUUGGAUUUAUAUUGGUCUGAGACCAUAAGCUGCCAAUAUGGAUCAGAGGUCUAAUAAGAGAGGUAUAUAUUACUAGAUCAUCUAUUAAUCAUCUAGACUUAGAGUAGCUCUUGUUGUUCGCUAGUUAUCUAAUCACAUCAUACUCUAGUUUAAUCAUAUAGGCACGUCAUAUGAGCAUCAUAACUGAACAUAAGAAAAUAAGGACACAUAUAGAUUCAUAAGUACUAACUGAGUAACCAUAUUACAUAAAGUAGUCCUAUUUAUGUAAUCCUAUCAUAAGUAAGAGUUUAACACGAUAAGUACUUAAUCAUCAACAAGGAGUCUUUAAUCAUCAACAAGGAAUCAUCAACAAAGAAUCGUCAACAAGAAAUCAUCAACAACUAAUCAUCAUGAAAGAUUGAAACUAAAGUCAAUCAUGUUAGGUGCAUUAUGAAUCAUGGAAUUAUAGUUCUUGUAACUUGUCAUAUCAUCAACAUCAUUGAGGAAGUCAAUUUACAAGACUCUGAUUCAUGCACUAUCAUUGACAUUAUCUAAGGUAUCUUAUUCCUCGUGGGGCGUCCCCCAACUCAACCAACUAACCCACCGCCCUAGCGCGGAGGUCUGGGAGUACAUAUCCAUCAGACGGUAUCAUAAAUCAUAGAAGGAAAACUGUGACCGUAAAUCAUAGUGGGUAUAUGCCCAAAUCAUAGGGGCAACUGUGGCCCGAAACAUAAGGGGCGGUGGUCUAACUAGUAAGUUUCAUGUUUUAAAUCCACCUAUUACACAUCUAAGUGAAGUGUUCAUGUUUCUUAUCACUGGUUAUGUCUAAACUUAUCAUCGUCUAACAUUAAUAUUAGUCUAACCUUAUCAUAGUGUUAACAUUAUCAUUAGUCUAACCUUAUAGUUAUAUAGGAGGUAUAACUUGUACAACAUCAAAGUAAUAACAUGUCACAAAUAAACACUCAAGCAUGGAAUCAUGGCAUAAACUAAAAUGCAUCAAAUUAACUAACUUAAUCUACCCCCUUAAACCAACCCACCUCAUUGGCGAGCUGACGUCUCAGAAAUAUAUCCGAGAUGAUUCCCUUUGCUGCCACGAAACCACAACCUCAUACGGUGCUUCGUUCUGAGCUCAAACGACCAAGUUAUUCUCUGUUUACUUCUUUGCAACUUGUUGAAACUUGAACGGCAGAAUUUUCAUUUCCCUGUCUAACUUGGCAAACUUCAGAAUCAGUUCCCCAACUUCUGGUCCUUGCAGUUCACUCCAUAUCAUACAGAGAACUACAAUCCAGUCAUCCUAAUUUCCAGGAAGAACAGUUCAGUCUAACACCCCAACUUUACAGGUAUUGCAAAUUGGUCACUUAUCUUCCAUAAUUCGCUAGGUGAUCACUCUUCCCUAACCUCUGCAUCUGCGAUUACAGAGGAUGUCGCCGAUGACCCGAUUCAAUCCGUCGAGCUUUCCACGAAUCUUGGAAUCCGCUUCUUCUCCUCGCCUUUGACUCUACCGCCAGCCGCUUCGCAUGGGAGAGAAGGCUUCUCCCUCGAUCUAUCUUUGUCAGAUCGAUUCCUCCGCCAGACACCCAACAUCGGCUCUUGUUGAUGCUCAGACUCCAUCCAUCCUUGAUCCAAGGUGGUCGCCCGAUUGGUGGUUCGUUGCCGAUCCGACGAGGGAACGACACCAUCCCUCAUGGGCCCUCUCUCGUUCCAGUCGCCACCAAUGUCAGCCUCUCCCUCUCCUCUCACCGAUCGAUCUCAGGCCACCAAGGAAGCUCGCCAACAUCGCCUCCUGGAUUGCCUUCCCCAAACGAGAAGCCGACUUACCUGCGUGGUCACCAUCAACUCCUCUCGUCGGAUCUGCCACACUAGGGUUCCCUCCCAGCACGAAACACUCUCAAGCUUAAAUAGUUACAGAGGCUCACAUGUCGUUCGAUCCAUCCAACCGCCCAAUGCCCAUCACGUCAUCAUAAUUUCAAUUGUGUAUUAGGCCCACAACCGAAAUCCAAAACCAAACAAACAACAUCAUCUACUUUCUCUUGGACAAAUCAGGCCUCACUUCUCACCGUAGAAUCUAUCCAACCGUCCAGAUUCCUCCAGACCCCCAACUAAUAGACUAAUGGCUUCAUUCCAUCUCCGAUUAUCUAACCAACCGAUAAUAGCACCGCACCUCAUAGGUCUCCGGAACUCGCACAACUCAACAGCCAAACUCCUCGAAUAAAACAAUUAAUUCAACACCAAACCUUCUAUUCCAUUCUUCGAGUAGGAUUUCUAUCAAACCGAAAAUUCUAACUAGUAGCCUACAACCGAUUUAUCCAAUUUAAUGUACCAUGUACUAAUGAGUUGGACACUUCUAAUAAUUCACAAUUAGGCUAACAUUAAUUUAGUAACAGGAUCGUAUCCAAACAUGGAAUUUACAUUAUUGUACUUUUGCCAAUUUAGUGUUUUACCCUCCAUUUCAAUUUUAGGGAAGCGCAAAACCGCUUUUUAACAAUAAUAAUGGGGUCAUUUUUGGAAAUAAAAAGUAUGAUUAAUUUAAAAAUUAUAUUGACCGUCAAGUUGAAACCUAAAUUAUAUAAAUUGGCCAUUAAGACUUAGGAGCCUCUAAAACAUGCGGCACAUCCAAUAAACACAAAGAAGAAGUAAAAUGCGAUUGCAGGUUACGUGCAUCGAGAUGCUAGGUUUCUAUUCGAUGUUAUAAAAUAGUCACUAAGUAAAUACUAAUAAGUAAUGAAUCAAAAAUACUAUGCAAUUAUUAAUAUUCUCUAACAUAAUACUCGAUAAUUACUAACAUUAUCUAACACUAGGCAAUUAUUAAUAUUCUCUAACUAUGCAAUUAUGGUAAUGAUACCAACCUCAUUAUCGCAUAUAUCACCGACGCGAUGUCAUUUGCGGUGGCCCCAAAGUAGUUUUACAUCGAUUGGCUCAGGGUCGACGCACGGGGAUAUUGGUCCAUACAAGUAAUCCAUCCUACAACAAAACAAAAUAUUAAUAAAAAACAAAACUAAAAAAUUACAAAUUAAAAAAUAAAAUUAUAGAAUUACCGAUUAGUUGGUUGCAGAACGAGGACUCGUUAUCGGUACAGAAAAAUCAAGAAAGGAAGGAAUGAGAAAUAGUGGAUUGGUGUGGAAUGAAAGAGGAGGAGAGGGUGAUAUUUAUAGAACAACUGGAGGCAUACUAGAACGUGCGAUGCACUGUGCCUCCAACGGUUAUAUUGAAACGGUCAUCUAACGAUCGUUACAAUAUAGCCGUUGAUUCCACCUUAAAACGCUUCACACAUCCUAAGACACGCCGCGAGUUGUAGAGGGUACUAGUGAUCAUUUUGUAUAAUUUAAAUUUUAAUUUAACUAUCUACAUAAUUUUUGAUUUAUUCAUGUCUAAAAAAAAUCCCCAUUUUCUAAGCCUUAUCUCAUCUCUUUCCUGCUCGUAUAAAAAAUUUCAUUAUUUUAUUUUUAGAAAAUUGGCCCCUUGUAUUUUAAUUUUACCAAAUUGGUGAUUAGCCCCUUUAUGACAAAAUUGCCCACGUCCCCUCUUACAUUAUUGCUAAUUAACCAACCAUAUUUUCUGUUAUGGUUUCGGUUAGUUUACUAUUAAAACCUAACAAAUCAGCAUGCCAUAUCACUAAGUCCGUUUAUAUCAUCAUGUUUAUGUUGAGACCAUCCAUUAUGGUGAGCUAAAUAGCUAAAAAUGCUAUUAUUUAGUUCCAAGUAGCUUCACAAUGGGAGAGCUAAAUAUCCAAAAAGUAAAAAAAGCUAAAAUAGUUGGUAAAAAAUAAUUGGGUCAAAUAGCUAAGACUAUCUACAUCAAUACAAUUCAUCUCCAUCUAUAAAAGUGAUCCACAUUUUCACAUCAUUAACUUUUGCAAUUUCACAUUCUAUAUUUUCAUAUCAUUUUCAUCCAUACAAUUCAAUUCCAAUUGCAAAAAUGAGACCAAUAUAUAUAUUAUUUAUAUUUUCUUCAAAUUAAUUCGAAUGUUAACAAAAAGUGGACCCAAAUGAAUUUUAAAAUAUUGUAUGAAUGGUGUAGCCCCAAAUAAAAUUAUCACUUGACUUAUAACAAAUGUAAAUUUGCAUUUAAAAGUUACAUUUUUUCAUCUAUGAUAUUUUCAAUUGAAUUAUAAAAAUUUAACACAUAAAUUCCAUAUCAUUUUAUAAAUAAAUAAAAUCUCAUUAAUGGGAUGCUUUAAUAGUCAAAUUUCACACUACCUGGCAGACCCAUAGUAAUGGAAGGCGUAUGGAAUUAAAAACAUAUUAGGAAAGAGAGUGACAAACAAUGCCCAAUGAUAAAUCAAUAAUCCGGCGAGUGGAAGACAUGCGGACUUGCUGCUGCUGAGAUUCCUUGAAUAAUUAUUCAUCAGUACAAUCCAGCUGGCACAAUUUGAUUGGCUUCUUUGUGUUGUUGUGAUAAAUGGUUUUGCUGUUCUUUGUUAAAAAAGGGAAUUGCCUUCAUUAUUUCACAUAACCAUCCGUCAUGUUUGUUCACGAACAUUAAUAUUAUUUUUUGACAUUCAUUCAUAAAUUUAAAAUUUAAAGUGCCUUAAUUAUGGAUAUAAUUUAACGAGAAAUUGAAAUAUUUGAAUUUUAUCUUAGAUCUAUUUUCUUGCAACUCAAGGAUAUAUGCAAAAUAAAUAUCAUAGCCCAUCAAGUGGUAAAAUUAUCACAUGAGACCAAUUUAUGGUGAACCAACACAAAUAUGACCAAGAUUACUACUUCAAAACCGAGUAGUUCUUGUGUUUGAAUAAAGGUCGAUUAAAAUUGACAUAGAGUCACAUAGUGAUCUUACUACCAUCCUGGCAUUGAUAGCCAUGUUAUAUCCAUAUAACUUUUUGUUGGAUAUAAUUAGUAUAUCAUUGAUGAUAUACGAAAAUCAUGUUCGAGAGAGAUGCACAAUUGGCAAGUUAGUGGUAAUCUUCCACAUCUUUCAUCAAAGACUUGAUGUCUUAAAACUUUUCAUUUCUCUUGGGAAUUUGAAUUUGCCUCAAAUUGAAAUUUUUUUUUUUAGCCAAUCAUUUCUAUCUGUGCAUGCAUUUUGGCUAAUGAUCCUCAUUUUCAACUAUCAUAUUUAGCGUUGCACUAUACGCAAAUAUUUCGUCGACGUUGACUUCAUUGGGGUUCCAAUAUUUUCCAUCCAAGAUAUAGAUAAUUGAGAUAUAUAUUCAUAUCUUUCAGGUACCUGAUACUCUUCUUGAGCACAUUAUUUGUUUCUCUUGGUGGCUUUGUUUAAAUAAUCUUAACCUCAAUUUGACCAUCUUGAUAUAUAGCUCCAUUCCACUUUUGAGGAUUUUUUCUUUGGAACCGAGUGGUCUAUCACGCCUUUGCGGGUUUUAGACUCAUUUGUGAUGUCAGAUUGCCCAAUAUUGGCAUUAUUGUUAUUGGAGCAUUUUGAGUUGGCACAUGAAAACUUUACUCUCGUUGGGUCAGUAAAGUGUCUGGCAGAUAAUGAAUUAUAUAUUUUUGAACUUCAAGCUCAUAUUGCUUAGUGCGAGGAUCAAAAUAAUAUGAUCAUUCAUCUAAUCUCUUGGCCAACUUUUGUUUUGUCCCCCUAAUGUUGGGAAGUUUAAAUAUAAACCUCCAAACGAGUCAUCAAAAUACUCCCGACAACGAUGUGAUACUUUACCAUCGAUGAACUCGUAAUCAAAAUUCAAUCUUCAUUGAGAACCCAUCCUAAUAAAUGGUGGUGGAGCAAUUCAGAUGUGUAUAUCACAUCCAUAUAUCCAAUGAUGGGAAGUAUAAGGUUUUGACCCAAAAACCACAUAUAAUGGAGGAAUUCAUAAUAAUUUCUUGGCGUAAUGCGAAUUUGUGUUGUUCAUGUAAAUGACAUGUUCACAAUAAUAUAAAUGGAAAAUGUUCGUCUUAAUGACACAUUUUCGUUAUUGGAUAAUCAUGAAAAUAUGCUCAUAACCAAAUGGUUGAGCUAGUAAUCUCCCAAAUUAAAGUUUGUCAUGAUAUACACAUGUGACUAUCUAAUUGAUGCAUCAAUUAAAAUAAUUGGCUCACAUGUUGGGUGUAUUGAUCCCCAAAUAUCACCUUUGUUUUGUUGUGUGGAGGAGAAAUGAUCUUACUUUAGUUGAUGAUUAUCCAACAAUCUACUCUAUUUGAGAAUAAGCAACCAAAAACUGAGUUAUGUUGCGUUGGAGAUUUACCCAACAAUGGGUAACGGAAAGGUCAAAAUGCUUUCCUAGAAACGAAACAUUGUUGACAGAACAGAAAACCGUUCGUGUUCCCAGGAAGUAGGGGAGUCACAAGGACUACUUAAAUCCAUAUAACCUUAGGAAUCAUUUCUUUAGAAUACCCAAGUUGAGACCAUCAUGCACAACAAUGUUCAAGAGAACAUACUCUUUAGAUUAUGGAAUCAUCAAAAUUGACCAUAGAGGUACUUAUCGAUUCCCAUCAUGAUUGAACCUGGAUGGUCUCACCGGUUAUGCCAAAUAAUAGUUGUCAGGACUAGUAAACUUUUGUUUUACAUUGACAUAUAUCUCAAUCAUGGUAACAUAUGCGUAGUACGAAUUGGAGGAAAAUAUUCAUAUUCUAUUUUAUUGAUGGUCACAAGAGAUAGGAACAAUAAUGUGGUCUAUGACCAUGCAAAAGGUUUUCGCUCAUGCAUGAACAAUAUAAUAUCUCGAUCUAGAGUUUGAAAUAAAAUAUAAUAGCUCGAUCCAGAGCUUGAGAGAAAUGUUGUACUACACCAUAUAUCUUGGUGCACUAUCGAUGUGAUAUAUAUCACAAUUAAUUAUGGUGAUUCGCAUCAUAAAAUACUCAUUUUUGUCAUAAGAAUGGUACAUGGUUUAAAUGAUAAAUAGAGAUAUUUCUCAAUCAUCUAUGUCACCAAUUAAUUGAUCAAUAAUUCUCGUAUAACCACAAUUGUUAUGUCUAUCCGAAUAAAAUGGUUCCUUAUGUGAACAAUGAUAAUAUGUUGUCACUUAUGCUUUCAGGAACAAUGUAACAAAAUAAAAGUGUCUUUGCAGAUCGUAUGAUGUUACUUGUGCUUUCAAGAAUAAUGUAACACAUGUGUCUUUCCACAAUCACUUUGAGGGCUAAAUUAGUAUCAGUUGGAUAUGAUCAUCAAAAUAAAACUGACAGUUGUACCACCAAUCAUAGGAUUAAAAUUGUUCAACAUCAAUUCACAACUCUCUUCCACGCGAGAAGAUAAAUUUCACAAAUUUCUUUCCCAUGACCAUAAUAAGAGGUAUUGUCCUCCACAAUAGUGUAUUGUCGUAUCGCCUUCGUGGGAAUAUAUGUAUUGUCACAAAGGACAUGAUAUAAUCAUNNNNNNNNNNNNNNNNNNNNNNNNNNNNNNNNNNNNNNNNNNNNNNNNNNNNNNNNNNNNNNNNNNNNNNNNNNNNNNNNNNNNNNNNNNNNNNNNNNNNNNNNNNNNNNNNNNNNNNNNNNNNNNNNNNNNNNNNNNNNNNNNNNNNNNNNNNNNNNNNNNNNNNNNNNNNNNNNNNNNNNNNNNNNNNNNNNNNNNNNNNNNNNNNNNNNNNNNNNNNNNNNNNNNNNNNNNNNNNNNNNNNNNNNNNNNNNNNNNNNNNNNNNNNNNNNNNNNNNNNNNNNNNNNNNNNNNNNNNNNNNNNNNNNNNNNNNNNNNNNNNNNNNNNNNNNNNNNNNNNNNNNNNNNNNNNNNNNNNNNNNNNNNNNNNNNNNNNNNNNNNNNNNNNNNNNNNNNNNNNNNNNNNNNNNNNNNNNNNNNNNNNNNNNNNNNNNNNNNNNNNNNNNNNNNNNNNNNNNNNNNNNNNNNNNNNNNNNNNNNNNNNNNNNNNNNNNNNNNNNNNNNNNNNNNNNNNNNNNNNNNNNNNNNNNNNNNNNNNNNNNNNNNNNNNNNNNNNNNNNNNNNNNNNNNNNNNNNNNNNNNNNNNNNNNNNNNNNNNNNNNNNNNNNNNNNNNNNNNNNNNNNNNNNNNNNNNNNNNNNNNNNNNNNNNNNNNNNNNNNNNNNNNNNNNNNNNNNNNNNNNNNNNNNNNNNNNNNNNNNNNNNNNNNNNNNNNNNNNNNNNNNNNNNNNNNNNNNNNNNNNNNNNNNNNNNNNNNNNNNNNNNNNNNNNNNNNNNNNNNNNNNNNNNNNNNNNNNNNNNNNNNNNNNNNNNNNNNNNNNNNNNNNNNNNNNNNNNNNNNNNNNNNNNNNNNNNNNNNNNNNNNNNNNNNNNNNNNNNNNNNNNNNNNNNNNNNNNNNNNNNNNNNNNNNNNNNNNNNNNNNNNNNNNNNNNNNNNNNNNNNNNNNNNNNNNNNNNNNNNNNNNNNNNNNNNNNNNNNNNNNNNNNNNNNNNNNNNNNNNNNNNNNNNNNNNNNNNNNNNNNNNNNNNNNNNNNNNNNNNNNNNNNNNNNNNNNNNNNNNNNNNNNNNNNNNNNNNNNNNNNNNNNNNNNNNNNNNNNNNNNNNNNNNNNNNNNNNNNNNNNNNNNNNNNNNNNNNNNNNNNNNNNNNNNNNNNNNNNNNNNNNNNNNNNNNNNNNNNNNNNNNNNNNNNNNNNNNNNNNNNNNNNNNNNNNNNNNNNNNNNNNNNNNNNNNNNNNNNNNNNNNNNNNNNNNNNNNNNNNNNNNNNNNNNNNNNNNNNNNNNNNNNNNNNNNNNNNNNNNNNNNNNNNNNNNNNNNNNNNNNNNNNNNNNNNNNNNNNNNNNNNNNNNNNNNNNNNNNNNNNNNNNNNNNNNNNNNNNNNNNNNNNNNNNNNNNNNNNNNNNNNNNNNNNNNNNNNNNNNNNNNNNNNNNNNNNNNNNNNNNNNNNNNNNNNNNNNNNNNNNNNNNNNNNNNNNNNNNNNNNNNNNNNNNNNNNNNNNNNNNNNNNNNNNNNNNNNNNNNNNNNNNNNNNNNNNNNNNNNNNNNNNNNNNNNNNNNNNNNNNNNNNNNNNNNNNNNNNNNNNNNNNNNNNNNNNNNNNNNNNNNNNNNNNNNNNNNNNNNNNNNNNNNNNNNNNNNNNNNNNNNNNNNNNNNNNNNNNNNNNNNNNNNNNNNNNNNNNNNNNNNNNNNNNNNNNNNNNNNNNNNNNNNNNNNNNNNNNNNNNNNNNNNNNNNNNNNNNNNNNNNNNNNNNNNNNNNNNNNNNNNNNNNNNNNNNNGUUAAAUUUGAGUGGGAAUUUGACUUUUUUAGGUUCAACUUUUCUAAAGUUAAAACGCUAAAUUUGAGUAAAUUUUUUUCCCCACCGCUAGUAUAGUUUCAUUCCUGAUCACGGACACCUGUGUAGGAACCACCUAUGAUCUCUUCACUUUCUUUAUGGUUCUGAAUACAACUAUAUUCACACCAUCUUCCUGCUCUUCACCCAAAUUCGACAAUGAUAUCAGCAAUACUUUGUUAUUUUAUUUAUGUCAUUAAUAAAUAAGUUUAUAAUUAAGCUGAUUAGGAUGUUGACUAAAAUGAUGACCCCAACUGCCACGUCAGUGUUGGACAGAAUUAUUGACGAAAUUGGACGGAAAAUAUAAUGGAAGGAUACGAUUGGUUAAUUGGCAGGACUGUAAGGGAANNNNNNNNNNNNNNNNNNNNNNNNNNNNNNNNNNNNNNNNNNNNNNNNNNNNNNNNNNNNNNNNNNNNNNNNNNNNNNNNNNNNNNNNNNNNNAUCCAUUUAUUUAAUUGAUGGUUUGUCAUUAGGUCCGCUCAAAUUCACAACAGUUCAAGCACAUGUAAUUCAUUUUUCUUCUUUCCUUUUAUAAAUGAAUUUUAGUUCAACAUUAAAAUGAAUUAUAUAAGUUCAAAAUUAAAAUGGUCCUGUUUUUUAAGGCCCUUGGUUUUUACUUUUUGGCUACUUCUUUUUGGUUGGCCCAAGUCAUCUAGAGUGAACAAUGAUUGAUUGUUAGCGUAUGUAGUUGUAUGGGUUUUGAGCCCAACUCGAGCCUAUGUUAUUUUGUUGUCUUUUCUUGAAACAACGUUACUUAAUUAUAUAAAUAGUCCAUCAAUUGUCUCCCUAUAUACAGGUGAUACCAGAGAACGAGAUCGACGAGCAAAGUUUGUGAGAAACCGUGCUCCUAUAUUUUCUAACCCACUCAACCCUGAAUAUAGGUCUACUAUUAAGGAUGUGUUGGCAUCGCUCCAUUAUCGGGCCAAACUCCAUGCUACCAUGUCCCAACGUUACUUCUUGGUAAUCUGUCUCAAUGAUGGCCUUUUCAUAGCCCAUGUCUCGUAUCCAUUCGAAGCUAUCCUUCACUGCAUGCGCUUCUUCUUCCCCGCUCUUGUUAACCUUGUUGCCUUCUACAUGAGGAAAUGUAUUAAACCACCUGACUCAUCGCAAACCGCUAGUCUUACGCCAUGGUUUCUAUCCUGAUGGAACAGGGGAAUGUCAACAUUGCAGUUGACGUACCCCACCGGUGGUGGGUGCCAUUAAGGACAAGCUGUGGGUUGAGGUUGUUGUGGUCGCUUCUCCUCCGUCCAAUAAUUCACCCAUUCCAACAAGUCAUCCAAAGCAUGUCGUAUAAUCACCUCUGGUGACUAGCCUCCCCAUUCCAUACUCGCUCGUUCCUUUCCCGCCAGACUACCUUGAAUCUGUAAAUUCGCGUUGGAUUGCAACAUUUGGAAAACCCAUCCCCGUACAUCAUCCACUUGCAUGCAUACCGAAUGGACCCACUGCCACAUUCCCAACAAGGUCUACCAAUUUCACACUCGAAGAGCAAGUUAUCGAGAUCCUCACCCAUUUUCAAACAACAGUCGCAAGUAUCCAGUACUAUGACUGCUUGCUUGCCAGACGCACUCUAGUUGGCACCACAUCACGAGCCACCCGCUAAAUUAUGAAAUUACUCGAAUGAUUUAAGUGGUUACGUUAUGUCAUGUCAUUCAUGUGACUAUGUUAUGUUAUGCUAUGUUAUUCAUGUGAUCCGGAUAAUUGUAUGCCAAUAUCAUUGUGAUUAAGUGGUUACCUUAUGCUAUGUUAGUAUGUAAUGGUUAAGUGCCUAUCUUAUGUUAGGUUAUGUCAGGUUAUGAUAUCUCUUGAUGAUGUGCAAGUUACAACUUUCAACUACAUUAAAGCAUGUCAUGUUCCCCAACAUUAGUGUCCACGUUAUGUCCAUCAUAUUCAUGUUAUGAUUAACUGCUUAUGUUGUUGCUUGAUGAUGUGCAAGUUUGCCCUUUUAAACUAUGUUAACUCAUUUCAUGUUCUCCAAGAUCAGUGUUGUGAAACCCCAUCCUAAGAGUCCUGAUCGAACCACUAGUUCAACCAAUGAGGAGUCCUACUCGGGUUUCAACUUGAAACACACUGAACUCUAGGCUACUAAUAAAAACAUUUAAAACAAUAUCCUCUGAUAUCAAAACACCGACAAGCUCUCUCCCCACCGUGAGCUCCAGUACCUGUGACUGAACACACAAAUAUGCCAAGGAAAACAAGCUAAGUCUAAUGGGGUCAGUGAUAAGCAUUGAGUGGCUAAAUUAGACUGGCGUAAAACUAUGACUAUACUGAGAAGAUAGGGAAAGAAAGUAUAACUAAUCCCUGAAUCUAGUAAUGUGACCUUGUGGUCCUAUAGGCAACAUCCUAUCAAUAGUCACCCCUAGCUAGUAGUUGAUAGCCUAUGGUGGAUCAGACCAUGAAACCACCCCGUAGAUACAGUGCGAGUAACAUCAGUAGGCAUACUAGACACGCCCUGCAUGACCGUAUGUCACCACAACUUUAAUUGGACUCAAGGCCCACACCUUAAGUUCAUGUCCAAUUAGAGUGGAAGUCCUCACCCUUCACUUGAAUAGUUCAAUUCCUAUCCAUAGCCAUACGAUCAAUCUAACGAUCUAGAAAUCUCCAAGUCCAUAACUAACAAUUCACAGACUUAACUCUUCCUCCGAUUGACUUAGUCAACCCGGUAACUACCCCGAGCCUUACAAACCCUUAAUACUUGGUCAACUGUGAACUCAACUCCUCAAAUUAAUUAAAUUAAUUCAUUUUCCAACUUCCGACUUCUACUCAACGAGUAAAUUUUGAAUCAAACCGAAAUCAAACCAAAAAUUGGGGUGUCACAACUCUCCCCUCCUACAAAAGAUUUCUUCCCGAAAACCGAACGUCACCCCACUGAGCGGGAAGGAUUCGGCGCAAUAGUGUUCAACUAUGGCGCUUGCACUCCUACUUGGUAGCAAACGACCUUGAUGUGUCGUCCUUCUCAAGUACUCAACCAGUCCACUCCUCGAAAAUGACCCAGGGUCAAAUCAAAGUCUAACCACAACCUUGUCCUCGAAGACCGACAGUGACACCUUUAAAGAAAUGAGUCAACCCAUGGGCAAUACUCAUCAUCCUCUGGACCUUCAUUUCUUUUCCACUUCUUGUUCCCCUAACUCUCCUUCCUCCUGACUAGAACAUCCAAAGCUCGCACCUCGCUCAUGACCUCUCAGCCCUGAAAUGCUCAUUCCUUAACUGAUUUCCUUUGAAAUCUGAACACACCUUCCCCUUCCUAGAUGAUACUUGGCCCUUGGUAGUCACCAUCUGGCGGAAGGACUUCCCUUAACCUACCGAGCAUCAGCUUUGCACUUUCAGUAUCCUUACGAUCUUUUUGCACCCUAAGCAUUGUUUCUAGCUCGUCAACCCGCACUACCAUGUCCCAGACAUAGAAGUACAUAGACCAGUCCUUGCCAUGCUGCUUUGAAGAUGCAGCUAGUCGAGCAGCAAGCUCAACCUCGCAACUUUGAUCUUGAUGCUUAUACUACUAUUCCCCAUUUUCUUACUGAUAGGUAAUACUAAUCAUAUAGUACUACCAAGACCUUAGCCAACUCACAGAAUCUUGUCAUCCUUUCCCAUGAUGACGGUUCCGACAAGUCUGAUCACGCUUGUGACCGUUGUCCCGCCACGCCCAUGGUAUUCUCCUCACCACACUCGUGGUCCUCUCCUUACCACGCUAGCUUGUGGUCGACUAUCAACAACGACCGUUGCCACUUGACUGUCACAGCCGUUGCCUCAUGAUCACUGCACCAUCACACUCGUGAUGUACUACAUGUCAUGACCAUGACUGUCAUCCAACCAUACCCGUCACGGACUAUUCGUCAUGCAUGUGACUAACUGUCAUCCACGACCGUGACGACCUUUUUGUCAAGCCCGUGAUGUAUCAUCCCUCACGCCUGAGGCCAACUCUUUGACAAGCCCGUGGCUGAGCUUCACCACGCCCAUUGCUUGUUGAUCAUCGUGACCGAGGUUAACAUCCCGUCACGCCCGUGACUGACUUCUUUUUCCUAGAACUACCAGAGUUGCUACAGCUGUUACAGUAACACGCCUUACUGUCUUUCUGAGACCAACAAAGACCUAUCUCUACUCUUGCCCUAACUACUCCAUCGGCCCUCAGAUGCUUCCCAUCCUUGCCUUCAAGCAUGGUUCUCAAUUAAAUACUAGAGGCUAACUGUCUCUUUGACGUUACACCUCAAGGAGCGAAAGCAUCCUUUAAACUCUGAAUUCCCUUCCCAUUGGGGUCCAAAAGGAUCAUCCGACUAAUGGCUCUAAUGAAGAGUUCCACUGGAUGAAAUUCCCAGAUUCCAUCCAAUGCAUCAUGUAACACCUUAGGCAAAUCGCACAUCGACAAAGUACGAGAGAGAUCAAUGGGUUAUGAGUAAUACUCUAUCCUUAACUGACAAGAUACAUUUUCGGGGUGAGAUGAAGGAGUUCGUGUAAAGAACUCUGAAGUUAAUCAUGCUCAAGUGGGAGCGGUUUAGAAAUGGGUGACCUCUUGGGAAGUCAUUGUUCAGCACCCGAAAAAAAAUCCGUGAGGGAUUAGCUAUACCCAAAGCGGAAAAUAUCUUAUCAGAAAAGGUUGGGGUGUUGCACUUCCCUUAUCACUACCCCUUGUCUUACUAGAAUUCUUAAAGUUCAACAACAAGCCUUUGAAUCAAGAAAGUAAGAUACUCUGCCCCUUGGUUCCUUAAUCCCUUUCUUUUCUCUUUCUAGAGCUGGUGAGAGAGUGGUCGUUCAAAUCCUGACAAACUAUCGCAAUGUUCCCUUUUAAAGCACCUGAAUCCUGAAAACUCUUUUCUUAAUAUCUUUUGCAAAGACUGACUCACCACAUCAUUUUUUUCUAGACACUCACCUACUGCCCCAUGAAAGACUAGUACCGUUACAUGUGUCGACUCACCUUCUCCCCUCUGAGGUUCGUGACGCCUCUGAGGAGUAGGUAGCAUACCGUUAGGGUUACAAGAAAACCGGGCUCUAAUACUAGUUGUCAAACCCCACCCUAGGAGUCCCAGUCAAACCACUAGUUCAACCGAUGAGUCUUACUCAGUUUUUAACUUGAACCACACUCAACUCUAGGCUACUAAUAAAAACAUUAAGACAAGCAUUAACAGCUUAAACUGAACACUUCAAUAAAAUUGACAAACUAGGAUCCGAAAUCCCAAAACACAACAAAUCAAAAAGAGAUGCAACUCCAGUUUAAAAAUACAUAAAAAUUAUAUCCUCUAAUAUAUAAAAACCAACCAGCUUUCUCCCCUCCAUCAGCUCCAAUACCUGUGACUGAACACAUAGAUAUGCCAAGAAAAACAAGUCUAAUGGGGUUAGUGAUAACCAUUGAGUGGCUAAACUAGGCUCGCAUAAAACUGCAACUAUACUAAGAAAAUAGGGCAAGAAUCAAGUAAUGUGACUCUGCGGUCCUGUAGGGAUCAUCCUAUCAAUAGUCACCCCUAACUAGUAGCUGAUAGCCUCAUGAAGGAUCAUACCAUGAAACCACCCGUUGAUACCGUGUGAGCAGCAUCUGUACGCAUACUCCACACAUCUUGCAUGACCGUAGAAACAUCCUGGGGGAUUUUGCAAUCCAUGGGUGGGUGACCAACACACAUAAGGAGCUAAUCUAGCUAAAUCUGAAUUUUGUCCUAAGCAUGAACUGUGAACCACAGUUCAAAUGUCAUGAGCUUAUGCUCGAACUUAAACAACUACCUGUUCAGUAGAUCACACGCUACUGCACAGUGUAUGAGCCCGACUCUGUUUCAUAACCCAUGUAUAGUAGAUGACACGCUAUUGCACAGUCUUGAGAGCCCGGCUCCGAAACACAACACAUGUACCGUAGAUCACACGCUACUGUACAGUCCUGAGAAUCCGAUCAUCGCAUUCCUGACAAUCCUAAUUACAGUUAUAUGCUUAAGUCAAAAAGUAAUCCUAACCCUCACCUAUUAAGAAGGGAUGGCAUUUCUGAUUCUCACUUGACAUGAUUCCUCUCACUGCCACUAAUCUAUAGCUUCUGACCGUGCAUCAUUUGGAGUUUAACCAAUUGAGUUAUACUCCAUUUACUUGUAGCAAUCUGAAACUUGCUAGGACAGAAACGUGGCGCUAAUCCUCCAACUGCCUCCAUUACACUAACUGAUCCAAAACUUCUACUCAUUGACAAAACUAACCCAAGUCCUUAACUAUAAAACAUCCAAAAGUUCAAAGUUGCUAAAGGUCCUCAACGCGUCCUACACACCACCAAAGCCGUUGCACCCUUGCCGAACGCGGAUGGCGCCACCGCUACUGCUAUUCCUAAAGCUCCGCCUUGAAUCUCCUCAAUCUCCUCCGAAAUAGUGAUCGGCACCGCCACAACUCCAUCCUCGUUUGCCCUCGAUCGAUGGAAUUCAAAAUCCUCACCUCUUGGCGUCAAAACUAAUGGCAACAAGUAACUUACCCUGCUCAUCGUCUCAGUGCAUCACCAGUUAGAUCAUGGAAGGGAAGUUAAACCAUUCUCCCACUUGAUGGUAAUGGGGCCCAACUCCACAAUCUGAUCCAUCAUACGGCCCAAGGCCCACCUCAACUUUAAUUGGACUCAAGGCCAUAAUUUAAGCCUAGGGUGGCAGUCCUCACCCUUCACUUGAAUGGUUCAAGUCCUAUCCAGAGCUAUAAAAUCAAUCUAACGGUCUAGAAAUCUUCGAGUUCAUAACUAACAAUUCACAGGCUUAACCCCUCUUCUGAUGGACUUAGUCAACCCAAUAACUAUCUCGAGCCUUACAAAUCUUUAAUACUUGGUCAAUUGCUGAGUCAACUCAUCAAAUUAAUUAAAUUAAUUCAUUUUUCAACUUCCGACUUCUACUCAACGAGUAAGUUUUGAAUCAAAAAAAAUUUUAACCGAACCAAAAAUUGAGGUGUCACAAUUGUCUACAGUAUGCUUAGCUUAUACAUGUGAUGGUUAGACAGUUAUGUUCAUGUUUCUACUUGAUGAUGUGAAAUUCAUUAAACUAAGAUAAGUUGUUAAACUAUAAUAAGUCCUUAAAUUAUGAUAAGUCAUGUUCAUGAGAUCCAUGUUAUGGCAUGUCUUUUUUCCAGGAUUAAUGCUCCCAUUAUGUCCAUCAUAUUCAUGUUACGGUUAGGUAGUUAUGUCAUGUUAUGUAUUAUUUAAUGAUGUGCAAGUUGUACCCUCGAAUUAUGAUAAGUCAUGUCAUGUCUCCCUGAUAAGGGUUUAUCUCAUUUUCAUGUGAUCCAUGUUAUGGUUAAGUGGUUAUGUCAUGAUAUGUUGGGUUAUUACAUGAUGAUGUGCAAGAUGUGCCUUGAAUUAUGAUAAGGCUAGACUACUUCAAGGUUAGGGUGUGAUAUGUCUACAUGACUAGUGAGUAGUGAAUAAGUACACGUUACUUAGACAAGUAAUGUGUAUUAGAAACAUGUAACUUUCUGGCUAGACCACCACCCCCUAUGUUGUGAUCUCAUGGUACCGUCUGAUGGAUACAUACUCACGGACUCUCACGUUCACGUUUGGGCCGGUAUUGCCCCUCAUGUUACCGUCUGACUGAUACGUACUCGCAGACUCUCACGUUCAUAUUUGGGCUGAUAUUGCCCCAUGUUUCUCACGUUUGGGCCACAUUUUUCCCCUUAUGUUACCGUCUGAUGGAUACAUAGUCCCAAACUCUCACGUUCACAUUUGGGUGUUGGACUAGUUAGUUGAGUUGGGGGGGGACGUCCCGCUAUUGAAAGUUCAAGUGAUAAGAUACCUCAGAUAAGUUCAUGUACAAGUAUGUCAAGUUCAAGGGAUAAGAUAACUUAGAUAAGAUCAAGUAUAAGAUUCAAUGUUAUGUGUUUUCAUGUUCGCUAAGUGAUGUUGGUGAUAAUGACCACCUGAUAUGAUAUGUUCAGUGAUUGUCAUGUGCUGAUGUGUUGUGAUAUGUUCAAAUGUUUCUUAGAUGUGAUAACUAUGUGUUGGGAUAAAUAUUCAUGUAAUGAUGUGUUCCUUAUGUUCCAAUGUGCCAUGGAUUUGAUGACUAGUUGUGAUCAAUAUUCAUGCAGUGAUGUGUUCCUUAUGUUCCAAUGUUCCUUUAGAAUGGAUUAGAGGUUCAACCUUUGAUGAUGACUAUGUUACUUGCCAUGUUGAGUUCUCAUGUGUUAGGAUUACACAAAGAUGGAUACUAUAUCUUAUAUGCCUACUUAGCUAGUAUCAAUGAUGCCUUAUACAAUGAUAUGUUUUUGUCUUCCCUAUGUUCUAGCAUGAUACUCAUGUUAUGUGUCUACAUAACUAAGUCAGAAUAUGUUGUGGUUAGAUAACUAGAAAGCAUGUCCCUAAGUAAAGGCAAUGUUUGAAUAUAGCAAUGUCUGAUUAAGGUGAUGUCUGAAUAAGGUAAUGUCUGAUUAAGAUGAUGUCUGAAUAGUUUGAUGUCUGGAUGAGUUGAUGUUUGAAUAAUUUUGAUAUUGUUAAACUUAAGUUGGAAAUCAUAUGUGUUAUAUUAGAGCAUAAUAGACUAACCCCAGAACCACCCACUAGGGUGUUUCUAAGUUGAUGCAGUAGUAGAGUUGAGCUGAUUCGGAUGUGCAGCGAUGGACUUGGUAUUCAAUGUCGGGUUUGAGUUUCAAGUGUUUAUUCUGAGACUUGAUUCUUUUCAUGUUGUCUUAUGUUGGAGCACUCUCCGCUUUUGUUAAAGCAGAUGAUCAUUUUCUAUCUUUUUGGUUGUUCUAUUUAAAUAAAGUUUUUGAAAUUCCUUUGAGUUGAGUCCCUAUAGGGCAAUUUGGUUAUUAAAUAAAUAGAAAGUUUUUGGGGUGUGUCACAAGCGCCCGCGACAAAGAGUAAAACCUGCGACCAUUGUAUGAGCGCUAAUGGAUUUAUUCAAACGUUGUCGCAGUCCGCCUAAAACAAGAGCUCGACUGCGAUAAACAUAGUGAAUGACUACCCUUCAGCAGCCGAUCUCCACUCAUUCCACACAGCUUCAACUCUCCUCCCAUCUGAAAUCCUCCUAUUCCUCUCAAUUUCCUCCAUCGAUUUUCUCCUCUUCUCUUCUCCAAUUUUGUCACCCCGACUUCCACCCUUUUCUCGAAAUCGCCAAUAUCAGCUUACUGUUACUAACAAGAAGCAUAAGAGUUCGAUUUUGAUAUAGUUGUGUCGGGCAAUCGCAUUGUGUUUGAGUUGAAGAAUCAGGGGGUUAAACCUGUAGGUCCACUUCAUUCCUUCAUGGGAUACUACAUAAGUGAGUGUACAAGAAAUUAUGCUUACUACCCGGUCUCUCCAAUCGAAUGGAAGAAGUUGUCGCCCCAAUUGAAGACACGGGCUUGGGAGCAGUUUGUGCUAGUAAGUAUUAUUUUAGUUUUUUUAAUUAGAUAUAUUUUUGUAGUUAAAAUUGUAACUAGUUAGUGCUUAAUUGAUUUAUAUUAUAAACCUCUUUUCACAUUGAGGCGAAUGAGAUGGUUGAAGCUCGCAAAUAUUGGGAUCGCAAUGUUGGAAGACUGUUGGGGGAAGUCAAGGAUCACAAUUUGGCAAGCUUAGUUGAAGCAUGCACAAAUAAACCAACUCCCUCCAUAGUGGAUUAUGAAUAAUUCCUUGACAGGUUGUCCAAUGGCUGAUUGGAUAACGUACUUGUUGCGAGUUAACGACAAGUAGUUCGAGAUAGUACAUAUAUUUACAGAUUUCUAAUUGUAUUUGAUUGUAGUUUUUAAUACCGACUCAAGAACUUUUAUGUGCUUGAGUCAUAUCAAAUCAAGCCGCUCAAAUGGAAAACCAUAAAGGAGGGAGAAGGCCAUGUGAUACAUAUGUCAAGGAAACCAUUGAGAAGAUGGGUAAGCCACCUUCUCUACGCCAGAAGUUCAUAAAGUUCUUCCACUAACUAGAUGGAAGUUACAAAUCAGAACAUGGAAUACUUGUGGUGGUAAUGACUAGUUUCCAUAUAUAUAAUAGAUAUAGCUUUAAACUAGAAGACAAUAGAAUUAAUUGAACAUCUGUUAUGUAGGAGACUAUCAGCAACUAGAGCGGGAAGGAGCACCGACUGAGGUUGGGCCUAAUGACUCAUUGGCUCAAACACUAAACAAGCCAAAGCAUCGAGGCCACGUUCGGAUGAUGAGUUUGGGGUUUACCCCACAAUGGUAAUAAUGUUCAAUUUCAAAUUUGUUCUUUCUUGGGUCGUUAGUGUUUGUACCUUGUUUGGUGAUAUUUGUACUGUUUUUUCUUUAAGGUAUUUGGUGGUGCUAGCACUUGUUCAUCAUCAUCAUCAGCUCCUUCUGCCUCUGGGAAUGCAAGUGUGUCCUCAAAUGCUGCUCCUAGUGCUCCCCCUCCCUUACGAGAAGAGUUUGAUUGGAUGUCGUAGCAGAUGGCAUUGAUGUUGCAACAGUUGGCUACAAUGUAUUACAUGAUGUCGUCGGAGCUCGCCGGUGCUUUUACCUAAGUUUUGACUCCUGGGAUAGUUCCUGGUACUCCAUUCAAUCCAAGUCCUCUAUAUCUGUAUUAGGAGCCUAUGCAGCAGCAACAACCAUCUCAACAAUAGCAACAAGCUCAUGAGACCAAUCUUAUGGGUUACUUCCCAUUCUCUCAAGAAGCCAAAAAUCAGUUUCGCCUUCAUGGGAUGAUGGCGAAGCCUUUUCUUCCCUUCUUCAUACAUUAGAAAGAGUGAGUUUUAUAAUUAGUUUCUUGAAAUUUCAAUUAGAAUUCAUGUUUGUACUUACUUGUGUUUUUUAUGUUUAUAUAUAGGUCCCCAUUCCAGACACGAGGGAGCAACGAGAUGAUGAUGAUUGUUCGUAGUUGUAUUUCUAGUUAGUUCUAGCUCUCUCCCCAUCCCUAUUCCCAUAUAUUAUGUAGUAUUUGAAACUUCUAAGAUAGUUUCUUAAGAUAAUUUCUUAACGUUUGCAUAUUAAUGUUUGUUAUUGUAGUUUGGAAUUAUUACAUGAGAUGGUAAUUAUGGAAUUAUUAUGUGUUAUUAUGGAAACCUAAAAACUGCUCUAAAUUCUAAAAUUCUGCUCUAAAUUCUAGAACAUUGAAAAAGCUCUAUAACUGCAAAGGUAGAUCAAUUUGAAAGUGAUAGGUGGCACCAUACCAGAAUAGACACAUCUCCAGCAUUAUUGUAAUAGGCUAGUCGCAGGCCCUUUCUCGCAAGUGUUGACUACGAUUGGCCGGUCACUGGUAGCGCCUGUGAUAAAGCGCCUACAACCAGCCAAUCGCAGCCAACGGCUACGACAAGGCGAGCUUUGUCACAUCAAUAAUUGUCGCAUGCCUAUUUCUAUUUGUCGCAUGCACUGUAUGUAACCAUCCUUCUAUUUUAUGGCAGGCUGGCCUGCGACAUUGUUUUGUUUUUGCUUGUGACUGUUUUCCCUUUUUAUUGCAGUGUAAGUUAUACACUUUCAUGCAUUAUUACGUGUUGAAGAUGGAUUCUAACGUGAUUUUGAAAGCUCCUAGACCGAAACGAGUGACCAUUUAGUUUGAUUCUUUUAGUAAUGUGUAAAUGAAAAGUCUACAUGCUAAAUAUAAAUUCAUAAAUUUGUUCUCAAUAAUAAAAAGUUUACUAGUUAAGAAUAGUUGAAAUAUUGAUGGACGAUGUUAAGUUCAUCCUUCCAUAAAUUUAAUUCACAAACUUAAAAUGAUUCGUAAGUGAAAUGUUAGUAUUAAGACGUUCACAGAUGAAAACAACAAAGAUUGAACAUCAAACUGUAAAGAUAAAAAUAAACUGUAUCUCAUAUUAUUUGGAAUUAAGNNNNNNNNNNNNNNNNNNNNNNNNNNNNNNNNNNNNNNNNNNNNNNNNNNNNNNNNNNNNNNNNNNNNNNNNNNNNNNNNNNNNNNNNNNNNNNNNNNNNNNNNNNNNNNNNNNNNNNNNNNNNNNNNNNNNNNNNNNNNNNNNNNNNNNNNNNNNNNNNNNNNNNUAAUAUAAUACUCAUAAGUGGACAUAACAUAGACAUAAUCCACCUAUAAAGUGGACACAAUGAUUAUAUAUAUAAUUUUAUCAUAAUAUGAACAUAACAGUGACAUAAUUUACUUAUAAAUGUAACAUAAUAGUGAAUUAACAUACUCAUAAGGUGAAUAUAAUAGGGACAUAAAAUGUUCGUAAACCAAGCCUAAAAGAUGCCUAAUAAACUUAUAACUUAGACAUAACAUAGGCAUAAAAGAAUUGCAGUAGUACUGAUAUUUAGGUUAUGUAGCAUAAUAGCCUAAAACAAGUGGUCUACUCAAAACACUAAAAAUUGAUAUAUAAUCGUAAUAUAAUUGUUCUAUGACAGUUAUCCGUUAUUAACAUAGAAGUUGUACAAACAUAUUGUGACACCUUGAUUUUGGGUUGAGUAUGAUUCUAGGAUAGUAUUGGUUUUUGUGAGUCGGUGAGAAUCACUGUCAGACGGUCCGUCACGGGCGUAUCGGACAGUCUCUCAUAGGCGUGAUCAUCAGGUAGAUCAUGAUCGUGGUCAAUGAUAGUCACGAACGUGGCAGCCGGAGGAUGACGGCCGUGACCAUCAGUAGGUCAUGGACGUGGUUUCCAUGUCACAACGGGUGAGGUAAGCAGUACGCCAUGGGUGUGGUGGACAACUUAUGAAACCUAAUUUUCUUCUUCCUUGCAAACUUCUGACGAGCGACGAUUGUUCCAGGCACAGGGGAAAGUCUUGUUGAUCGAUCCAGACCAGUAGGAGAGGCCUAGAGAUCAUCGAGGAAGCUUUAGGAGGUAAUCUACCUUCUUCCUCGUUCGUCAAUCCUUUUCUUUGAAUCCCAUGUAGGAAAAUCCUGACAGGUUUGGAUUUGGAGUUUUGGGAUUUCAAUUUUAUGAUUGUUCCCUUCAGGUUAUAUGGAUUAGGCAAGCAAACUCUAGGUUUCAGAUCAUACUCUUCAGAGGAAAGCUUUCAGAGGUAGGGGUUAGGAUUACUUUUCUGCUUUAUGCGAAGAAUUGUAAUUAGUUGUCAGGAAUCCUUGUUUGGAUUUUCAGAAUUGUACAAUAGUGUGCGAUCUACUGUAUAGAAAGAUUUGUUAUGCAGUUUAGAGUUUCGGGUUGUACAAUAGCGUGUGAUCUACUGCAUAGGCAGAUGGUUAUGAUUCGAGCAUAAGCUCACAACGAGAAACUAUGCAUUUAUACAGUUCAUGUUAGGAUUAAGAAUCAGAACUAGAAUAUACUAGCUCACGAUAUACGUUGGUCACCCACCCUAUAGAUUGUGCGAUCCCCGAGGCUACAUUUACUUUCAGGUAGGACUUGACGAUAAUGCCUUCAGUUGCUGCUCUCACGGUCUGAUCCACCAUGAGGUCAUCCGCUCAUAGCUAGGGGUGGCUAAUGUUAGGAUAAUACCUAGAGGACCACAUGGUCACAUUACUAGAUACUAGUUCAGUUUUUCAUGUUCAGGGUCAGCUGCUCAGUGCUUAUCACUGACCUUGUUACAUUUCAUUAUACAUGAUCAACCUUGGGACUUCAGGAGCCAAUGCCGCUUAAGAAAGGAGCAUGAGUAGUGACACCACCUCGCAGUGAGUCUGGGAGUCACACAGAGAGGUACCAUCGAGUACCUCAGCUGUCUCUUUCAGUGUUUUCAUAGUUUUAAGACAGUCUUUCAUGUUUUUUCAGUUGUUUGUGAGACUUAUUUUACAGUGGUUGUUUUCCCAGGUUUGGGAUGUCUUUUAGUGAUGUUCAUUUUUGAAUUCGAGCCAUGAUGCUCUGUUUAUUUUUUGCUGUCGUUUUACUUAAGUAUUGAGGAUUUUCAGUUCAGUUAAUGUAUGUCAGUUGUUAUGAUAUAAGUUUGAGUGAACCCAUGAGCAAUGCAUGGAUAGAACCGUGUGGUUUGAUCGAGUCAUCUAGGGGUGGGUUUCACACAUAUUAGUUAUAUUAUGUGACAUUAUAAUAAAUAAUAAAGGGAAUAUUGUCAUUUACCCUCUUUUACUUCACCCAACUCGCAUUAAGCCCUCUAUACAAUUCAAUGUUCCAUUAACCCCUACACAUUGCCCACUUUACCAUUCGUCUCCUUCCGUUACGCUUUCCAUAUGUACACCGUUAAAACCAUACAACUCAACAUGCCAUGUAAGUUUUUCGGCACCACAUCAGCGUUUAAUUCCUUUAACAAUUCAUGAAAUAUAAAAAAUUCCAGACACCCUUCUUUCUUCACUCUUCUCCACUCGACCCCCAACCUUUCUCACAUCCGAUGCAGCCGAACUUCGCCCCGAGGGUGAACACAAGGAGAGGAGGGUUGCUAGAUUUUGGGUGUUGUUUUUGCACUCAAAUCCGAUUCAAAAGAAAUAUUGGCCACACUGGAAAAAAGUUAUGGUUUGAUCAUCCUCUAAACAUUCGUAGCAGUGUAAUUCAAGGUCUUAAAUUGGCUACCACUACCAAUUGGAAAGUGAGCAAGCCAAUUUGUAGCGAACACCAAGUGUUCAACAAAAUUCUUAGAUGCUAAAAGACUCUUACUGGCAUCACAAACACUUGACAAGGGUGCUAAGUCACUAUUUGACACCCCCUAACAUUCCAAUCACCUAAAUUGUCACUACCUAAGUGAUUACCAAAAUGCACUCAAGGUGUUAGAUAAAAUGCCACUAAGAGAAUCCUCACACUAAUGGUUGAAUUGGGGUGUGUGCUUGGUCCACACACCCUUACCCCAAUCUUGGACUACACACUUACUCAAGUCAAGCACAAUUAAGUAAUUGAAAGAGUACAUUUGACCUAGAACAAGCCAUAGCACAUUCUAAGUUGCAAUAACCAUAGUCCAACCAUUCUCAAAUACCAUAAUCCAUAUCUAACAUGUAUCCAAAUCCUCGUCAUGAGGGGAUCAUCCUAGUACAUAGCAAUACCCUAAUCUAACAACUAAAGAGUCUAGCCACUCAUCAUGACACUAAAACUAAAGAAAAGGGAUACAAUCACCAUCAAUCAACUAGUAUGAAGAAGAUGAUGAGGGUAGGAUCCUUCCUCAAAGCUCUACUAUUCCAAUUCCUUCAAUCCUUGGUCUUCUCUAGCUCCGAAGCUUCUUCAAGGUCUUCAAUUGAUCUUCUAAGGCUUCAAAUUGGGUGAAAAUCGAGAGAGGAGUCGGGUCUCAACAAUUGUUAUGACUGUAGUGUGAAUUGUUCGUCCAAUCUCCAUGGACCAUAUGCCAUGUGGACCAACACGGGCUCCAGAUGCCAUGUGGCCUAAUUUCCAGCUUAGGACUUUGUUCUUUGAUCGCACAUAUCUCCCUCGUCCGACCUCCGUUUGAGCUCUGGUUGGUCUCAUUGGAAUUUUCUCGUUGUUCUUUAUGCAUCGGAUACCUACAGCCUCAUAUAUACAAUGAGAAACGAGGUCGAACGGACCAAAAUGAUCCAUUUGACAAAAUGAAACAAGAACCCCUUUUUUUCUUCCAACCAAUCACAAAGGAGGGUCAAAACUAGGUCAAACAAGGUAAAAAACAGUCAAGAUGUGGUCAAAUUGGCAACAAAUAAUCGUGCUAUCACAUCCCCCCACACUUGAACGUUGCUUUUCCUCAAGCAAAUCUACUAAUCACACUCAAAGAGAACUCGAAACAGGGUGAAAAGAAAAUAUUUCCUAGCAUUUCAAGCCUAUUUCACGAUGCCAAGAUUGCAAGUCAAUCACCAAACCACUCAAUUAUGUAUAAGACAUUGAAUCCCUUAAAAAAUUUCACACCAAACUCUAAUAUAUAGAUAUUAUGAUUAGAUACCUAAACAAGCGAAUGUACUAAAGUUUCUCCAAUGCACUUAUGUCAUAUGGUACUAGCGGAAGAAAUGGACAGACAGACGGUCCUGGCUGGGUAUUUUUCCCGUCUUGAGGGAGGGGAUGCCUGAUCUAACAUAAACAUAACUAUCACCAAGUAUACUAGCAUCUCCCUCUUCUUUUACUCUACUUUGCUUUCUUUUGUAUUUAGUUUUCAACUAUCUUUUCUCCCUCUUUUUUUUCACAUGGAUGCUUUUUCCAAAUGAGGUGGUUGUGAUUCCAAUUAGGCUCAGAUCCGGUGAAUACCGGGCACCAGUACCGCAAUCCACACAUCGAAGGGUUGAGAAGAGGAGCCCGAGGUGUUGAGCAUACGAGUGGCAGAUCGAAAUCUACCUUGCGUGUUUGAAUCACAACCUUCCUCCAUAUCAUUCUUAAGCACAUUGGCCUCCUGUCCAUUUUGACUUCAUAAUACCAUAGACAAGUUCAAAAAGGAGAAUCAAUCAUACAUAUCGAGCAAGUAAAGGUGAAAACUCAAAACAUCCAUAUGUGCGAGUUUGAAGCAAACUAAUUUCAGGAAAAUGGGAGGUAGUCCACAAAUGAUUACUCAACAACCUAUUCGUCCUCAAGUAGUAUGAAUAAACUAGGUAUGCAUCCAAAGAGAUUCACAUAUUCAAAUUUGAGAGGGAGUAUCAAAAUUCAAGAGCAAGUCAGAAAAAAUGCUACCAAGAUAUGCACAAAAAUUCUCAAACCCGAAUAGUAUAAAAAAAUCCUCCCCCCCCCCACACUUGUACAACACAUUGUCCUCAAUGUGAAAAGAUAUAAGGGGAAGAGGGGUACCAAACGGGGGUGAGGAGUGAAGCCGGAUGAGAAGAUGAAGGAUCAAGAUCGAGUACCUAGAGUUUCACAAAAGGCAAGAACAAAAAAAAAACAAAAAAAAAACGCAGAAACAAACACGAAUAAUGGUCGAGUCAAGAGAAAAGAAGAUAUCUCAAGGCCGUCGAGGAGCUGUCUCAACAAGAAUCCAAUCCACUUAGGCAAGAGUAUACAAGAAUGUGCACAAGUAGAUAUGGAAGAGGCAAGAUGCAUAAGAUAUGCAUAACCAAUAAAGAAGAUAACUAGUUAUUCUCAACCAAGACUAACUAGCAAUCCUAAACAAGAGCAUCCUAUAAUCCAUAAAUGAGUAAGACAAGGGUGAGAAAAAGCUAUGGAACCAUCUCAACUCAUUUAGAAUCAAUUCCAGAAAGUUAUCAUCACAAACGUGUACCAAGUCCAAUCAACAAGAAUGAGCAUAAAGAGUGUAUGCAAAGCAUCAAGUGAACAAAGUAUGCAUCAUUCAACUAUAAUCAAUUUGAGAGCUCAAUGGACUACUAGUAUGCAUCAUUCUUCUUUGACUCAUUAACCAAAACAAUGAGCACAUAUGGAUAAUCAAAAGUAGUGGCAUGAUCAAAAUUCAAGCAUUAGAAGCAAUGAGCAAAGUCACAAUCAUCAAUUCAAUAAUUGGACGCAUCAAAUUCACCUAGCAACAACCUAGGUUCAACCAUACAAGGGAGCACAAAGAUGCAAUUCCAAAUUCUCAUCGCAAGAAUUCAACAACCCACAUAAUUCUUGUUCAAAAAUAUCAUAUUGGCAAAGCUAGACAUUCAAGUAGGCACAACCAUCUGAAACUGGCAAUUGCAAUGUUCAAAUUAGCACAAAAGCAUCAUUUGACCAAAUUUGACCACAAUUCAAACUUUCCACACACUCCAUCAAUCAAACCAGAGCAAACAGAACACAGACGACACAGAUUCAGGCCACAUCAUCAACCAAAAAGUCGUAGGCAGUCAAACGAGCUUUCCAACGCCGCUGGUCUUGCGAAAAACAAACGCUCGAGCAAGAAGUUAUGCUCAAAAUACCGAACCACAGCAUUUUUUCGCACAAGGCGACCAAUCAACGGAGGGUCAACGUCCGGUGAACCGGUCUGGUCAAACUCAGGUUGGUUCGGUUUGAAAAUCGGUUAAACAAUGCACCCCCUUCUUUGAAUAGUGCAUCUUGGCACAUUUUUAACACAAUCGAGCACGUUUCGGAGCUGGAAAUUCAAGUUUUUUUUUAGAAAACCCAUUGGAACUGUAGAUUUUGCAUAAAAAGUACGCUUUAGCCUUUUGUUUCCAAAAUCAAGCAAAUUUUAGGAUCUGAAAGUUCAAUUUUUUCAGAAAACCCGUAGGAAGUGUAGAUUUUUCAUAAAAGUAAGUCUGAGCAUAUUUUUUAGUAAAACAACCAUUUUUUAGCUCUCGAAAAUAUAAAAAUUUCAAGACUGCUUUUUUUCUUUUUCCUAAUGCAACGAAACUUCCUGCUAGCCUUAGGCACACUAAGAUAAGAUCAAGCAAAUCUCCAAACACUCGUUCUCUCGUCCCGGUCAUCACAAGAACACAAGAAACAAAAACACAAACAAAACACGACAAACACACAAUCAUGCAAGUUUUAUUCAAUUUUCCUACUCCUAAGCUACACUAUUCAUGACGAGACACCUAUGGUAUCACCAACUUGGUAAUGUUCAAGAUGCAUCCCACAAAGUAGAAGAGGGUCAAGAUGAGUAGAGGAGGUUACCUCGAUCUUGGAAGGAACGAACUUUUGUUACCAUAAAGGGGCCGGAGAUGAGGACUCUAUCGCCCUCUUUGAGUGCUUGUUUGGUGGGGAGGUGCAAAUCAUGGAGUUGCUUGAUCGCUUUCUUGCAACUCCCAUCCUUGACCUUGUGGACACUUUUUUGGUGAGAAGAAGGAUUCUUGGGCUCAAGGUCUGGUGGUUCUUCAUGCAUGUUCCUCGCCUUAGCAUGCACUCCCUUGAUCGAGAUAGCUUCGGUUUCCUUAUUAUACUAUUUCACACACUCGCUCAAGGAUGGAUCCAAGGCUUCAUGAUGAAGAGAUACAUUAAUAGCAUAAACUAAAGCCAUUUCAACGGGCUCGCCAAUAUCAUUAUCAUCUUGAGGAUCCGGGUGCUCCAUACCCCCGAUCAAUUGAAAUGUGGCUUCCUUUUGACCCACUCUCAAGGUAAGCUUACCCUCAAACACAUCUAUGAUUUCCUUCGACGUGUUGAGAAAUGGACGACCCAAAAUCAAUGAAACGUCGGUGUCUCCGGUGUCAAUCACAACAAAAUCCACCGGAAACAUGAACCUUCCAACAUGCAUAAUAACAUCUUCAACUACACCACUAAGCAAUUUUGUAGUUUUUUCCGCUAGUUGGAUGCACAUCUUAGUUGUUGUAAGUUGACCUAGGCCUAGUUUCUUGUACAAUGAAUAUGUCAUGACAUAUAUACUAGCACCUAGAUCUGCUAAACCUCUUUCAAUCACAACUUGACUAAUCAUGGAAGGGAGAAAGAAACUACCCAGAUCUUUGCGUUUGCAAGGGAGGUCCCUUGAGAGGAUUGUCGAGCAUUGCUCAUUGAGAUUGAUGUUGGAAGCUUCUAUGAGCCUUCGCUUGUUGGUGAAGAUCUCCCUUAGGAACUUGGCGUAUUGAGGCAUCCUUUCGAUUGCCUCGACGAAAAGAACGGUGAAGUUCAUAUUGCAAAGUCGAAGCACAAGUUGCUUUAAGCUCUUCUCGAGAAGAUCCUUAUCCAAUUGGUUGGGAUAAGGUGGCUUAGGGUUGUAUGGAGCCGACUGGGGCUAGGAGAUAGGAGAAGCCUCAGUUGAACUCUUCGUAGCCUUCUUGGAACCAACUUCAGUUGACACCUUUGGCUUUCCAUUACUCUUUGGAGCUUUCGGAACUAAUGCAUGCGGAACCGGUGCACUUUCUUCGACCAUCACUUCAUUCUCUUAAUCACUAGAUGCUUCAUUUUUCAUUAACAUCUUUCACAAGAAAUUCAUUAUCAUGCACAAGCUUGCUAGGUACAUCGAUAGGAGGAUCGAUUAAAUUUAGGAGUUGUGGACACAUAGUGUCUCAUGCUCCUAGUUGUGAUAGAUCCACAAGUUUCCUUGCUCUUUGGAUUGGUUAUGAUAUUUCUAGGUAGAGUGCACGGUUGCCGACUUGAAAGAGCGUGUGUGAGGUAUCCAACUUGAUUCUUAAGAUCCACCAUUUGAGCUUGAGUUGAGGCAUUGUGGGUGUCUUGAAAUGCUCUUUGCUCUUGAGUCACCUUGUUGUGCUCUUGGAAGAACUUAGCUUGAUUCUCAAUCAUUUGGUUUCCUCCAUUGAAGCUCCCUUGAACAUAAUCAACUUCUUUAAUGAAGUGCUCUUCCUCCGGUGCGAAAUCGGGAGCAAGGGAUUGGCAAGUAGAGGUGGCAUGCCCUUCGUUCCCAUAACAUUCACAAACAAAGAGUUGCACAACCAGUUGAUUCACCUUUGGUUCUUGUACCUCUUUCUUUUGAGGUGGAGUGGCGGUUGGUCUCACCACCGGUUGAGCCAAGGCAAGUGCUUUGAUUUGAGCCGCCAUGCCAUCCAUCCUUGAUAGCAUCAAGUGAACAAGAUGGUUGGGAUCUUCCUCCUUAUGUCCCGGCAUCUCCUUAAGGACCUUUGGAGCUUGAGUGCGAGUACAAACAUAAGGAUCUAUGCUCACCACCUUAGCUUCUAUAGGACCUUGUUGCCUAGACCAACUCUUCAUCUUCACCGCCAUUUCCCGGAAGACUUGAAGCCAUCAUUUGGCGAGGAGUGAUCUCAAGUCUCCUCCCGCCGCUUGAUUGGUCAUCUUGGUGUCCUCAUAAGUGAGUCCUCAUAAGUGAGUCCUCUAGCAAAGGUCUCCGCGAGUUUCCACUCAUUGAAGUUGAAGUUGUGAUGAGGGCAAGAGUAGAGAAGGGCUUGGGACCUCUCCCAAGCUUCAAAGAAUGGCUCUCCAUUAAUUUUCUCAAAGUUGGAGAUUCUACUUUGGAUCUCAUCCGUCUUGUAAGGCAGGAAGAAUUCCUCCAAGAAGGCCUUUGCUAGAUUGUCCCAAGCUUGGAAGGUAUUGUUUCGUUGGUUGUCGAGCCAUUGAUUUGCCUUCCAUUGGAGUGAGAAGGGAAGAGUCGGAGUUGAAUGGCUUCUUGCGACACAUGAUUGAACUUCAUUAGAUCCAUGAUCUCGAGAUAGCUACUUGGACAUUCGUGCUCGUGCCCAUGGUAUACGUUUUGUUGCACCAUUUGAAUGUAGUUGAACUUCAACUCGAAGUUCCGGUUAUCAAUAAGGGGUGGAGCACACUUGAAGAAGUACCUUCAAGAGUUGGCUUAGGUAAUCACCUAGAGUUCUUUGAGGUUCUUGAGCCAUCUCAAAGAUGUUAACAAAUUCAUCAGCCUCUCCUUUGCAAGAUGAAACAAUUGAUGAGUGAUCCAGGGUUGUUAAAGAAGUUGCGAUGUGAGGUGGUGGUGGUGCUUGAGGUGGAGAUGAGAUGAAUCUCUUUGGUAGACGCCUUGUACGCUUCAAUCUUCUCAUGCACUAAUAGUGCAUGAACGGAACCUACACAACAAAGCAAACAACCAAGGGAACACAACAAAGGAAUAAACACACAAGAAGGGGGUAGCAAUAAGUAAAAUGGAUUAGGUAGAAUGCCUAAAUCGGUGUCUAAUCUACUCUUUCAAGGGGGUGAUUACACUCCCCAACAAUGGCGCGAUUUUGAUCCUCUAAAAAAGAACCAAACAAACAUGAUCGGCUAAGAAAAGGGACUAAUCCCAAACCCAAGGUCUCAAGUGACAAUUUUCACGAGGAACAGACCACCAACCCUAUACUCAACUAUUAAAGACACGGUUUAAGCUCACAAAAGUUCAAAAUGCUAGUUCCUUAAAUUAUCCACUAAAGUACAUAUCAUUCACAAGAGUAAUUGGAACUAAAUUAAGCUAACGAACUAAGCAAACAAGAUACUAAAGAGGGUGAACACAAGGAGAGGAGGGUUGCUAGAUUUCGGGUGUUGUUUUUGCACUCAAAUCCGAUUCAAAAGAAAUAUUGGCCACACUGGAAAAAAGUUAUGGUUUGACCAUCCUCUAAACAUUCGUAGCAGUGUAAUUCAAGGUCUUAAAUUGGACUACCACUACCAAUUGGCAAGUGAGCAAGCCAAUUGGUAGUGAACACCAAGUGUUCAACAAAAUUCUUAGAUGCUAAAAGACUUACUGGCAUCACAAACACUUGACAAGGGUGCUAAGUCACUAUUUGACACCCCCUAACAUUCCAAUCGCCUAAAUUGUCACUACCUAAGUGAUUACCAAAAUGCACUCAAGGUGUUCGAUAAAAUGCCACUAAGAGAAUCCUCACACUAAAGGUUGAAUUGGGGUGUGUGCUUGGUCCACACACCCUUAAUCCAAUCUUGGACUACACACUUACUCAAGUCAAGCACAAUUAAGUAAUUGAAAGAGUGCAUUUGACCUAGAACAAGCCAUAGCACAUUCUAAGUUGCAAUAACCAUAGUCCAACCAUUCUCAAAUACCAUAAUCCAUAUCCAACAUGUAUCCAAACUCUCAUCAUGAGGGGAUCAUCCUAGUACAUAGCAAUACCCUAAUCUAACAACUAAAGAGUCUAGCCACUCAUCAUGACACUAAAACUAAAGAAAAGGGAUACAAUCACCAUCAAACAACUAGAAUGAAGAAGAUGAUGAGGGUAGGAUCCUUCCUCCAAGCUCUACUAUUACAAUUCCUUCAAUCCUUGGUCUUCUCUAGCUCCCAAGCUUCUUCAAGGUCUUCAAUUGACCUUUUAAGGCUUCAAAUUGGGGGAAAAUCGAGAGAGGAGUCAUAUCAUCAUACAUCUUAAUAUUAUCUCUAAUUGGGACCACCUCAAUAUUAUCUGCAACAAUCUCAUCCUCAGUGUCAACCUCUAUGGCAAGUAGCUGUUGUAACUCCGUUUCUGAAGAUGAUGCAACCACUCCACUAGAGGAGGCAUCACAAUGAACAGCAAACCUACAUGAACAAACUCUAUACGAUUGAGGUUACCAAACAAAUCACCCCACACUUAUCUUUUGCAUAAACCAAUAUGCAUUAAUCAAGCUGUAGAAAAAGAGAAGAGUGGGCUUAGAAGCAACUAUUGAACAUCUCAUCCAAAUAGGAAAUCUGUCAUAAUAAAGAAUACUCAACAUCAUUAAGGCAAUCCACGUAAGGUUUAGGGCACUUAGAAACUAUCCACAAAGUCACACAAACAAUGUAAGACAUGUAAAAUUUCAUAAAUUCUUAACCCAGAAAAAUACCGAGCAAAACUCAACAUUCCUAUGACACCUAAUCAUAUAAUUUCAAAGUGCAAAGGAUGUCAUUAACAUCCUAUAUCAUACCCAAUUGAAUUCUAGCAUCAUCAAUUUCACAAAACCUCAUAUUUGAAAUUUCAAGUUCUUCAAGCUAAUCAUCAAUCUCAACAAUUUAACCAAUCAGGGCAAAGUGAACAAGGAGAAACUGGGCAAAAUUCAAUGUAAACUAGCUCAAAACUCACUCAAAGUUGAUGAAAAACGAAGGGGGGAGAUUGGGGGAGGGUUCGGCGGUGACCGACAACGGUUCUAUGGUGACAGGAGUGCGGAGUUUUGAAUGACGGCAAAGGGGUAGGAGGGUGGAGUCGGCGUCAGUGGAAUGUUUGAAAAAAAUAUGGUUCAAAAAUCGGCUAAGGCUAGAAUAUUUAGAAACCCGUGUCAACUAUUGCAUUGUAGAAGUGUCAAAAAUGCGGUAUGGACAUAGCGCAAUGUUUGACAAAUCAUAGCGCAAUGAUUGAAAGGAUUUCCAGAACUCAAUGUCAACAUUUUUUCUAUAGAUGGUCAAUUAUUGCGCUAUGGGCAUAGCACAAUGCUUGACACAGAUCCAUAGCACAAAGGUUGACAUCCUAUUAUGUGAACUUCCAUAGUUCAUGAAAGAAUCAACACUCUUUGCAUUGACGACUGGGGACAAGAAUGACACUCAAGUAUCACGUUCUAGACUCGAUCUAACUCCUACACAUGCAAAUUGACUCAAAGAAUAUGAAAAAUACUGACUCCAGACAUGGGCUUCCUUCCAUGAAGCGCUCUUUCUUUAACGUCUUUGAGCUAGAUGAUACAAGGACCUCAAUUUAGCAUCUUCAAAGUAAUGAACUUUUACUCCAUCGGUAGGCUUGGUACUGAGAUAUAGCUUGAGACGUUGACCGCUGAAUUUAAUGUUCCUUGGUCCGGAUGUGUGAUCUCCACAAAUCGGUAGGGAAAUGAUUGUGUGACUUCAUAAGGUCCCGACCAUCUUGAUUGUAAUUUUCCCAAAAAUAGUCAGAGCUGGGAGUUGUAGAGCAGCACCUUAUCUCCCUACUUGAAUUCUUUGACCCCUUGAAUAUUAGCAUCGUCGAUUCGUUUCAUCCUUUCCUUAUAUAUACAUGAGCUCUCGUAAGUAUGAAACAUGUGCUCCUCUAGCUCAAGGAGCUAAUAUUUGCAUUCUGAAGCUACGAGACUAUCAUCCAUGUUUAGCAGCUUCAUGGCCCACCAUGCAUUAUGCUCAAGCUCGACCGGUAAAUGAUAAGCCUUUCCAUAAACGAAUCGAUACGGGAAAGUGUAGAUAGGGAUCUUGAAGGCGGUUCGGUAAGCCCAUAGAGCUUCAUCGAGCCAAAUCGACCUGUCCUUAUGAGACUGAUCGACUGUGCUAUCAAGAAUCUGCUUAAGCUCACGAUUCUUCACCUCCACUUGACCGCUUGCAUGUGGAUGGUAAGCGGUCAUCAAUCAAGGAGCUAUGCUAAAUGUUUGGCAAACUCAAUAGAAUUGACCCUGAAAGUGAGUGACUUUAUCGCUAAUGAUAGCAUGAAGGCCGCUGAAACGCAUGAAAACGCAUGUAAUAAACUUUCCCACUGUCAGAACAUAGUUAGUAGACAGCGGUUGCGCCUCUGCCCACUUUGAGACAUAAUCCACUUUGAAAUGUUACAUGUACGUUGGCAGUUGAUUUUGGGCUUUAAUCUGAAUUCUGUGAAUUUUGGAAAUUGGCUGAUCAAUGGACAGUCACAGGCAUGACAGUCAGUCUAUCACGGGAAAGGUUGUCAGACAGACCACGACCGUUGUCAGCAAACAUUCAUGGGCGUGACCACUGGAAGAUCAAGGGCUUGACCAUCAGGAGGUCAUGGUUGUGACCAUCAGUAGGUCACGGGCAUGGUUUCUAUGUGGCCACGGGUAUGGUGGUAAGUUGGACAUGGGCGUGGUGGACUUAUUAUAUAAGGACAGUUGCAACUUACAACUCAGAAUUACUGAAACCUAAGAACUUUGAAUCCCUCUGCAAAUGGCAAUCAAUUUCAGGAGAUGGAGAAAUCCCAUUUGAUCUAAUCCCAAAUCAUUAGGAAAGGUCUAGAAAUCGUUGAGGAUGCUUCCAAAGCUACUCAAUCUUCUUCCUCCUUUCUCAAUCCUUGAUUGGAAAUCCUACGUAGGAAAUUCCUGACACAUUAGGAUUUGGGGUUUUCAGAUUUCAAUCCUAUGAAUUAAUCUCUACGGGUCAGACAGAACAUGAGGCUUGAUCUUGGGAAGGUAGCUUCAUAUUAGACUCUACUAGGAAAGCUAAUCAGAGGUGGGGGGUUAGGAUUUCUUUUCUGCUUUAAGUGUAGAACUGUAAUUAGGAUUGUCAGGAAUCCGAUUAUUAGAUUCUCAGACUGUGUAGUAGCAUAUGAUUUAUUGUACAUGUGUUGUGAUUUGAAGGGCUCUCAAGACUGUGCAAUAGCGUGUGAUCUACUGUACAUGUAUUACGAUUUUUAGAGCCAAGCUCUUAGUAUUGUGCAGUAACGUGUGAUCUACUGUACAUGGGUUGUGAAACAGAGCCAGGCUCUCAGACUAUGUAGUAGCGUGUAAUCUACUGUACAUGCAGUUGUUUAAUUUCGAGCAUAAGCUCAUGGUGAUUAAACUAUGCUUGUGAUUCACAGUUCAUGUUAGGACAGGAUCAUGUUUAGCUAGAUUAGCUCUCGAUAUGCAUUGGUCACCCGCCCAUGGAUUGCGCAAUCCCUUAGGUCAUGUUCAGGCUCAUGUUGGACGUGUCGAGUAUGCCUAUAGAUGCUGCUCACACGGUUUUCAGGAUGGUUUCAUAGUUUGAUCCACCAUGAGGCUAUCUACCAUAGCUAGGGGUGGUUGUUGUCAAGAUGAUGCCUACAACCUGUGAGUAAUGCAUGGGUCGAACCAUGUAGUUCGAUUGGGUCUUCUAGGGGCGUGUUUCACGGUAAUCUUCUAUAUAUGUCCCGAAAGCAAGGAUGGUGGCUAUCUCGGUAAACCACUAGCGCUUGUAGAGGUGAUGAUCCGAGACUUCCUUUGCUUCUUCCAAGAGAAAUAAUUGAUCAUCCAGAAAGAGCUCAUUUAUCUCUGCUUCAGCGAAUCGACCCAGAGAAGGCCCUUCAAGGUGCGAUAGGUGGUUAGCUGCAACGUUCUCUGAUCUCGCCUUGCCCUUAAUAGUCAUGUCAAACUCUUGAAGGAGUAGCACCUAGUGAAUCAAUCUCAAGUUCCCAUCCUGUUUAGCUAUAAGAUACUUAAGAGCAAAAUGGUCGCCGGAAUCUGGGCAGAGGUCGCCAGCGGUAACGGCCUCACUAGAGAAGAAGGGUGACCUCCCCACAAUCAUGAGGAGUUCAGUGACCAGAUCUGCAAAGUCUGAAAGAUAAGUUGCUGUUGUGCAUUUGAAUAUUCUAAAGUCUAGCUUCCGUAGCUCUGAAGUUUUGGAUGGUUUACAGUUAUGGACCUUGGUCAGAUUUUUUAUCAUUUGGAAGUUCUAGAUCAGUUAGUGUAAUGGAGGUCAUUAGAGGACUAGAGUAACAUUUAUGUCCUUAAAAUUUUCAGAUUAUUGCAAAUAAGUAAAUGGAGAAGAACUCGGUCGUUUGAGCUCCAAAUGACGCACGGUUAGAACUUACGGAUUUAUGGCAACGAGAGAAAUCAUGCCAAGUUAGGAUCAAAGGUGUCAGAUCUUCUUAACAGGUGGGGGUUUAGGAUUACAUUCUGCUUAUAAGCUUAGAACUAUAAUAGGAUGUUAGGGAAUCCGAUUAUUGGAUUCUUCAUGUGAUUCAGAGCAAGGGCUCUCAGGAUUGUACAAUAGCGUGUGAUCUACUGUAUAAAUGUUGUGAUGUGAUUCGGAGCAAGUGCUCUCGGACUAUAUAGUAGCGCAUAAUCUACUCUAUAGAUGUUGUGAUGUGCUUUGGAGUGUGGGCUCUUAGGCUGUACAAUAGCGUGUGAUCUACAGUAGAGGCAAUUAUUAUAAUUCGAGCAUAAGCUCUUGGCGUUUGGACUGUGGCAUGUGAUUCACAGUUCAUGUUAGGAUAGGAUAGGCCUAGAUAGACUAGGUCACAAUUAUGAUACGUCGGGCACCCACCCAUGGAUUGCACAAUCCCCCAUGUUAUAAUCGGGCUCAGGCAGGACGUGUUGAGUAUGCAUACUGAUGCUGCUCAUACGGUAUUCAGAGUGGUUUUAUGGUCUGAUCUACCGUGAGGUCAUCCACAUAGCUAGGGGUGGCUGAUGUUAUGUUGAUGCCUACUGGACCAGAUGGUCACAUUACUAGAGUAGUGACUACAUAGAAUUCCAUGUUCUAUUCUUAGUACAGGUCAGUUUCAAUCUCAGUUCUACGCGAGUCCAGAUAGCCACUUAGUGUUUAUCACUAACUCUAUUAGAUAUUAUUUUCUCUGGUGUAUAUGUGUGUUCGGUCACAAGAACUGGAGCUGAUGGUGGGGAGAGAGCUAGUCGGAGUUUUGAUAUCACAUGAUAUAUGUUUUGAUGUAUUUUCAGUACUAGAGUUGCAUCUCCUUUUAUCAUGUUGUGAUUUGGGAUCCGAGAUCCUUGUUGGUCAAUUUUAUCAAAGUAUUUCGGUUCAACUUUUAAUGCUUGUUUUUGCUCAUUUAUUAGUAGUAGAGAGUAGAGGUUGGUUCAGCUUGGAACCCGAUAAGAUUUCUUGAUUGAACCAGUGGUUCGACCAAAACUCUUAGGGUGGGGUUUCAGAGAAAAUGUGAUAGUGAAAUAUACAUUUCCCAAAAAAAUUCAUCUUCCCACCGAUAAGUUUUGGCUAUUUUCGUAUUUUCAUAAUUACCUUUAUUUUAGAUUGUAUGAUUCAAUUCAUUACCAAUUGUCAGAUUAUGUUGUGACAUCAUCAUUUCUAUCAAACGAACAACAUUGGCUCCAUUUAUAGGAUUUUAUCUAUUGCAUAUAAGACUAUUGGAUCCAUUUUGAUUUGUAAAAGUGGGUCCUACUUCCAUCUCAUUUUGUUUUGAAAUUUUGCAUACUUCACUUUGAAAGGCUUCUCAUUAAUGCAAUUCAAAAACAUUUGCAAAAGUGGACUUACAUGAAUAAAAUGAUCAUUUCUUAUAUAUUAUUUUAUUAGCAAAUAAUGAUAUGAGAAGGCCCAAUCCAUUGGGUCUUGAUCAGAAUGGCACAACCUAUUAAAAAUACCUAUUUUGGCAUAACAUAAUUAUAAUUUUACAAAAUAAAAUAUUUAAUUGACUUUUUAAAACUCAAUACAAAAAACUAAAAAAAUAUCAAAGUUCAUCAUAUUCUUCUCCCACCACCAUCCUAUCUCCACUAUCUUCUUAUCAUCCCCAUCAUCCAUUGCUAAACCCAACAAUUACUUUCUCUAAAUCUAUCACUUACCAAAUCCAAAAUCAUAUUCAUUUGUACACACAACCAAGUAUGCAAAUUUUAGAUAUGAUUUGUGUUGGUUUUUUAGAUCUGAUUUUGUCGAUCUCGAAGGUGAAGAUGAUUGACGACGGGGAAGGGGACUCUAAUACCCAAAUAUGCUACUGGAGAAUAAUCCAUCUUUCCAGACUAUUGCAAUUCAUACCGCUCCUUGAAUACUUACAGAGAAAGACGGCGCAUCGAGCUCAAAAGGAGAGGGUAGCGAGCAAUCGAAGGAGAGUAGAAAAAGCCGUUGCAAGCAAAAGAGAAAUCGACCACCAGAUCUCCUAGGAUUCCUCAUCUGAGGAAGCCAUCAAGAGAUUUUUUCCUAUAAGUCAGUUCAGCUACUAAAGCUACAAGUGGUGAUGAUGAAUAAGCUUCCAUAAGUGGUUCGCUGGGUAUCUCUACUUUGACCUCCUUCAUGGGAGCUCCGUCGUCGCCGCUGGCGACCCUAAAAAAGAACAUGCAUUUAAACGCGUUUACACACUAAACUAAAAAGGAGAAUGAAAGACUAUAAUUGGAAUUUCAACAACAAGAGAAAGUUAACUUCUUUUUUCUAAUCCACCGUCGGGAGGAGCAGCAGCAAGCUUCGCCCGUCUUCUUCCCUUUUGGGAUUUUUUUGAAUUAAUUAAGAAUUUUAUUAAUUAGAAGUUUAAAAUUAUAUGAUGUGGAGCCUAUAUUGAAGUCAAGUGGGAGGUACGUCAGGGGUGUUAAGUUUGACUGUUAAGUUGAUGGUCAAAUUUCAAAUAUGUGCCACAAUAAGUAUUUCUAAUAGGUUAUGCCAUUCUGGGUUUAGACCCAAUAGGUUGGGCCUCCUUAGAUCAUUAUUCAUUUUAUUAACUACAUAUAUGUUAUAAAAAUGUAUAAGUGACAAGUGGGUCUCAAAUGAUUAAAAAAUAUAAAUGAAAAAAUGGGCCACAAGUGAGAUUAUCACUUUGACUUGGAACGAGUACAAAUUUGCACUUAAAAUGAUCCUUUCCCAUCAAUAAUAUUCUCAUUUAAAUUUAAAAAUUGCCACAUAGGCUCCAUGUUACUUAACAAGUAGGGAAAAUCUCAGUGAUAAGAUGCUAUAAUAACAAAUAAUCUUGAGGCCAAAUCCAAUAACUGAGCAUGCCUUCUACAUGUCGGACUCCACCAUAUAAACACGGCCCACGUUAUAAUUGAUUCAUUAAAAAAAAGAAACAAUUUGAUGAAUUGAUGAAAGAAGCGAAAGGCAAAAGAUGGAAAUUGUCGUUUCUCUUCCUAAAACUAGGGUUUUGUUUCUCUCACUAAAAUUAGGGUAUCUCUUCGUCAUGAAGACUUCCUACACCCCCAUCGCCAUCAUGCUCAAGCACAAACCUACUCCUAUCAUCAACAAACCCAUCCCACCUACCGAUGUUGUCAUCAAAACAAGACCGACCCUUACUGCACCCAUGGCCUCCCUAUCGUUGAAGGAGAGUCAUGGCUCGGAGGACCUGACCGGAAUGACAUGGCUGACGAUUGGAUACCAGAGCUGCAGCAAUCUGGAAAGCCCCACAAAGAUUCUCCGCCGACAAAGACCAGCAGGUCAACACUAAGGAGAGGCGGUGUUCCUCCGAUCUUCGAGCUACAGGGGAGCGAGACGACUCUACCCCAUACACCAUAGUGACAUCGCCGGUGUGGACAUCCGAUCAUUCCAUUCAAAGCUCAUGAAGAUCGGCUACACUUGUGUUUGGCUUUCUUUAUUUUUGUUUAGUACUCUCUUUUUAGACAUUUGGUUGAUUUUCAGUCGUACGUUGCACUUCAUUUGUUUCCUUCCUUGAGUCGGGGUAUAGUUUUGUUAAUUUUUUUGUUUAUUUCGUUGCAUCUAAAACCGUUGAUGGUCGAAGAGAUUAAAACUGUAAAUAAAAUAUUCAAUUACCUACUUUCCCCUUACAUCUUUUCUAAAAAACAACUCUCAAUUGCAUUUCUCAUGGUCAAUGUUAUAUCACGCCUCCCUCUAUAAAGAAAUUAUAUUUUGUAAAAAAAAAAAGCGAAAGGCAAAAGAUAUCGCGAGACCUAGUUCUAUAUAAACCCAUUCCAUUCGCAGGUUACGAGCGGCCGUCAUCGCUGUCACAGGGCCAGAUAUGGGAAGCGCUAAAGCUGGCAAACCCUCAAAGAAGUCUCUCAGAAACCCUAAUCCGCUUCGCAUUACCCAUAGGAAGAUUACGAAGCACAAACGGCAAGACAUUGCUGUUGAUACAGUUCCCACCGCCCUGAAGUAGAAACACAACCUCAUAUCGGAGAAGAGGAGCCCCUUCCUUCAGCUUCCCAGCAACUCAGCUUUUUCCUCAGCAAGUUCCAGUCAGCUAAUGGUCUUCAAGGUUAGUCUCUACCGCUGGAGCUCCACAAUAUUGUAUCCCAUGACAUCUCUAUUUGGUUGCUGGACAGAGGGAUUAUUAACAAUUUGUGUAUUGUAUUUGCAGAAACAUCCUUUAUUCAGUUAUUUUGAGAGCUGCCUCAGGAUGUUGAGGGCCUAGGCCAGCAUUUGAAGACUGCUUUCGGAAAGUCAUGGAAAGAAGAACGCUGUGAUCGAAAGCUCGUGGAUAGGUAAACUGAACCAGAGAGUCCUGCUGCUCUUUUCAUUUCUACAUCUGCAUUGAGAGCAAUAGAACUUUUAAGGUAUAGAUUCUCUCAGUUCUUGUUAAUGAUCUUUGUUUUGCUCGAUUUAAUCAGGGUUUGGGCUUGAUUCAAUCUUCUUCUUUUAGGGGUGUGCGUUCACUGAGCGUUCACUGACGAAAGAAUGCCAUGCUGCAAAGCUCUUCUCUAAGCACAUGAAGGUUGAAGAACAUGUGAUAUCCUUUCCCUUUUGUCACUUGUUGUUCCUAUUACAUCGUUAAACAAAAUACUAUCUCUUUAUGUUUCGAGGUGUUGUCAUUUGUUUUGGAUAUCAUUCAGUUCCUUUUAUUAUUACUGCUGCUCGAGUUACGAACAUCUGAGGAAAUAGCAAUGCUUAGGAUGUUAUUGUCCACUUCACUGUCUCGAGACACCGACAUUGUCUUUAGUUAUUAUUUAUGGGUCCAACAAGUUAUGACUUGAACCAUGGUCACAUGGAACAAAAUUAAUUUAUAAAUUCGGACUUCUGUUUCAUCAGUGACAUUUUCACUCUUCGUCAUCAUAUACAUUUGGUGUUUGUUUGUUUUUGGUAAAAGGAUUUGAUAUUACCAGUUAUAAAGAUCAAAGGGCAGUAGCAGUGCAGGAUAAGCUUUUUUCACAUCAGUCUGCUUCUAGUUCAGUAUCUUAGUUUCAAUGAUUUAUGGCUGGAAGCAUGGAGCAGUAUGGAAUUUUUGCAAACAAUUGUUGGAUUAGGAAUUUCAUACUUCUUUUCACUGCAUUUUGAUGUUGGGAUAUGAUGAGUUACACGGAUCAAAUGCUCUAGCAGUGCUGAAUAUGUUUUUUGCACGUCAGUCUGAUCCCAACUUACCGUAUUUUUACUGCCCCUACCUUUAAAUGCAUGUCCGAGUUCUAACAAUAGAUGACUUGAGACAUGGAGCCUAUGAAUGGGGGUUCUCUGUUUGAUUUUAUGACAUUUUACAAUAAUUGUCACAAAUUUUUUUGACAUUGGAUAUGAUGAUGAGUUAGAAUCAAAGGCACUAGAGAUGCUGAAUAUGAUUUUUUGCACGUCAGUCUGAUCCCAGCCUUUCGAUUUCUGAUUACUGGAAUUUAAAAUUUUACUUUGUUUUCGUCAUUUUGACAUUGGGAUAUGAUGAUGAGAUGUAGAUCAAAGGCAUUAGCGGUGCUGAAUGUUUAUUUUGCACGUCAGUCUGAUCCCAGCUCACUGUUCCGAGAUUGUGCUGCCUUCUUGCAUUUCCUAGUUAAAAAAAUGUACUCCUUGGACAUGGAUCUAAACGAACUUCAAAAUAUGAAUGAUUAAGAUUUCGUGAUCAGUGUCAUUCAUAGUUUAUGAUCACUAAUUUAAAUCUCGUGGCAUAUCUUGCAGGGUGUUUAUAGCCAAUUAGAUGCCACACUCACUGAAAGCUUAACUUACGAUUUAGGUUCUGGUUGUGUAUCCCCCCCCCUGUCCACCGCCUUUAACCUUGUACUUCUAAGCAAUUGAUUGUAUUUCCUGAAUAAUGGCUACAUAUUUCGUAAUUGUUCAUGCUCUGCUGAUUAUAUUUUUGCACGUCUCUGUUCCUAAUAAAACUGCACACUAUUUUACGAAAAAAGACGUGCACGCUAAUAUCGUACACCAAUGUAAUAUAACACUAUUAACAACAAAAAGUUCUUAGUACGGGUUCAAUGUCAUCAUGCAACAUCCAUGAUGCCGUUCCUUAGUCUCUCUACGUGACUCUGUGUUGCAUUUGGUAAACUAUUUCUUAAACUUCUGGCUCCGUUUACUGCAGGUCACUUUCUUCAAGAAUCGUGUCAAUAUUGCCAGCGGCACACCAAACAGGUUAGUCACCAGUCAUUUCAUCUCGAUAUUGAUGUUACAAUGGGUCGUUUGGAUGAGGUAUUUGAAAGUGGUAUUUUGGCUCAAGUAACUCAAACUAAAGUUAUAACUGAGUUAUUUGGGCCAAAACACUUCGUUUUCCAUCCGAAAUAAAAGUCGUUAUAUUUCAUAACUGUGAUAUUUGAAAUAAUUAUGGAUGUGAUAUUUGAAAUAACUCAAUUUAAAACCAUAACUCAAAAUGAUAGCUAAACGAAUAAUUCUUAUCCCCCAAAUUCUUACAACUGAUCCAAACGAUUAAUGUUUACUUGCUCAUCCUUUUCGUUCUAGCUGAAUAUUUGCAUUUCCGAAAUAAUGCGCCCCACAUGAGUUCGGUAUACAUUGGUGAUUGCUUUUGCAAGUUUUCCGUGCAUGAAUUGUUGUGGUAUUCAUCAGAAAAUUACCAAUAGGAAAUAGUUAAGAGGUCGUAGAAAAUGCAUCGGGAGUGUCAUUUUAUAUUGUAGGGGCAAAAAUUGAUUUUGAUGAAUUUGAACUUUCUUGACUAGAUUCUUGAUAAAAAAAACUAUCUUGACUAGGUUGAAGAAGUUGAUAGAUAUAAAAGCAAUGGGGCUCUCGCGGUUUUAAAGUUAUCGUGCUAGAUGUCCACCAUGAUGUAAAGGGUUAUUCCUUGCUCACACUUCCACAAGGGGGAGAUAUAGAGAGAAUGUCCGGUCUCUUUUCAACACAGCGAGGAGCAUAGUCGAUUUUGUCAUGUGAAGAGUUGCUGUUGUACAAGUGUUAGUUUGUUAUUUUGACAGGACACUUUUUCAAUUAUUCAAAACUUAUAUUCUAGCUAAGCUAAGGGUAAAUAUCCAUUUUGUAAUUUCACUUGUUGCUGCUUCUACCAAGAGACAGCACACAAGGAAUUAUACUCAUCGGCUUCCUGGCCGCAAUUGAGUUAAAUCUUCUUUUCGGCCCCUAGCGUUUAAAAUAAAAUAAAUCUUUCACCGGCUACCUUCAAAAUCCUCUGUUUAUCUUUCCUUUGAUCUUAUCAAAUUUUUAUAGUGACAAAGUUUGUGAAAUUACUUAAUAAAAAAAAGAAAAAAUUAUUAAACAAUUGCUAAUAUUUAGGCCCGACAUUCGAUAUAGCACAUGUUUUUUAUAAUAUUUUUUUUUGCCCAAAUUUCAAAUUAUGUUAAUUCCUUUAAGUUAAAAUUAACGGAUUGGUGACAAAUGCUGACAAGGCAAACAAUGUGUCUGAUGUGGAUGGAUGAAAAGAAGUCAAUCGGAAAUAAAUACACAGUCAACAUACAGUUAAAAAAUUUUAUAACAAAAACCACCCACAUUCCUUAUCCUCUUCGUCGACCAGCCUUUUAUCACCCACCUGUCACCUCCCUUCUAAAUUAAUUUUCAUCAGAUGGGGAGAAAGAGUGGAAGAAGAAGAAGAAGAAAGAAAGAUGGAGCAAGGUGCAUUUGAUUUGAAUCCCGACAAUGUCGACAACAAUCUUGUAUCUAAAUUCUUUGUCGAUUUGAAUUUCGAUGAUGCCAACAACAACCUCAUUCUUGAACUCUCCGUCGAUUUGAAUCCCGACGAUCCCAUCAACAACACCAUUCCUGAACUCUUCGACAAUUUGAAUCCCGACGAUGCUGAUAACAACCUCAUACCUGAAUUCUCCGUUGAUUGAAUCUCAAUGAUGCCAACAACGACUCUCUAUCGUUGUCGAUGAAAUGCCCAAGCUUGUGGAGAGAUGGAUACAGGGAGUAGUAGCAGGUACAUGUCCAAAUAUGGAUGUUGAGAAAUCCUCCUCGGCUGUCGAUUUCGAAUGGUCCCCACGUUUCAAAUUGAUUUUAGUGUUCUUGCUGGGAGUAGGUUUGCACGCGGCUGAGAUUGGGUUUAUCUGUUUGUUGCAAAUGAAUGAAUUGAAUUGGUUGGUUUUUUAUUGGGGGUGGGUUUUGCAAGCAAGUUGAGUUGUUUGAUUGGUUUGAAGUUUUUUUUGUCUUGAUUGGGUUUUGUAAAAAAUGCUAGCAGAAUACUGACAAUGGAGGAGAAGGUGGAGGAAGGAAAAAGAAGGUGGAGGAGAUGAAUGAUUUUUUUGGUAGCUGAGUUAUUAUUAUUUAAUGAAAGGAGGUAAAUAAAAUUUACCUAACUAAGCUGACGUGACCAGUGAUUGUUAUGUGGCGUCGGACAUGGUAUCUUGAUGAUUUUCUUCUUACGGCGUUUCGUGUUUGGUUAACUAUAACGGUCAACGACAAAGUCAACUGAUUUUCGUUAGUGUGAUUUGAAUUUUGUCAGAAAAAAAUGUAUUUCGGAAAACAUGUGCCAGAUCAUUUGUCGGGUUAAAACAUUGCCAAUUGUGUUAGCUAAUUUUUCCUAAAAUAAGUUAGUGACAUUUUAUCAAGUCGAUCUACACUACAGGAAACUAGAUGUUUAACAACAUCAUUUUUUCUUGUUGACGACAACCAUUUCCUGUUGUUAUGUAUCAUAACGGCGGCUUUGAUUGCGCUAUUAAGAUUGCCAAUGCAAAGAGAUCCUACCAGCGAAAUAUUGGCCGCGGUUAAGUGGGGAAGCGUAACAGCGAAUAGCUGGCCGCUGUUAGGUUGCAUCCUAAUAGCGAAAUAUGACCGAUGUUAGACGAAAUUCUAAUAGUGGCAUUGUGUCCGUUGUAAGGAUUUCGCCUAACAGCAACUACAUAUCCUCAUAGUUUUCUUAUUAUUUUAUUUUUUUCGUUUGGCUAUUUUCCAUAUAUAUCCAACUUGUUCAAGUAAUUUUUUCGAUAGGUAGAUAGAAAUACAAAUUUGGGAAACACUUUGCUAAAUAUAAAACUAGUCAUUUUGAUUAAAUAUUUGAUUGUUAGGACACAUACUAAUUCCUUGGCUUAAACUACACCAUCCUUCUAAAGUAACUACUUGAUUCAUAGUUGUUCAUCCAACAUGUACAAUCCACUAAACAUAGACUACUCCUCUUGGUCGUAAUCAAGCUCAUCGUCCCUCUCAUUUGUUUCCAUCAUAGUGCUCGUUCACAUUUGUUUGCAUCAAAUGGCUGCCAUCAUACAUUUGGAUUUAGAACAUCUGCCUCAUCUCCUCCAAAUCAUGAGAUAAGCCAACUUGAGAGUUGGCAAGAUGAGCUAUACACCUACAAUACACCAAAUAAAAGUUAGUUUUUUUAUCCAAAAAAAUUUGCAUGACCAAUUCGAAUUCACGGUUUAACUUAUACUCUUUGAUCUACAAAAUGAACAAACGAUACUAGAUUUGGAAGGACAAGUUUCGACAGCUACAAUGAAUCAAGGAAACCUUUUACAUCUACAUUAUCAAAACAUAAUUGCAGAAUUAAAAGUAUAAACCAUGAGUAAGGUUGAAUGAUAAAAUUUUCACUAUUUAGAGGUGUCGGUUAAAAUGUGCAAAUUGGAUAAUAAAUUUGCAUGGGAAGGAUGAUUAUGUAGAUUACGUAAUAAACUAACAAAUACAUAUAUACUUAUGAUUUGAAUGGGACUUGUAAGUUAAAAUUGGAGGCGCCCCUCUUAAUUUGUACCUAUUGUAUGUUCACUAACCACCCAUAAUAAAAACAAGCAAGAAAAAUUGGAUUUGGUGGAUCACUCGAUGAAGAAACAAGAUUCGAAACUAGCCCUCAUAACUUGAUUAGGUGAAGUUUCUACCUAUAACAGUCCAACUUAGUGGUAGAAUUAAUUUAGGAUUAAUGCUGAAAAAUACAAAUACUUAUUCAUUUUGCUUUCACUCUAAAUCCUAAAUGGCGCACCACUGUUCCUGACUUCUCUUUUUUGUUCUUCGAACGUAUACGAUAUGCCCUCGCCAUAGCAUCCUCCUUGCUAACCCCAUGUUAGUAUUUGGUUCCUUCAUAAACUGUUUGACUUCAACCUAUAUUCAAUCUCAAAAUCUUAAAUAUAUUAGAAUUGCAUCUUAUCAACAAAAGGUCAAAACACAAUAAAAUUAUAUGCAACUUACAUAAAAGUCUCAAGUAACAUAUGUUUCAUCUUCUCUUUCAUAACACUUGAAAAAGAACUCAGAUCUUCUUACUUCUUUUCCUUUCGCUUUCUUCUACAUUAUACGUUCUACAAUCAAUACAAAUUAACUUCUCAUGACUUUUGGAACAUAAUAUAAAGACGAUUGAUGAGAUGCUUACUUACCAUCUCUUCACGAAUUAUAUUGAAAGGUUUUGACCCUUUCGUAUGAUAGAUGUCUUGAUUAGAACGAUACCUUGUUUCUUUGCAGAUGCAGUCUAUAAAACUGCUAGUAAUUGACAAAUGACAAUAAUAAAUAUCAUUAUAUCAAAUAUAAGUACAAAUGUAAAACUUACUAGAGUUGGCUUCCCCUCCUAUAUCUGCAAAACAUAUCCCACUCACGUUCAUCAAUAUUUGGUGGUUUCCUGUCUAAGUUGAGCUGAAGACCUUGAGUAGCAUCGAUAUUUGGUGGUUUCCUAUCACGUUCAUCGAUACUAAUCAAUUUUCUUUGGAUAUGACUAAUGUAAUGAAGAAGAUAGAAGAGAUUAAAUCUAAAACCCUUAUGAUUACCCUGCAUUCAUAAAGACUGCAAUGCAAUAUGUACAGAGAGGCGUGGACACAUAGCAAAGUCCUUACAAUUUUGACAAUUACCAUCCAAUACAAUUUUGUAAGCUACAGCUAACAUUCAUGAGCUAAUAAGUUUUGUCAGGUCGGUUACGAAAGAAAACACACUUAACUUCAUAAACAAUAAUAAAUUAUGAAAACCCCCAAAUCAAAGUUAGGGCUCAUCUAAAUCAUUAACAAAUCAUACAAACUGAUUUCAAUCUCAAAAUUAAACUUAGACCCAGCACUAUAAAUAAGAUGUCUAACCUAAAGCUAGAACAAAACACUUCCAAUUCACUAAACGGAAAACAUUUCAAAGAUCUAGAUUUUACUAACCUUUCAAUUUUCUUGCUAACACAAGAUGACUGAUUGAGAUGAUGGACAGGAACCAAAAUGAGCCGCAGCUGGAAGGCCGGAGCAAGCGACGCCGGCACGAAGAAGAAAAACGCCAGCGAACGGCCGUUGGUGAAGAUACUAUCUGGCUGUGUCCUUUGUUCAAUUUGGGGAAAGUUGGGUUUUUACGUGGUGUUGGGGGGUUAUAUGUAUUUGGAGUUUCGUUUAUAUUAAUAUAAUGAAGAAUUAAGUCUCAUUUUGUUUGGGGCUUUAAAUUAAUAACCCAACGUCGGCUUGAUUCUCUACAUAGCCGCUGAUAGGAUUACUCUUAGCAGCUGCCAUCUAAAUAAGAGCCACUGUUAAGUUGUUGUAUUCCAUCAUAUUUUUUAAUUAUUAUCCUAACAUCGGCCAAUAUUAAUCAGGGCCGAUGUUAGGUAGUAAUAACGUAUCAGUAGCCUUCCAUUUAUUGUUAGGAUAUUGACCUAACAUUGAGACCAUGUCCGUUGUUAAAUUUUGUAUGUUAAAAUAUCCUAACUGCAGGUCUAUGUGGCUACAGUUAAAUUGGCAAUAUUAGGUAGUCAGUUUCUUGUAAUGCUACCUUGUUUAUCAUAGAAAAUUUGUUAUGACAAACGUGAUUGUUGUUGUUACAUAACAACACUCUAAUUUUCCAUCUAUUUUUAAUUUUAAAAAUUUGACAGUCUUAAUUUGUUGAAUAUUUUUAAUCUUUUUUACAUUUUUAUCUCUCAUAAAUAUGUCCUAAUUUUUAGUUAAAGAAUCCUCAUUCAAUUUCUAUUUCUAUUUCUAUUUUUUUACCUAUAUUUAAUUAAGUUAAUAACUUAAUAUUUCCUUAAUUGCUUUUUACAGGUUGUCAACGGAGUUCUGGUACUCCCAACAAGUGAGAAGAACGAUCAGAUUAGUAACAGAGCACAAACAAAGGUACAAAAUAAAUUACCAUAUCACAGUCUCAGGUAUAUAACUCCAUACAAUAGCACAUUCAUGGGUACAUAACUAGACAAAAAUUAAUCAAAAAUUGAUACUUCAAUACACGAGGUAUAAAAUGCAGUACCAUAUCACAAACCCCUUUUUUUUUUUUUUUUUUUUUUUUUUUUUUUUUUUUUUUUUUUUUUUUUUUUUUUUUUUUUUUUUUUUUUUUUUUUUUUUUUUUUUUUUUUUUUUUUUUUUUUUUUUUUUUUUUUUUUUUUUUUUUUUUUUUUUUUUUUUUUUUUUUUUUUUUUUUUUUUUUUUUUUUUUUUUUUUUUUUUAUUUUUUUUCUUUUUUUUUUAUUGUCUGUUUUUUUCUUUUAUCCUGUUUUUCUUCCUUUUCAAGAUCUUGAAAAGAGAGAGAAAAUGAGAGAGAGAGAAUGAGAAAGAGAAAACGAGGGAAAGAGAAUGAGAGCAAGAGAGAGAGAGAGGAGGAGAAAUUUUUGGAGUUUUUUUAUUUUUAGUGGCUUUGAUAUUGAAAAUACUAUAUAAAGAAUUUUAGAUGAAAUCAGUCAGUUGAUACAAUUAUUGUUGUUAUGUGCUAUUAUCGUAUGAUAAGCGGGUGGGGCUUUUCUUGUUUUCGUAAACAUCAAGAUUUUAUUGGUUGGGUCUAUGAUUCCAGCCUACAUGAUACUCAAAAGGGCCCUGGUUCAUCUGGAAAUGAAAAGUGCUUUAUGAACGUUUGGAUUGGUGCUUCCUUGACUCGGUUUGGUAACUUCAAUUUCUACCCACCUAUAUCGUGUUAAGUCGGAUCACCGACCUAUUUUCAUGGUUGCGACCAAGCUCAAGAAGUCAAAUCUUCCUCAUACCUUUCGCUUUAUGGCUUCAUGGUUGUCACAUGUUGAGUUUAAGCCUUUUUUUGUCGGAAUGGAAUCGGUCUUUUACCUUUAUUCAUCAGAUGUCCAUUCGAGCUACCAAACUGAAAAAAUGAAAUAAGGAAAUUUUUGGCAACAUCCAAACGAAUAGAAGGAGCUUAUCUUUAAACUUGCUGAUGUUUAAGCUCUCGCAGCUCCUCUACUCAUUCAAGACACCACAAUGGACAUUGCAAGUGACCGGAAUACUCAUUUUUUUCACGUAUCCACCUUCCGUAGGCGUGCUCGGAACCACAUUAUUAAGUGAAGGAUGACUGUGGGGUGUGUAUUCAUUAGGUUUGGGAGUCGGUUAAUUUGGUUAAUAACCAUCGGUUAAUGGUCGGGAAGCGCUUUGAUGAUUGAAAUUAAUUAACCAAAUUAACCGACCGAGCAAAAGCCACGGUUAAUCUUACCGACCGAUAACCGACCAAUCAGUUAAAUGAUCGAUUAUUAACAGACUGACUCUCGGUUAACCGUUGUAACCGGCUCUGACCAAUUUAACUCUCUUCUCAUAUUGCAACAAGAUUCUAGGCUCUGGCUCUAGAUCCGUCGUCGAUUCAAGCCUUGGAGACCAUAGCUUCUCUUCUGGAAACAAUCCGGUGCUCUACAACUUGAUCCUUCGGGACUGGAAGCUUUCCGAGACGGCGUUGUUGCGGAUCAGUAAGGAGAGGAGGAAGCUUCAAGCCUAUGGUGUUGCAGAUCGAAGAAUUGAGAGAGUGGAGGAGGAGAGGAUUGGCCGUGGCGACGAAGGAAGCAUGUGGUGUUGCAGAUCGAAGAAUCGAGAGAGUGGAGGAGGAGAGGAGCGCUUGCGGUGACUCGUCGUGGUCGUCGUCGUGACUGCCGGCGAGAUGCUGAAAUUGAAUCGCUUGGAUUGAUAGAGUUGUCGAGAUGGAUUGAUGGAGUUGUCGAGAUGGAUUGAUGGAGAUGGCUCGGAGUUAACCUAAUUUCAGAAUGAGAGGUUGUGAUGGAGUGGGAGGCUGGGAGGGGAGGGAGCGAUUCUGCGAUUGUGGUGAGCAAAGCUUGAUUUCCUAAUUGGGGACCUUGGUUUUUUUAAUUACCGGUUAACGUUGGUUAACUCGAGUUAACCAACGAUUUUACCCUGCUCCAACAAGUACUCCCAACUGUUCCCCGACCGACCCCUACCUCGGUUAAACCGACACUCUAACCGAGUCGAUCAGUUCAUCUGUUUAACCUAUUAACCGAGACUGAUGGCCCACCCUUAGUAUUCAUCCAGCUUGUUGCUGCAAUUAGUGUCGUAUUGAUAUGGUUGAGAGAGGAUAAAAUAUGCUUGAUUUCAAGUUCUCCAACUUGAAAGGUUUAGCUGUUAAAAAUGUAGAGGUCAUGACUGAGUACUGAUUUCCAGCAAGGAGAAGUUGGAUAUUUGCUUGCGAUAAAAAAGAAUUUGGACAGUCUAUCUUAGGCACAAAAUCUAACGGAUGAGAUGGCAACUUUACUUCAGGGGCCUAUUGGUCAUUUUAAAAUUUUCUUGUUUUUCAGUUUAUUUUUCCAUUCUGUUUAAUAUUGGUUCAAGUAAAAUGAUUUCUUGUAAAUUGGGUCUAUUGAGUAACGUGGGUGGGUAGACUUUAUUGCUCCCAUCGAGCUUGACGUGAUAUUUUCUUCUUCGUUUCUUUAACAUGCAUAAAUUGUAUAUAAUACGAAAGGUUGGAAAUAUAUGUGAAGCUCGAGGUUUAUUAUAUAUGUUUCGAGGUUUAUUAUAUAUGUUGAACCUUUUUGCCAAUUGGUUAUUUUUAUCAUGUAGUGCCUUAUCAAGUAAAGGGAAUGGUUGUUUUUAUCUACUGUCACUAGCCAACUUUCUUUCUCAUGUGAUCAAUUAUUUGAUCACGCAUGAAUGACUACAGUACACAAAAGAUAGAAAUAUUAUAAAAACAAAAAACAAAUAUUAAAAAAAAAUACCUAAAAAGCAGGUACAUAACAACAAAAACAAUAACCGUAAAUAUCAAGUACAUGAAAGCGGAUGCUCAAAAUAAGCACGCACACAUUAAAAACUUUGGUACAUACAAGGCAAGAAAAUCGAGAACAUAUUGGAACUCGAGUACCGGAAUUGGUACGGUAUUAAGUACAACGUGAAGAAAUAUCAAGUACAUUAAAAAGCGAGUAUAUAACAAUAGAAAUAAGUACACGAAAACAACUCAGAGAAAUGAUAAUUUGAUUGCCAAAAUUGAGUAUGAUAAAGUAAAAUGCAAGCACGUAGUACAUGAAACAAAUAUGAGUAAGAGUACAUAAAUUUUUUAGUACAAUACAAGACAAAAACUCAAAUACAUAUAAAAACUGGACACUAAAAAAAAUAAUUAAUUAUUCACAAUUUUAAAUAAUAAUAGUCACGAUUUUUAUCAUGAUUAACAGAAGCUAGUCACGAAAAUAAAUCCGUAACUAACCUAACCGAUGCUAGAUGAACUUGUCACGAAUCUGAAUAACCUGUAACUAAGUUGUCACCGAAAUUUUCCGUGACCAACUCAUCACGGAAGAAACCGUGAACAUAUGUGUUUUUGUUUUUGUUUUUUAAAUUAGUGGCACGGAGCCAUAUGCUGUGAUAAUUGAUUUAUUAAUAAAUUAAUCCCACAUCUCCGUGGCUACUAUAUCACCAGAAUUUCCAGAUUCCGGCAACCACAAUUUCCAGAAUCCGGCAAUAAGAUAGAGUUGAUAAUUGCUUUUUUAUUAGAGUAAAAUGUUCUACAUCUAUACAUUAUGAUACCCAUAUCAAAAUUCCAGAAUCCCAAAAUUGAACAUAACGUCAACGAAAGGCACCAUGCAACAAUGGUGACACUAAGGGUUACAACAACCAGCAAAACCGAAACACAGACUGGAAAUGCUACCAAGAGAAGGAUGAGACUAGAUGAUGAGAUUGAGAUUGAGAGAAGAAAAAUGAUAGUAAGAAAUUUUGUUUUCGAGAGAGAUCAAAUGAAGAUGAGAUCUACUUCUAAUUUAAUAUAAUGGAAAUGGAGAUAUGGUUGUUUAAUGGCAAAGAGAGAAGAAAGGAAUAGCCCAUUAAACGAGGAUAGAGUCUGCAUCAUUUCUUUUUUCGACCUUUUCCCACUAAAAUGCUAAUUUUAAAAUUAUAAAUAAAAGUUGGUCACGGUUCCAACAUUUACCGUGAGUAGUUGGUCGCGGUAUUCAACAAUCCAUGACUAGUUAUGGAUUUUUUUUUAUCUAUAAGUAGUUAGUCAUGGUUUUUAAAGCCGUGAUUAAUAAAUCGUGAUUAAUCGUUGAUUUUUUUUGUAGUGCGAGUAUGAGUAUUGAGUAAAACGUCAUGUACAAAAACAAGUACAUCAAAAGCGAGUACAUAAUUAUCAAAACAAGUACUAAAACGAGAGGAAAAGUACAUAAAAAGCGAGUAUAUAAUAAUAGAAACAAGUGCAGUAAAAAUCAAGUGCAUGAAAGGAAAACGAAACUCAAACUAAACACUAAUACAAAAAAAACUUUAGUACGCAAAUAAGUAAAUACAAGAAAAUUAACAUACACAAACGAAUACAUAAGAGUAUAGUGUUUAAACAAAGCGAUUAUACGGAUCAAUACGAUGUUGAGUACAAAACAACAACUUGAGGCUUUAUCCCUCAUUUUUAGAUGAUUUUGUACUAAGUUCUUAUAUGUAUUAGUUUUUAUUAAUGUAAUCCCUCGUGUACUUUGUCUUUGGAUUUAUUUUUAUGCCAUAUCUAUUUAUUUACGCAUUUGUGUAUACUUAUAUUUUUAGAACUUUAUACUCAAAUCAAUUAAUCAAACAAUAAAACUAUUUUCUCUUUACACGAACCAACAUAAUAACCCAUCACCCCAUACAGGGUUGUGAAGGAGGUGCAGUGACCAGAAUUUUCUAGUUGUUGCUUUUCUAUAGUUUGAUAAGGGUAAGCAUCUUGUUCUAGAAUAUAUGUUGUUAGGUUAUAACAAUGCAUCUAGUUGAGCAUGAUUCUUUGGUCAAGUGUUACUGGGAUUCUUUUUGUUCCACAUCAAUGCUCGGAGGUCGAAGAGGCAACGAGGGUGACGAAGAAAUCGGCAUCACCACGUGAGAGAAGAUGAAGAAGAGGUCAGAGAGUGGAGCCGGUGGAAAAGAUAUACUAGAAGAGGUACUUAAAGUUACUUGUACGACAAAACUGCCCUUAUUCAAUUGGACAACCCCUAGAUUAAAAUUUAAAAAUGAACGGACGCGAUUCGUUUGCGGCCAGCAAACACAUAAUAUCAUGGCUGCCUAUCCGGACUCGUCAUAACUGGCGUCAACAUUACGUAGUGUUGUCAAAAAUUAAAAAGGGGAAUAUAUAAUAAUAAUAAUAACAGACGUAAUCUUGUGUAUAUAAUGAUAUUAAAACGUUUUUCAAUCGACAAAGCCAAGUCUGCGGGAGGAACAGCUAAUGGACGAACAGCCUAAGCAUAAGCCGCCUUCUUCGUAUUCUUCAGAUUCUCUGAAUCUCUACCCUUUUUUUUUGUUACGCGGAUUCCCUUCCCUCGUCUGCAAACAAAAAGCUCUUCGUUGACUUUUUAGCAGGCUUUUUUAAAAAACCUUAAUUGAAAAAAUUUGUACAUGGUUGUUGCCUUUGUUGGCGUCAGCAUGACCCAAUGCUGUUGUCAUGUUCAUGAUUGCUCCAACUCACCUGGCUGCGCAUCUGCCUUCUGACCUGACCUGCCCUCCUCCUUUUUUUUAAAUUAUGUUUCCCCAAAAUUAAAUUUAAAUCGUUACAAAAUUGGUCUCUCCUUCUCCUAUAUAUAACGUGGAAGAGCUCCUGCCAAAAAAGUCAUUCAAACUCAAAGCAGAUAAAUUAUCAAAAUAAAAAAGAAAACCCCAGUGCUCUGCCUGCCGUUAAGAAAUUAGUUUAUUGGGUUUGUUGUGUUUAUGAAAGCUGUGUUCCAGAGACUGAUAUCGUCAAGCACCCAGAUUGGCUGUAGGAAGAAAGUUGCAUCUUUUCCAUUAAUCAGAAGCGCUAAUAUGUCUGAAUCCUCUGCCUUUGAUUCUCCGAGAUUGGUGACCAAGAAGGUCCUUGCUAAGCUUCAGCGUGAAGGGGAUGGUGCUUCUGUCAGGAGAAGCAUUGGAAGGUAUAAUAUAAUAUAUCAUGGAUGGAUGGAUGGAUAUACAAUUUUCUUCUUGUCAAAAUUGAAUUAACUGUUUUCGUUUCUGUGGUGAAAUUGAAUGAUUGAAUGUUGAAUUAUUUUGGUUCAGGAGUGAGCUCAGGUCUCUGGACCCUUUCCUCAUGUUGGAUGAGUUUUCAGGUCUGCUUUGCUUAAUUACUUGAAACCAAAUUCCUUGAUAUUUUCUAGAAUUAGGAUGAUGAUGGAUGAUGGAUGGUAUUUAAUUUGUUGUUGCAAAUUGCAAUGCAUGAAGUCUCAGCUCCUGCUGGAUUUCCUGAUCAUCCACACAGAGGUUUUGAGACUGUUACAUACAUGCUGGAGGUACAGACAGUACUGGAGUUAAUUAUUUAUUAUGAAUUGAAGGCUGUUUUUUGUCCUUGGUAGUCUAUUUAUUGAUGUCUGUGAAAUUCGUGGGUGGCACUGGCAGGGAUCAUUCACUCAUCAAGAUUUUUCUGGGCAUAGAGGGACUAUUCAUGCCGGGGAUGUUCAAGUAAAAUAAUUCACUCAAUUACAAUACUACGACGUUUACUUAAUUAGCUAGCUUUACUUGAUCAAAGUCAAAAACUCUUUCUUUUUUUAAAGUAAACAACAACAACAACUUGUGUGUUUUCCUGUUGGGCAGUGGAUGACAGCAGGUAGAGGGAUAGUCCAUUCAGAAAUGCCUGCAGGAGAAGGAGUCCAGAGAGGCCUUCAGCUUUGGAUAAACCUCUCUUCUCAACAUAAAAUGUAUGUUUUUAUUUCCUUUUUUGUUUGUACUUUCCAACUUCACCAUUCCAACAGUUUGUAAUAUGGAACCAACAGGAUUGAGCCAAGGUAUCAGGAACUUCUGAGGCAGGACAUCAAAAGAGCAGAGAAAGACGGGGUUGAAGUCCGAAUCAUAGCAGGGGAAUCAAUGGAAAUCGAGUCUCCAGUUUAUACAAGGACCCCAACAAUGUACCUUGAUUUCACACUGCAACCAAGGUCCCAAAUGCACCAGCCCAUUCCAGAAUUAUGGAACGCAUUCAUUUACGUCAUUGAAGGUGAGGGAGUGUUUGGGAUCCCAAACUCCUCACCAGUUGAAGCACAUCAUACACUCGUUCUAGGCCCUGGUGAAGGAAUGAGCGCCUGGAACAACUCCUCUUCCAAACCCUUGAGGUUUGUCUUGAUUGCAGGCCAGCCACUUAACCAACCAGUGGUGCAGCAUGGUCCUUUUGUCAUGAACACAGAAUCUGAAAUCCACCAAGCAAUUGAAGAUUACCACUACUCCAAAAAUGGGUUUGAAAUGGCGCAGUAUUGGAGUUCCCAAUAGGGAACAAGUAAGUGCUUGGAUCACUCAAAACCAAAUCUCCACAUUCCCUCUCAACUUUGAAGAAGAAAAGAGUAAAGAAUAAAAAUACACAUCCACAAACACUAAAGGCCACACGCAUAUGUGAGUGAUACUCAUUUGUGUUCCAUCAUGUAUUAAUUUAGCUUUUAUCCUCUUCCAACCUUUUACUAUUCCAAAUCAAAAGGUUGAUUAUUGCAUUGUCACACAAAACAAUGAUAAUAAAAAUACUCAAUUCAUAUAAUCCUUAGAAUUAAUUCUUUUCAUAACUAUAGUAGAUGUUUGAACAAGUGAGAACAAAAUAUAAGCUUAAUCUUAAUAGUAAUAUCAACGGAUAAUAGCACUGUGUGUCACUUAAUUAUUACCCAUGUCGCACAUAAACUACUUAACUUUCUACAUUGCACAUAAAGCCACUUAACUUUGCUUAUGCUUGCAACAUCCAAAUUUUCAUUCAAUUUAUGGAUAGACUGAUCGAAUUGAUGAGUUCUUAUUCGAGAUCUUCUGUAUGAAUAACCUCCAACACAUUAAAGAGAACAAUAAUUUAUAAGAACUGACAGAAUAACUUAUUACUUGUUUACAGAAAAGAAUGAUAAAAUAAAAAGGCAAGAAUAGAUUAUAAUCAUGCCUUGGACACUGCUUUCGAAAAAAUAUUUCCCGAAUUUAGAACACCAAUACAACUAAAGGUUAAUCACAAUAUUCACUCAAACUCUAGUGUAGGGCUUGAAUGUUGGAACUUGGAAACUUAUGCUAUUUUGAUUCCGAUUUUGAGAGUGAAAACAAAGUUUUCUGCCCAUAUUAAUCAACUAGGAUUUCCCUUUUUAAAGAGAACGCAUCCACUAACCAACAUCAAAUCCAGAUUCUCCUUUCUGAUGAUCAUCAAUGAUAAGCAGAUAUGGGGAAGGUGGAGUUGAGCUCCCGAUUUCUAGGAAGCCAACCAAAUACUUCUGUUAAGCAUAAGUCUUGAGUAUAUGCGGUAUGUAACUGAUCAUUACUGUUACUUCAAGUGGUUAGAUAAUGGUUACAUCAUCUUGCUGUUGUCCGUUGAUGACAUGUUGAUAGCAAGUUCUAUUGUAAAAGAAGUAAACAAGUUGAAGAAACAGUUAUCUAACAGUUUACUAUUAAGAAUAUAGGAGACGCUAAACAGAUUUUGAGUAUGUGCAUUGAUCAUGAUAGGCAAGUAGGAAAGUUUUAUCUUUCGCAAGUUGAAUAUAUCAAGAAAGUCUUGAAGAGGUUCAAAAUGCAGGAUGCAAAACUAGUAAAGAUUCCUUUGGGUGGCUAUUUCAAGCUAUUUGAGAAGGAUAUGCCUAAUAAUGAUCCAGAACGUGCCCAAAUGCACGAAACACCAUACAUUUUUGUAAUUGAUAGCUUGAUGUAUGGAAUGGUGUGCACAAUACCAGAAAUUGCACAUGUAGUGGGAGUUGUCAAUAGAUUCAUGGGAAAUCGGGGGGAAGCGAUUAAGUACUCCUGAGAUAGUUGAAGAUUACUACUAAAAGGGUCUUGGGCUUUGAGGGCAAAGUAAUGUAGUUAGAAGGAUUUGUCAUCAAGUGACCUUGAUAGAAGAAGAUGUACAACAUGGUAUAUUUUUACUCUUUGAGGUACCAUGGUUUCUUGGGCUUUUAAGUUGCACUGUCUAACACUCAAGCUAAAUAUGUUGCGGUAACGAAGGCCAGCAAAGAGAUGGUAUGGUUUUAGAAUUUCUUUGGUGAAUUGGGGAAGAAGAAAGAGGAUAGCAUAUUGUACAUUAGUCUUAUACACUUGCAAAAAAUUCAGCAUUUCAUUCAAAAUCGAAGCUCAUAUUGAGUUGAUGUAUCACUUUAUGGGUUGAUCUCUUGGAAAGGAAGAUCUUACGGCUUAUGAAGAUUCUAGGAAGUGAGAAUCCUAUGGAUAUGCCGACUAAGGUUGUAAAGUUGGAGAAGUUGACACUGUGUAUGACUUUAACUGGUUUUGUAACUGAAGUUGAAGGUCAGAUGCUGCUUGUAGUAGGAAGACGUUGAACAUGGAGAACCAAUGAGAGGAGUAUGUCUUCAGGUGGGAGAUUGUUGGGUUAUGGUGCCUAAGAAACUGAAGGCUUGGUCCAGUUAGUUUGUUUAGUUAGAUAAAAAUUAAGAUUAAUCUUGUCUAUUCUAUAUAGGAUUAGAAUUAAUAUGGUAGCUCCCUAUAAAUAAUCUAUAUUCAUAUCAUUGUAAUCUGUAUCACAACAAUAGUAGUCGAAAUCCUAACUUGGUUUGUAAAAAAAGAAAUUCUAGCGUGGUAGCGCCCUAGACAUACUCUUCUCGUGAAGAGGAACUAGGUUCUUAAUUUUUCAGUUUAUGAUUGCGUUUCAUUUUUUACAGGAACGACCAGAUCCAGCUCAGAAACUUCCUCAAGAUGGCGACGUUGAAGAAGCUCUGUCUCGCUAACGCCUAACAAUGGCUUCUCUAGACUGAUUCAGACUGUCCUCACCGCUGGAAAAGGAGAUUAGAUAGAAAUCCAUCUUUUAUUCCUCUUCAUUGUUUUUAUGACAAUUUCUUCUUUUCUUUUAUAAUAGAGAACUAUUUAUCACUUUUGUUGGACAUUUCUUGUUUGUUUCCCUCAAGAACUAAUAAUUUUGGUCAAUGGGUGACCACUGAUGAUGUUGAUUCUAUAAGCUUUAGUAUUUAGUCAAAUUCUUGAGUUUUUUUCAACUAGAAAAAAAAAGAAGAGAGGUUACAGUUUCAAUUAUUAAGUUUGAAGAAUUAAAGAAAAAAAACUAGACUACAGAUAUGAAAAGGUAAUUCUGAUAAUUUUUAUUGAUGAAUUUUUUUUUUGUAAUGAGUAAGAUAAUUUUUUAGGUUUUAUAAAUGGGUUUUUGGUUAAAAAUCUCAUUUAGAUAGAGUUUUUGAUGGGUAAUUAUGAAAUUUGACAUAAAGGGUACAUGAUUAAAAAGGUGGGAAAGGAAGAUGCGAAAAGAAGGUAAGAAGGAAUCAAUUCAUGGCAAAAAAGAAAAAUAAAUAAGAGGGAAGAAAGAAGACAUAUAUUGAUGGGAGGCGGAGGUGGGAUAGGGAGGUGAGAGAAAGAUGUAACAACAAAGAAGGGUUUAGCGAAAGGUGNNNNNNNNNNNNNNNNNNNNNNNNNNNNNNNNNNNNNNNNNNNNNNNNNNNNNNNNNNNNNNNNNNNNNNNNNNNNNNNNNNNNNNNNNNNNNNNNNNNNNNNNNNNNNNNNNNNNNNNNNNNNNNNNNNNNNNNNNNNNNNNNNNNNNNNNNNNNNNNNNNNNNNNNNNNNNNNNNNNNNNNNNNNNNNNNNNNNNNNNNNNNNNNNNNNNNNNNNNNNNNNNNNNNNNNNNNNNNNNNNNNNNNNNNNNNNNNNNNNNNNNNNNNNNNNNNNNNNNNNNNNNNNNNNNNNNNNNNNNNNNNNNNNNNNNNNNNNNNNNNNNNNNNNNNNNNNNNNNNNNNNNNNNNNNNNNNNNNNNNNNNNNNNNNNNNNNNNNNNNNNNNNNNNNNNNNNNNNNNNNNNNNNNNNNNNNNNNNNNNNNNNNNNNNNNNNNNNNNNNNNNNNNNNNNNNNNNNNNNNNNNNNNNNNNNNNNNNNNNNNNNNNNNNNNNNNNNNNNNNNNNNNNNNNNNNNNNNNNNNNNNNNNNNNNNNNNNNNNNNNNNNNNNNNNNNNNNNNNNNNNNNNNNNNNNNNNNNNNNNNNNNNNNNNNNNNNNNNNNNNNNNNNNNNNNNNNNNNNNNNNNNNNNNNNNNNNNNNNNNNNNNNNNNNNNNNNNNNNNNNNNNNNNNNNNNNNNNNNNNNNNNNNNNNNNNNNNNNNNNNNNNNNNNNNNNNNNNNNNNNNNNNNNNNNNNNNNNNNNNNNNNNNNNNNNNNNNNNNNNNNNNNNNNNNNNNNNNNNNNNNNNNNNNNNNNNNNNNNNNNNNNNNNNNNAUGGGUUUGUGGUUAAAAAUCUCAUUUAGAUAGAGUUUUUGAUGGGUAAUUAUGAAAUUUGACAUAAAGGGUACAUGAUUAAAAAGGUGGGAAAGGAAGAUGCGAAAAGAAGGUAAGAAGGAAUCAAUUCAUGGCAAAAAAGAAAAAUAAAUAAGAGGGAAGAAAGAAGACAUAUAUUGAUGGGAGGCGGAGGUGGGAUAGGGAGGUGAGAGAAAGAUGUAACAACAAAGAAGGGUUUAGCGAAAGGUGAUAUAAACAAAAUUAAUUUUGUAAGAAAAUAUUUUUUUUAAUGCCAUGUCAACUAGUUUGUAACUUUUAGUGUCCAUGUCAACAAACAAAAUUUUAUAAAGUUACCAAAAUUCAAAAUUUGUGUUACGAAAAGUAUUUCUAAUAGAUUGUGCCAUUUUCGGUAAAGGCUUAAUAGGUUGUGCAUUUAAGAAAAAAAAUAUUAUUGUGUUUCUACAAUUAACAUCAAUUAUCACCAAACCAUUAAAUACUAAAAACCAAUUAAGAUAUAGUCAUGUUACAAAAAAUGACUCUUGUUAUGAUUUUUUUGUUUAUGCAAUGAUAGGAUGAGAUUAAAAGGUUAAUUUCUUUUUCGACAAAACUUGUAAAAUAUUAUUAAACUCAAUUAGAUAUAAUAUCAUCUACAGUUGGUCAAUCAAAAAAAUUGAGGGUCUAUCCACCGAAACAAUCGUGGAGUUCCAAUGAGUCUGAUUAUACGCCAUAACAUGGGUAAGCUUGUUAACUUAUCUCCGGCCAUGACGCCAAUUACCACAAUCAAACUUUGCCAAAAGGCAACGAAUUAUGGACUAAAAUCCAUGUUCGGUAUGAUGAUCUUCCACAUGAUGCAAAGUCUCAACCAUGAUCAAGCUAUCACUUUCAAGAACCACAUUAGGAUACCUAUGUUGCAAGGCCAAUUGUUAGCAAAAUCUUGCCUCGACCGCCUCAGUUAAAGUAGGCUCAUAGCAACCCUACAAUUUCAACAUAUCCGCCAUUAAGUAAUGCCGAACGCCAUCCCAGAUAACCACCCCAAUACCCAUUCUGGAUCCUGUAAUGAUAGUUGCGUUUAAGGUAGUGAAACUGGUGAGUCAACAUGGGAUCGAAAAGGGACCUAGAAUCGUAAUCGUAAAAUCAAAUCGCAAAAUCAUAAAAUUUCACGGUUCUUCAAUAAUACUAAAUAUUCAGAAAUUCACCUUAGCAUAAAGACGUAAGUUCAUUAUCCAAUCUAAAAUUAAAAAUAAAAUCUCAAAUUCACCUUAAUAGGUUCUUCAGUUGCACUACUUUGAGCUGAUUUUCGAGUCUAGGAGACCGGAGACAAAAUCUGUGAACAAAAUUGUACAAUCUUACAACAAAAAACAAAAUACCUUCGAACAAAGAACCUAAACACCAAAAAUCCAAAACUAAUCUAACAAAAACAGAAUUAGAGAAAGGAAUGGGAUGAUGAGCAAAAUCAUGGAAUGGGAUGAUGAAGAAUCAUGGAAUCAAGGAAACAGAGAUACCUUCGAGCCGUAGGAGUGGCUGGAGCGAUGGGGACGACCAAAGAGGCUAUGACGAGGACCAUUGACUCCUGGUUCUGGUCUUCUAGACUUCUGGGGGACGACCGACGGGGGAGACGACAAGAGAGAAGACUGAGGAUCGAGCAGAGAUCGAACGAGCAAUCGACGACUUGCACAAUUUUUUUCAGAAGAUAAAUGAAUUUAAGGUUCGAUUUUUUGCCCAAAAUUGAACUCGGAUUUCCGUUUCGGUUCGAACCGAAGCAUAAAAACCAGCGGUCAGCACAGAGUAGUGGACUCGUGAAUCGUUGUAAACUCGUUCGAUUCCACGAUUUUCACGAUUUUGCGAGCGAUUUCAUGCCAUUAUAAGCCAUUUUGAUUGCGCGUGAAAUCUGACUCGACGGACCUAACAAAACUCGUAAAAUCGUCGAUUCCACUUCCUUCGUUGUGUAUGUACUGAUAUGGGGUUCCUGGUUUAGUGGUUGAACCGGGGUUGGACCGUUUUUAAACCGGGUCGGCCAUUUUAAAUAUUACAUAAAGUUAAAUCGGACCGAAAAAAUAUUGGAUUGAACGAAAUCAAACUGACAGUACAAAUAGUCAAAUUUUGAGAUUUAACCUUUGAAAAUUGAACAAUUUUAAAAAAUUUAUGUACAUUAUGAUGUUAUUCUUUUUUAAGUUUAUGUAAUAUAAUGAUAUUAUCUAUAGUUGAAGUCUUCCACACAUAUAUAUCUAGAAUGCUAAAGAAACCCUAAUGGAUCUUUCAAUCUUUCUUUAAUUGGGCUCCAACUACUCAAUACCCUCUCUCACACUUUUUUUCUCUAUAGAGAAACUCUCUCCCUUUUUCAUCAGAUUUUUUUCUCCUUGUAAUCUAAUCUUAUUUUUCUAAUAUUUUCAUUCUAUUUCUUCCCUAUUUGUCUCUUUUACUUUUUUCUUUUUGGAAGGUUAUUAGAAAAAGAGGACCACUAAAUAAUUCCGUCGACGUCCAGCAAUAGGGUUUUCCAAUUUUUUCACAGAUGGAUCCAUGUUUCCAAAGUUCUUUUGUUUUUUUUUCUGAUCUGAUAGUUGGUUCUUUAACUAGUUGAAUUAUCUGGUUUUCCGGGGAAAUCGGGUCAAUCCUCAGUUUUGUUCAUUCUCCUCAACCGCUAACUCAGUAUUGAUCAAAUGAUCGGUUCACAGUCGGACCGGCCGGGCUGAUAUGGUUUUGCUAACAUUGAUCUUAGUAGAGCCGACUAGAGGCCAUUCCAACCGAGCCACAAUGGCCUCAUACGAAAAACUCCUAGUUACCCUGAGUUCUUGAUAAUAAAUAAGAAUUGGAGUGCUUGUGCUAUGAUAUCACACUCCAAUUAGUGAAACUCAUUAAGCAUACACACAUUCCUUUCUUUCCAUCAGAAUCACAUAAGCAUUACCCAUCUUUCCAACUCCAAAUUCAAAACUUUGCGGUUGCUAAGUGAGAACCAAUCGCAUCAGUCAUUAGAAUCAUCAAAAUCAACCAGUGAUCAUGUUUAGAGUUACCUCAAAUCCGCCAAGUCCAUUGGCAAUCUCGGAAAUAGUGAAUUUGCAGGCAACCUGCAAAAUGGGCAUAUAUCACCAUGUCGAGGAUUAUGCUUAUACAUAUUAUACCUGUAGGUAAAAUUUACGAUGAAAUUUUCAUAAGAACUGCUCACCUUCGACGGAAUCUACAAUGACCAAGAACAAUUCCAAACAUCCGAGUUGCAAUUUGGAUUAAGACCCACUAAAAGAAAACCGUGUCCAUUAUUACGGAUAAAACCGGCCGUUGUCACUGAUAUUUCCAUGUCCCUGCCUCGUUGUCGCGGGAAAAUCAUCCGCGACAACGGGCGCCUUCAUAAUGAGGGGUGNNNNNNNNNNNNNNNNNNNNNNNNNNNNNNNNNNNNNNNNNNNNNNNNNNNNNNNNNNNNNNNNNNNNNNNNACGGCCGCCUUCAUAAUGAGGGUUGUGGGGACUAAACUAUCCGCGAAAAAUAGGGUUGGCGCGAACCCGUUAUGACCGGUUUGGUUCAAAUAGUUAGGUUGAAAGGCAUUUUAACAAGUUUAUCCGCAAAAACGGCAAGAGAUAUCCGCGACAAUGGCUAACAACAUUUGUUUUGCCGUCAUAACGGUUCCCCUAACGACGUUGAGUUUAUCCACGGCCAAGGUUGACAUUGUUAGUUUCUCCAUCCUACCCGUAAUGGUUGUUGUGCCAAAUACUAGGCCAUAAUAUCUGCGACAACAGCUCAAGUACUGCCUAAAAUUUUGUUAUUUUUGCUUGUUUCGUCCACUGUGGGCGCCUAAAAUAAAAGUUUAUAUAUGCACUAUUCUACACAUAACACAAUAUAUACCAAUAUCAUUAGCAUAACGAUAACACAUAUGAUCAUCCAAGAGUUAAUACUAUAACAUAAUCCAUAGAUCUACUCCAACAUAAUUCCUUGAUUUUUUACCUAACUAAAGUCAUUAGUUCACUAGACUACAUCACUAUCAACCUAGAUAUAACUACACUAGAGACUCGUCAUCCUCAUCCUCGUCAUUAUGACCAAGAUCCUUAUUAGCUCAAGUAUACAAAAGAAGAUAUAUAAAAUUGAAAUUAGGUUAAAACACAUAAAAUUAAGUAACAUGAACUUUAUAACAUAUAAAGAUUACUAAUAAUUUACCCGCCACAUCGUAGUCGUAGUUCUGUUGGAUGUGGUUAUAUUAUAUUAACCGCUACAAUCGUCGUUACGGAUCAUUAUCCGUGUCCGACGAUGACCUAACCGUGACACCCGUUAUCGCGGAUAUUAUCCCCCAUAACUAAUCUACGUCAGACAUCAAAUUUUGUUGUAGUGGCCAAGCUAUUCUUUAAAGCUAGUCAGCCAGUUUUAAUACCCCUAUUUUUUCGAAUAAACAGCUUUACUACUUGAAAUCCAAAUAAGCAUUCCGAUUCUUGAACAUCGCAAUGAAUAAUUUGCACGAUAGAAGUUGAUAUAGUUGACCAAAAACAGCUUUCAAUAAGAGCAGUAUUCUACUGAUAAGUCGUUCGAUUAACCAACUCACGAACUGUAGCAUCAACAUCAAACCUCAUCGGCGUAGAGGUCACAAAAUUACCGGGUACUAACGGAAGCCAUCCGUCUCCCCAAAUUCUAACGGACAUACAAUUUCCCACCCACCACCCAAGGCCACUCCAUACAAAACAUUGAGCACCAAAAAGGCUAUGCCAUAUAAAGCUAAACCCAACUCAGCUUUAAAGACAUAAUAGAAUUUUUAAAAUACUUAGCUUUCAUAAUUCUUACAAUAAGGGAAGAUGCUCUUGAGUGUAAGUUCCAAAGAUGUUUAGCAAGUAAAGUAAUGUUAAAGCCUAAAAAAUCACAUAAUCCCAUCCUAGCUUCGGAUUUCAAACUCAAUAGAUAUUCUUGACAAAAUGAGGGAUGAGCACUGGGUCGGGUCACCCAUCAAAACCCACCCGCCUAUAAUCACUCUCUACCACUACUACCCUUUUCCCCAUCACCAUAAAACUUUGCAUGCUUGUUUGUGUGUUUUUGUAGUUUUUUUGUGUGUUUUAUGUCGCUUUUCAUCGUUUGAGUAGAGAGAGAGAGGGAGAGAGAGAGGGAGAGAGAGAGAGGGAGAGAGAGUAUUUCAAGGGUUGCAUGUCAUACCAAUGAUUAAGAAUGCAUGAUAGAAGGUCUCGAUUCAAAUUAGGGUUCGGUCGGUGUCUGAUCGAAGGACGAAUGAUGCUUGCAUUAUUUUAUUUUUACUGAAAAAUUGGGCUUCUGGAGCAGCCUUUAGAUCAAUCUCAAGGUGUGUGGCUUUGCAUAGUGUGUGUCGUUUCCUUAAGUUUCUCUCGAUAGAAAAUCGAGUUUAUGGCGUGUGAUCCCACAUGCCAUGUGACUGAUUUUUGACAAAACGAACCGACCAAAGAACAACCAAAAACCCAACCGGCUCAAACCGUAAUGAACCAGAUUGAUUUUCAAACCGAUUUUCAACCAAAUCAAACUGAGUUUGACCAGACGCAUUGACCCUUCGUUGACCGGCCGUUGCCCCCGUUGACCGGUCACCAUGGAAGAAAAAACAUGGCAGUUUAGUAGUAUUUUGGGCAUAACAUUUUGCUCGGGAGUCUGAUUGACACAAGGUCAGUGACGUUGGAAACUUGUUCAGUUGCCUACAACUUUGAUGUCAUGAUGUGGCCUAAAUCCAUGCAGUUUGUGCUCAUUUUUCUUGGUUUGGAUUGAUGGAAUUUGAGAAAGUUUGAAUUGUGGUCUUGUUUGGUUUGAUGAUUUGGUGCGAUCGUGAUCAAUUUCUUGAUAGUAUUAUAGUGAUAUGUUCAUUGCAAAUGCUAACGUUUGGGAUGGUUGUCCAAAAUGGAUAAUUCUAGCUUUGCAAUGUGAAGAUUGCUGGAUGUUGAGACGUGAUCACUUUGUCACUCUUGUAUCGAUGGCAUGUUGUUGAUUUUCAUGAGAACUUGGAAUGGCAUCAUGAUGCUUCAAAGUGUGGUUGAACGUAGGUUGUUACUAGGCCUGAGAGUCGGUUAAUUUGGUUACUAACCAUCUGCUUAAUGUUCGGGGAAAAUGAUUUGGAGAUUAAAGUUGGUUAAUCGGUUUAACUGACCGACCAUAUGUAAUGGUUAAAAAGCCGACCAAUAACUGAUAAAUCGGUUAAAUAACCAAUUAUUAACCAACAGAUUAGUCGGUUAAUCCUAUGAACUGACUUUGAUUGAUUGACCGACUAUACCGACUUAACCUAACAAGAUCUGAAUCUCCAUGCUCAUCUCUGCCAUCGAGUGAGCCACGUUCUGCUCAUGAUAACCGUUCGUCCAAGCAUUCAUACUCUACUAAGAAAGCUUGCCAUGGCCGCCACUCUGAACACCGGUCAAAGAACUGAAUACUUGUUCCAAGAUCCGAACUUCCAGAACCGUCUCCAAUCCAUCUUCCCAAUUGUAGUUUGGACAAAGUUUCCUCAUCUGAAUUUUUACUCAAUCACACAACUACAACCUACACGACAACCAUAAUCAAUAGAGUGGAGGGGGAUAGGAUGAAACAGAGGACUGGUUGAAAUUAUAUGGGCCUAUGUUGCAUCCUCAAUAGCUCGUCGUCGCCAAGCCUCACUGAGCCGUCCCCGAGAGAGGAAGAGACGUAGAGUCUAGAGAUCGUGCUUUACUAGUGCUCAACACUCAUGGAGCCGUCACUGAGAGAGGAACAUAAUCCCUAAUGAAUCGUGAAAUCGAGAAUGAACGGGGAUAAGUGAAUAUGUUUGUGUGUGUGUGAGUUUGACCUAAAAAUGGGGGGAUUGGGAAUACGACGUAGACAUUUGGGUUCAGACUUGGGGUUCUUUUGACCGAUUAAUGUUGGUUAACACAAGUUAACUGACGGGUUUUAACCGAUUCACCGUUUAACUGAAGUCAGUUUUUCUCUUUGACCGUCCCCCAACCAACCUGUAGCUCGAUUAAACCUUCCUCUAACUUAUUCGGUCGGUUAAUCAAUUUUAAACGAUUAACCGAAACUGAAUUCCUACCCUUAGUUGUUACUAGGUGCUUUUGUUGCUCCCAAUUGAUGAUUUGUGAUUAUUUCCAUGCUCAUUUAAUUUGCUUCCAUUGCUCAUAUUUUGUCCUACCAUUACCCUUGAUGACUCAUUGGUUACUCACUGUUUUGGUAAAUGGUUCAAAGAAGCAUGAGGCAUAUUACUAGUCCAUUUGUUCCUGUAAUGAUAUAUCUUUGACCUCACCUUUUGGUAUAACUUGAAUGAUGCAUACGUUGUCACUUCAUGCUUUGCAUACACUCUUUAUGCUCGUUCUUGUUCAUUGGACUUGGUCAACAUUUGUGAGGAUUUCUUUGUGGCAAUUGAUGAUAAAUGAGUUAAGGUGGUCCCAUAGCUUUUGCUUACCCUUGUCUUACUAAUUUAUGAAUUAUAGGAUGCUCUUGUUUAGGAUUGCUAGUUAGUCUUGCUUGAGAAUAACUAGUUAUCUUCUUCAUUGGUUUUGCCUUUCUUUUACAUCUUGCCUAUGCCAUGUCUACUUAUGAGCUAUUUAUUGCCUAUCGUUGCCUAAUUCGAUUGGAUGCUUAUUGAGGUGGUUCCUUAGUGGCCGUAGGAUUAUGGGUUGACACCUCUACAUGCUUGAUGUGUAUGAUUAUUCUCCAUUUCGAAAUUUUCAAUGAUACUUUAAAGUCAAAUUUGAAUGCUCUUUACAAAUGUGUCAAUUUUGGCACAGUUUUCAAGGAUUCAUCAUUUAGUGUUUAUAAUUCAUUUUCGUUUUAAAUUUUCGUUUCCCACAUUUACUUUUCAUGUUUUGUUGCUUUUAUUGUUUUAAAUUUUAUUAUUUUUAUUUUAAUAGGCUUACUUUCCUUGUAUAUCCCCAAUUGUAACUUGGUAUCCGUAUUCUCAACUAAAUCAACAAAUGACACCAAAUAACUUAAAAUUGAGAACUAUAAGAGCUCAAAAGAAGGAGAUUUAGCAGAGUCUCUUAUAGGUUUCAAAAAAGCGAGGAAGGAUCUUCAAGUGGAGAGGACCCUUUCUCCUCCCUAACUCCAAUGGCGAACAAAACUCUAGCAUUAGACCACCUAAAGUCAGACGAUAAGCCAUGCAUUCAUCUCGUGGACUUUAUCUUCUAUUGCGACACCAUCAAGCUACACGGUGUUUCUGUUGAGGUUCACAUCGUGUUCCCCUUGAGUUUCAGCAACCAUCCACUCCAAGCACCUUAAAUCAUCCGUCUUAGUUUCUGCUUGUCCCCAAACACCGUACAUCGCAUGUACUUCGUGAUUUUUCCAUUCUUUGAGGCAUUUAGCUCCUCCUUGUACAUCAUACAGUUAUGAAUAAUGCCUCGACGUUGUUGUGUGCCUGAAAUUGAUAAAAAACACAACGCAACAACAUCAAAUGGACCCCAAACGGGUAUGAGACACUAAAUCGAGAUAGAAGUUACAAAUGCACAAAACAUCAUGUCGUGAAUGUUUCGAUCCGCGACACCGAUGGCUUGAAAUAUUUCAGAGUCGCCACCAAUCUGUUGAAGCGGAUUGGACGCUGUCGACAUAACCCAGGUCCUUUUGGACGUGAGUUAGAACAGGUCUGCGGAACAGAGAUCCUGGAUUCGAGAGGCGGUUACGUGCAGGGAAGGAUUAGCACCCCCAUAGCGCCCGUCAAACCGGUACUACUAAAUUUGAUAAGUUAUGUUUUAUUUUCUUAGUUUAGUGGUUUAAUUAUGCUUUAGUUUGGACGCAUAAGGUUAUGUAAAUUUUUUAGAGAAUAUUUUUAUUCAAUUGUAAGUCUUUAUGAGUUCCCACUCUUGUGGAAAUUUUUUUUUAUGUUGAUAAAUAUUUUGAGUUGAACAUUCUUAAUUUAAUUGUUUGGAUUUACGAAUUCCCAUUCUUGUGGAAAUUUUGUUUUACGCUGGUGAAUAUUUUUAAGUUGGUUAUUUUUAAUUUAUAUGUUUGGACUCAAGUCUUACGACUGCCUACGUACCUAAUUCUUUGGGAUCAAAGAUCAUGUAGUUCGUUAUGGAAAAGUUGAUUUGAGGAUUUUUUGUAAUUUUUACUAUUAUAAAAACCACGUUAUCAUGCUCAUUUUUUAUUUGAAAGACAUUUAUUUGGUUAUUUCAAAGUUGGAACUUUAUUUGCCCACUUAUGAUUAAAUGAUAAUUCUACAAAAUUCGAAACUCUUGUCACGGAUACGAAAUUCAUAUAACAUUGCUAUAAUAUCUUUAAAGGAUUAUUAUUAAGGAAAUUUCACAUUUUUUGCCAAUCGAAAAAUUAAUUGGUUUAUAUCAGUUAACUUAAUUUGACAUAAUUAAAAAUGCAUUACAAGACGGUUAACGAACUUACAUUUAAAUAAAUAUGUCACAAGUAUUUUUGGUGAUUUGACAAUUCUAUUGUGGUUAUGUUAAUGUUAAUUAAAAUGAUACGUUGAUUUGAAUAAUUGUAAAGUUUUGAGUUUUUAAGUUUACAACUUUAAGGUAUAAAUAUCAAAUAGGAUUAAAGAAGGUAUGACGUUUAUUCUGUUAUUCUUCCACACUUAUUUCACUUUUAUUCCACUCUUAAUAUGGCCUUAAUGAUAUAUGAAUAUAAUUGAAUCGACUAAAGGCUUGGCCUUUCUAAAUUAAUUGUGCCCAAGCUCGAGCUCGGCCCAACCGAACGAUGAGCCGAACCGGCGGGUAAGAGGAGGGCAGCCCGCGUGCCAAACUGGUCGAACCGGUUAUCCACGGUUCGAUCAGAAAACUCAAAAAGAUGAAAUUGCCCCUAGCGUUCCGUGCGCUGAAGAAGGGUGGCAGGGGAAAUUUUGUAACUUCACCUUAAACCUAAUCGGCCUUAUAAAAGGGCCUCUUAAAUCGAGAAAUGACUCAUUUGCAACUUCCCACUCUCUCUUUAUCAUCCCUCUUUCUAAACCGCCGCCCUUCUCCCCCCCCCCCCCCCCCCCCCCCCCACCCACCUUUAUCACGGAGUGUGCUGUUUUUUUCUAGUUCCUUUCUCUUCUUCUCAGCCGCCCUUUUUUGCCUCCUCUUACCUCUCAGGACCCCUCUUUCUACCUCCGUUUUUUCGAUUUUUCCAGAUUUGGACUUGCAUGUCAUCGGAGGAUACUCCGGUGAGUCCUCCGGCAAAAUGCAAGUCUCGAUCUGUAGAUCUAAUGUUUUAUUUUGGUAUUAAACAAUUUUGGUUAUUUGAGGGUGGUACCGACGGGGGUGGCGGGGAGGUAGAGAAAUGGAAAAAAGAGAAAGUUAGGUAAGUAAGAUUUCUUCCCUAUUCCUUUUGAUUAAUGUCUGGUUAAUUGCUAACGAAGCUAACUACCGGUUUCUUUGAUGACUUUUUUUAUGUCUUUGAAAAUGGGCAUAGUCGACAUGUUUUGGAAAAUGAGAGGAAAAGGAGAAGAUUGCUUUUAGGAGGUAAGACAGCUAAUUUUGAACCCAUUCUAAUUUUUCUAGGUAGAAGUAACAAUUCUAUUUGUUGAUAAGUUGCAUAAGAAACUAGGUUUGUUUUGUUACUGAAGUUGUAGUAGUAGUCUAGGUGUUUUAAAAAGUUUUGUUUGAAAAACUUUAUUUUUUUUACUAUUGUUUAAAUUUUUUUAGCAACAUUGUUUAUUCCAAAAAUCCGUAUUUUAACUCGAUUUUACUAUGAGUUUCAUAGUUCUUUAGGUCUUUGGUGCGAAAAUGAUGAAAGAUGGCUAUAGGUUUCGUUGUUAAUACUUUCCAAUAACUUUUAGUUCAUUUUUGAAGCUUAUUUGAUUGAUUUGUUGGUUGUUUAUUAAAAUGAAUCAUUUAUUUGAUUAGUUGCAACGAAUCAUUGGGUUCAAUAGUAGUUUAGAAGGUUGCUAAGUGAUAUAGCAUAACAAUGUAUAUGUAUGAAUGAUGUGUGAAUGCUUCAGAAUAGGGAUGUUUUGAAUGAUUACCUUCAUUCAAAAUUUCUCUUUUAUCGUAUUUCAGGUGGCGGCGCCUAUCGUGAGUGACGUCAAACCGAUUUGGCGGCUUCUAUGUGUAUGGCGACAAAAGAUGUUGUAAAACUUAUUUUUUUACAGUUUUGUAAUUAUUUCCCGGGACUUUGAACGAGUGAUGUUGGUGUAUUAUUUUUGGGGGUUUUGGGAAGAACUGGGGGACGAAUUUUGAAAACUGUAAGCUCCUCUUUUUGCUGAUUUUUGUCAGUCCAUUUAAAUGCAGAAAGGGCUACAGUCACUUCUUUUAACCAACCACAUCUUGCAAAGUUUUCUGACAAAAAUAAAAGGUGGCAGCUCCCCAAAUAAUAACCGUAACGGGCCCGAUAUUGGGCUUGAAAUAAGGCCUGGAAUCGGGCCCGAAAUCAAAUUGGGUCUAACACAUAAAUAGUUUCGAGAUAAGGGAUUUUGCCGAAUUUCGAGAUAGCGGACUUGAGGUCCACUCAUUUCGGCCGUUUCCGUUUAAAAAGAUCUAAAACAAAAUCGGCUUAGAACAGUCUGUAACAUAAUAAUUACAUCUCGAAAAUAUGCUAUUUGGCUACCAAGUUCUCCCCUAACGUGCACUUUGAUUAAUUUAACUGAAUAAACUUCGCAACAAGUAAAAUCUCGACGCUAAAUCCUUCCUAGAGAUGCUACGACUAUUUAGUGAAAUGACACUGGCGUGCAUUCUUCACUCGAACGAAAUUUGGUUACUACAGUUGUCCCUCUUUGUAUUACUUUCGCUUGGAAGUGGAAAGUGGUACAAAGACAGAAACCAAAUUUCGGACGAGCGCCUGAACUUCUCACGUCAAGUCCACUAGGGUCCAAGGAUCUGCCACAACAUCGGGUAGAAAACAAAAUUUGCAACCUGACCACACAAACAACAUGCAAUGCAUUUCCCUAUGGGUGUUAGGGUGAAUGUACUAGGGACUCAGCUUGACUUAUCUCCCGUUCCAUGGGUUGACUAUACUAGGGACUCAACUCGACUUAUCUCCUGUUCCAAGGUGCAAUCCGCUUUCCCCAGGAUGCUAAGGGUUGAUGUACUAGGGAUUCGACUAGACUUAUUUCCCGUUCCAACGUGCGAUCCGUUUGCCUUAGGACGCUAAGGGUUGAUGUACUAGGGAUUCAGCUUGCUUAGUUCCCGUUCCAUGACUACAAAUGUGUUGAUGAUGAAUGGUUUCGAAAGAGUUUGAGUAAGGCUCCCCCUUUUUGAAAAAAACAUGCAUCUGAUGGCAAUGCUUGAUUGAUAUUUUUCAUCAUUUUCACUCCGACGAGAUUCACUGUUUUGUUUUCUUGUCGCUUAGUUCGCACUACGUGCUAGCGCAAUGGUGUCAACCCUGCUGAUAGCUGGGUAACCUUUAAUGUAUGUGCCCAUUUUUCUUUGUUUUUCCCCCGACGUCUUCAUAUUAUUCCCAUGCCUUGGGAUUUUAAGGAUCUCUUUCCUACUUUGUCUCUACUUCUAGAUAUAAUGGUAAGAUAACGACGACCUUUGUAAAUUUCUUUCUUCGGUUAGGAAUAAGUGGAGAAAUCCUGCCAUCCGGGCUUCUUUUCUUUAACCCUUCCCUUUUACUAAUUUUUUCAUUCUUUCAACGGUUUUCAUUAUUAUUACUAUUAUUUUUCUCCCUUUUGUCUUCACUUUACCGCUAAUUUCAUUUGAAAAGACCUCCUAAUGAUUAAUUAGAGCGAAGGUGUUUGCACGAACGCAUUUGCCUCAAGUUCCUGUGGGGUGUUGUACCUCAUCCAUUUUGUUUGGUGAUGCGUGAACAAUGGUUAGGAGAGUAGUAUUUGAGAAUUCAUGAAGUAUCCAAAACUUAAAGUUGACUUAAAUUAUCACUUUAUUGAUGGAAAACCGAUCACGUAGAUCUCCGUCAGGAACUUUAAGCAUAGUACUUGUUUACUGAAUAAGAGUUAAAUAGGUAAGGGAGCUUGUCUCCGUCCAUGUUUGCCAGUAUUAAUGCCCCCCUGAGAAAGCCCUUUCCCCUACAUAGGGCCCUUCAUAGUUCGGCUUCCACAUUCCUCUUGGGUCCCCUUGUCAAAUGGAAAUCUUCUUCGUUACCAACUCUCCUUCGCGAAAUUCCCGUGUUUCACUUUUUUUUAAAAGAUCUGAUAAAUCUGCACUGAUACAGGCGUUAGUGGUGGAUAGCUGCCAACCUUUUCUCAUCAAUUUAAUUUAACUGGUCGUAUGCCGCUUUUACCUACUCAACUUGUUCUAACUUCGCCUCCAUGAUAACCCUUAGUGAAGGCAUUUCUACGUCCAUGGGAAGCACUGCCUCCAUCCCAUAGACCAAUUGGUAAGACGUCGAUCCCGUUUAGGUUCUUACUGAUGUUCAGUAACCGUGCUGGGUAAAUGGUAGAAUUACGUGCCAAUCGCGGUCGGUAACGACCAUUUUCUGUAUGCUUUUCUUGAGGUUUAUUGUUUGUCAGCUCGACCGCUCCGUUCAUCUUUGGUCGGUAUGGUACCGAGUUGUGGUGCUUAAUCUUAAACUUGUUGCAAAGCUCAUGCAUCAUCUUGUUGUUGAGAUUUUUCGCAUUGUCGAUUAUUAUUCUUUCCAGGAGCCCAUACUAGCAAAUGAUUUCCUUUUGUAUGAACUUUUUGACAACGCUCUUGGUAGUGUUUGCAUAUGACACAACCUCGACCCAUUUCGUGAAAUAGUCGAUGGCUACUAGGAUGAAACGGUGCCCAUUAGAUGCUUUUGGUUCAAUCAUGCCUAUGACCUCAUGAUGCAAAAGGCCAAGGCGAUGCCAUAAUGUGCAACGAUGAUGGAGACACGUAUUUCUCACCGGCAUAAACCUGGCACUUAUGGCAUUUUCUCACGUGUUUUACAUAGUCAGAGUUCAUCUUCGUCCAAUAGUAACCCAUCCUUAAUAUCUUCUUAGCUAGCGCAUGACCACCGACAUGUGUGCCGCAGACUCCCUCAUGGACUUCUUUUAUUGUUCUCUGAGAUUCAGGGGCAGCUACACAUCUUUGCAGCACAAAAUCAUGGCUUAGUCUGUAGAGGGUAGUCCUAUGAACAUAGUAACCCAUCUCCAAUCUCCGUAGAGUCCUUUUAUCAUUUUCAGAUGCCCUAGCUGCGUACUCCCUUUUAUGUAGGUAGGUCUUUAUGUGAUGGUGCCAGGGAUUCCUCAUGCUCUUUUUGGACUCUACCUAGGUAGGCAGGUGCAUUUUUCUUUUUGAUUUUGCUUCAUGGGUUAACCUCGGUCUCGUCCAGUUUGUACAUCGAGGACAAUGUGGCGAGAGCAUCCGCUAUUUGAUUGUCGACUCGCGAGAUGUGCUCAAACUGUAUCGACUCAAAUUUUGCGGCCAUUUCCCCUAUGUAUUUAUGGAAUGGGACAAGCUUAUGACCCCUAGUUUCCCAUUUUCCUUCAACUUGUAUAUUACUAGCGCUGAAUUACCAUAUGCCUUCAAAUUCUUAAUAACCAUUUCGAGGGCUCCUCGGAUCCUGAAAGUGCACGAUUGGCACUCUGUUAUGUUGUUGGUGCAAUCGAAGCAAAUUUUGGCAGUAAUAGGGCACACCCUCCCUUCAGAAGAGACAGAAACGACGCCGACGCCCUGUCCCAAUGAGUUUGAGGCCCCGUCAAACUUCAUCACCAAUGUUUUUUGGACGAAGCCUUCCACUAAUUUCUCAGUGUUCAGUAUAGUUUCAUCCGGAAAUUCCAUUAACAUCGGAUUCGUGUCCGAGAUUGCAUGCUCCGCUAGAUGUUCUGCCACUACACUCCCUUCAAUGGCCUUCCUUCGGAUAUAAACGAUGACGUAUUCUGCCAGCAGCACUUGCCAUUAGCCUAUCCAUCUGGAGAGGGCCAACUUUUCGUGGACAUCCUUGAUAGGGUUCAUUUUUUAUAUUAGGAGCUUCGUGUGAUAUAACAUGUACUAUCUCAGCCUUAUGGCUACCCAUACAAGUGCUCCGCAAGUUUUCUCGAGCGAUGUAUAUCGAGAUUCGUAGUCAUGAACUUCUUGCUGGUGUAAUAUAUUGGCGCGCUCUUUCCUUCCCGAUUCAACAUGUUGGGCCAACAUCGCGCUUACCAAAUUUUCAAAUACCGUGAAGUACAAUAUUAGUGACCUUCUAGAAGUUGGUGGGGCCAGAACCGGAGGGUUUAAUAAACACCCUUUGACUUUCCGAAAGGCAUGAUGACAACCUUCAUCCCACUCGACAUUCCGGUUCUUCUUUAAAAGCUUGAGAAUGGGUUCACACGUUAAGCUCAAAUGCGAUAUGAACCGACUAAUGUAGUUCAAGCGUCCUAAGAAUCCUAGCACCUCUUUAUGCAUUUAGGGAGGAGGUAUGUCAACCAUUGCCUUCACUUUGUCAGGGUCCACUUCAAUCCCCUUUUGGCUAACCACGAAACCGAGCAGCUUCUCCGAGGUGACUCCGAACGUACACUUUUCUGGGUUCAGCCAGAGCUGGUACUUCCCGAGUCGCUCGAGCAAUUUUCAUAGCACAGUUACGUAGUCGUCUUCCUUUUAUAACUUUGCUAUAAUGCCAUCCAGAUAUACCUAUAUUUCUUUGUGUAUCAUGUCAUGAAACAGUGUGACCAUGGCCCGCUGGUAAGUUGCCCUAGCGUUCUUCAGCCCAAAAGACAUAACUUUAUAGCAAAAGGUUCCCCAUAAAGUGAUGAUGGUCUUUUUUUCUCGAUCAUCCGAAACAUCCUGAUAUGGUUGUAUCUUGAGAAACUGUCCAUGAAAGAGAACAUAUUAGUUGACGGUAUUAUCAACGAGGACAUUUAUGCGAGGCAAAUGGAAGUUGUCCUUUGGGCUUGCCCUAUUUAAAUCUCUGUAGUCUACGCACAUUCUCAUUUUUCCAUUCUUCUUAGGCAUAGGGACCAUAUUAGAGAUCCAAUCGGUGUAUUACGCCACCUGUAAGAACCCGAUUUCGUAUUGUUUCUGCACUUCUUCCUUAAGUUUGAGUAUCCAUUCCGGUUUCAUCCGCCAUAACUUUUGCUUUACUGGCUUGCACUCCUCCUUUAUUGGCAAGUGAUGUGUUACUAUUGUUCAUCGAGGCCCAACAUAUCUUGAUAAGACCUUGCGAAAACGUCCUAGAAGUUCUGGAGUAGUUUGACGAGCCUGUUCUUUUCUGCUUGGUCUAAACUGUCCCCUACCUUAACCUGUCGCCGAUUGUCCUCUGUUCCCAAAUUCACGACCUCUACUGACUCGUAGAAAGGUUUCAAGGAUCGCUCUUCUUAUCCUGCCAUCCAAUCUGUUUCUAGGUUAGAACCAUCACUGGCUUCCUCGGUUUCCAUCUCAUAAACUGGGUGGUGAAAGUCAACUUUAGUGUUUCGUACCUCUUCAUUGUUUUCAAACACAUCUGUAACCCUGUUACGUGACGGGAAAUAGAAAAGGGAAAAAGAAGAAAAGCGGAAGUGAAUAAUAUAGACGAUGCACGGAUUGAGACUUAUGAAAACAUGCUUUAUCAAACAUGUGAAAAUGUGAUACAUGCAUUCAGGAUCACUUAAAAAACACUAGGAAGCCCUUGCUUAUUUUAUUUAGUAGUCAUAUUUUAGAGUUAUUACAUCUGCAAUGGCGAAAGUAACUCCAAAGCCUCCCAAUUGCUUAGCUCUUCCUUUGGACGGAGCUGCCGCACCCAUUUUAUUCCGGUCAUAAUUCCCGUACCCAGCAUGCUGAUGAAGAGAUCUGCAAAAUCCGACUGUAACUCUUUGGUGGUCGGAUCAGUGUAGUUUUUCCUCACAUUUAUCUUUCCAGCAUUCUUGCUUGUGAUGUGAGGUAUGAAAGUCAGGCCUUCAUCAUCUUCUGUCCCACUUAACCUGGACACCCUCCUCCUUAUCCGUUCCUUUUGGAUCCUCCUUAUAUCAUCAUCGUUUAGAAUGUAUCGCAAUCCCGCACGGUUCUUAUUUUCUUUGACCUGGAUGGGUUCUUUCAGCACCUCCUGCCAUUAGUAUCAUAGAUUCCAUACUCGAUAUUAAUCUAACCGAUGUCUCGAGACUAAUUAGAGUUAAUUACCAAGUGCAUUAAUAUAGUACAAUGAUUAAUCUGAAAAUUAAUUCCAAAGCGGAUCGACAUUCCGCCCCUCUCUCAAGUGUAGCGGAGACGACGAUAGACCUUGGCGUUUGGGGAUUUAGUCUCACUUUCGUAUCUAAACCAAAUCCCAACAAUAAUCUUACAACUGGAAUUCGACAAUUACAAAAUAAAGCAGUAGCUAUAUGCAAGAGAAAGACAAUAACGAAAUUAAUGAUAGUUCCGCUUAACACAAUCGAAAUUAUGUCGUAUUAACACAUAAUCAAGGUUUCAUCAAUUUCGGACAGACAGCUUAGUUACACAUGGUGAUCAAAUUAAAAACACAGAAAUCAAGAUAAUACAUGAACCUGGAGCUCCAUGCUUCAUGAACGCUCUGCCGUCGUAAAAUUCAGCAAUGUAGGCGGUCCGAACGGAAGUUCCGAAAUGGAUUUCUUCACCUUCGGAGCUCGAAAUUGCAUGCGGUUUGAAGUGGCAUGUUCCUGGGUUGAAGAAGGACGUCUUGGGGCAGAGUAGGAAGGCUUGCGGGUCUGAUAUGGUGUGUGUAUGGUGUGAUUUCGAAGUGGACAUGACUUGCCCUUAUAUAGGCUCGAAAAAUGGCGUAUUAAGGCCUCCGACAUGGGCAUACCAACUCCAUCAUCUGUAUGCAAGCUGUAGCUGUCCCUGGACUGAUGAUGGACGGAUCUACAUGUGCUGGACGUCCUCAACCAUGCCCGGUUAUCCUUCCGGCGAUCGGUUGAGCGGUGGAUUGUAAAACGGGUCGUAACUUCUUCGUUGCAAAUCUGAUUUAGCUCCGGUUUGUAUCGUUGGAUUUUUAAUUCAUCCCUUUAUAAUACGUGACCUGAAAUUUUAUUAAACACACUAGAAGAAAUAUAAAAUUGGACCAUAAAGGUCCAAGGGUUGAAUUUACGGAAUUAAGUGCAAUAUAACUGAUAUCCGUCGAAACUUUUGUUUGCAAUUGAUAUUAUGACUUGAAGUGUAGAAAGUUUAGUGCCAAAUAUUACGGUAUGUUAUGAUGUGAUCAAAAUACCCCACACUUAAACUUUUCUUGUCGUCAAGAAAACUGUAACUUAACCCACACGAAAUACCAAAGAUAGUUACCAUCAUUUAUACAAGGUUUAGGAAAUGUAAUUUUACAAUUUACGAUGCAACAGAGGUUAAAUGCUUGGCCACAUCGGUGAGAUAAAUCUCUAGUUAGAAAUUCACGAGACAGUGCACACCAGAUUAAUCAAGAUUCAAAUGCUAAAAAUAAAAGGGUUAAAUGCAUUUGUUGCAACUAUAAGAUUCAUUUUGCGCUUCCUUACGAAAUUAUGAAAUUUUAUUUCUUUUUUAAAGUUUCAAAAUUUUGAAUAACCCGUAGCCGAGCAAGACUAGUGAGUACUAUACUCAACCUUUUAACACAUUUCAUUCUUCCCACACACACCUCAAUUAAGUCCCGUAUGGGAGGCAUCUAAACUGGCUGCCUAAUUGGCAGGGCAGCUAAUGCAGAGGUGCUAGUCCUCUACCACACGCGUUAAGUUAAUCAUUGAAUUAUUGAGACAAAUUAAAGAAGCAUUUUGAUUUAAACAUUUUUUUAUG
rnacentral:lncRNA from 1 species